rnacentral:lncRNA from 1 species
UUUUUUUUUUUUUUUUUUUUUUUUGGGUAGUUGAUGACACCUUCUAGGCUUUCAAGUUCAUACAAAGAAAAGUCCAAAAAUGUUUUACUCUUCCUUGGCUAAAGGUGACGGAAAAUUGUACCUUCCUCUCAAUCACUGACCUGGCCAAUCACAUCGAUUUGGUUUUGUUUCAACUUUUAGGGAAAACCACCAAAAAAAUGUUCCUCCAAUGUACCGAGUCUAAUAUUCUCUCUAAAGUUAGGACUCCAGAUCAUGGGGAGGAAGGGCCGAUAUGAUCACCCCUACUGGCUUGGGGCAGCUUGUCUUAACUCCUACUGGUCCCUUAUAUCAGGUACUAUGGUUUUCAAGGAAACCAAAAACAAAACAAAAAAAGUUGUAUGGAAUUAAUAAGUGAUCCAUGUAUAAUUCAGCGAAAUGUCUUUUCUUGAGCUAUGUCCAUUGUUAGAGGCUUGGAGCAAUUGCUUUGCUGCUGAAAAAUUCGGAUGGUAUAAAACAAUUCGGGUUAUCACCGCGACCCUGCAAGCAGUUCUUCGGCAGUUCAAAUUGAAUACAUGAUGUUUAGAUAGGAAAUUAUUUGUCCAUACCAAUUGAAGUAACAUAAACUAUAAUUUGUCCAAAGACAAUAAAUCACAUCCUGACGAUGAUGGAGCAGGGAUGGCAAUGGGGCGGGUGCCCGCGCGGGGGGCUCACGGGGCGGGGGGGAAUUUUUUCCCCCCGCUUAGAAACGGGGCGGGGGCGGGGGAGUAUACCCCCGCCCCGCCACCCGCAAAACAAAAAAUAUAUAUAUAAAUGACUAUAUAUUAUAUGUAAGUUAAUUAGUUAUAAACUUAUGAUAAUGAUAUUAUUAGUUAGAUGUAUUAUAUAAUGUAUAUUAGUUUAUGUAAUAUAAUUGAUAUUAUCAAUUAUAUGAAUAGUUAUACAUGUCUACUAAUAUAAUUUAUUAAUUAGUUAUACUAAAUUUACUAAUACAUUUAUACUAAAUUUCUAAUUACACUUAAUAGAAUAACACUUUUUUCUCAAAAAAAAACACAAACACAAUGAUGAAUUAGUGAUUGCAUUUGUACAAAAAGUGAAAAUUUGACUAUUUUAGUUAUAUUUAUUUCAUCAUAUUGGAUUGUAUUCAAAUAACUUCUGUUUGAUUGUUUUUAUGAGUUUCAAUUGUAAAAUUACAAUGAAUAAUAAUUGAUGUAUUGAUAUUUUAGUACUUGAUUAUUUAUUAAAAUUUAAUUAUAAUAAAAUUAAAUAAUAAAAUUUUAUUAACCCCGCGGGGGAAACGGGGCAAGGUGGGACGGUGGUGGGGCGGGGCGAGGCGAGCGGGAGGCGGGGGACCGAGCGGGGGACGGGGAGAACUAAUAGGCAACGGGGCGGGGGACGGGGUCCCCCGCCCCAACCCCGCUCCGUUGCCAUCCCUAUGAUGGAGUCAAGAGCCCAGAGUUAGGGGGUCAAAUACCUUCAGCACAAGAUUCGUCGUAAUAAUAGACUUUGAAACCAAUAAACACGUCUAUCUUAAAAAAUUCAUUUUUAUCUACAUUCAAUAUGUUUUUAAAACUAAAUUCUGCUUAAAUUUUGCAAUGAAAAUUACUUUUAAAUUGACAUUCAUAUUUAACUUUUGAUAGGCCUAAUAUUCUCGUGAAGGGUAAUGAUUAUGAACUUUUAAUAAUUUAGUAUGAUAGAAAAGAGAAUUCUAAAAUUUUAUAGAAGGCAAAUAAAUAAGGAACAAUUUUAAAAAUUUCUAAACUUAUUAAGCCUAAAACAUAAUUUUCUCAAAAUUGAGCUCCGCCGCUGCAUCCUCGAUUGGGUCCAUGCCAAAAGGACAAAAUAUAAGAUGAGAAAGGCGAAACUGUAGAAAAUUGACUCAGGCUACAGGACAAUAAUUUUUUUUUUUUUUUUGGUUUUUACGUGAACAAAUACCUAGCAUAGCUAGUUUGAGACCAAGUGUAAUAAAUUUUCGAGUGAAUUUCAACAAAGCUCUGAGACUUUUGGGCAAUCAUCAACUGAAAAUCGGUGAACCAGAAGAAGCUGCGUUUUGUUUGCUGCUUGAUUGGUUGUGAAAUUUUCUCCUCUUUAAUUAAAGCGAGCUAAGUCUCUUAACAUGAGGGCUUGAACCGAGAAAGGCUCCUGGCCCAUAUUUCGGAAGAUAAAGCCCAGUUGGGCUUCUACAGUACUAUGGUCCAUACGCAUUCUGGUUCGUGGACCUUACGGAUUAUUGGAGGAAAAUUGAAGAUCAAUUAAAGCAGGCCCAGUUUGUUCAUUAAAAAAAUAUAUAUUUUUUUCUUACUUAAGAGUUAAGAUUAUGAUCAUCUGAUUGUAUUAUUUCUACUGAUUAAUGAUGACAAUCAAUUGACGAAGUAACAUCAUCUCAUCUUGUAUCAUAAAUAUGUUUUUUAUAUAUUUUUAAUUAUAAAUUUAUUUUAUAUAUAUUAUAUCAUAAAAAAAUAAAAUUAUAAUAAUUAUUUUAAAUAAUAUUUUAUUCAAAUGCAUCCAAUUGAUUCAGCUUUCAACGCACUCGUCCAUUCAUGAGUGUCAAUUCAGAGCACACUUUCAACACUGGCAAGGAGUCAAAUGUGUCCAUGUGCUUAUGUUUGUCGAUUUGGAAGACAAAAGAAUUCAAUUAUUGCUAAGCUUUCUUUGACUGCCGGAUCAAGGCUUCGCCUGUAAUUAUUGUUAGGUUUAUAUAUCCUCAAAAUGAUUAAGGAAUUUAAAGUAUAUAAUCUUAGGCAACCUCAGAGACAAAUGAAUCUAAUAGGACAAUUCCCUAACUCAGUGGCGAACGCCACGUAUGAUUAGCCCACCUUUAAAUUUAAUAAAAUAACUAGUUUUGUACCCGUUCAACGAACGGGAAUCAUCGAAAAAUAAUAAACUAUUUAGUUAAUUUUAUAAAAAUUUAAUGUGUAAUCUAUUAUAACUUAUCUUAAGUAUAUUACUAUGUGCACAUUGUAAUACAAAGUAUUUUUAUAAUAUAAAUUUGAACAUCUAAUUCAGUGAAUAAUAAUUUAAAAAUAGAAAAAAUAUUAUUCAACAAUACCAUAACAUUAAAAAACUUGAAAAUAAAUAAAAAGCGCAGUAAAUAGUGUCAAAUAAUAUUUUAUUCUUCAUAAACUUGUUUUUAUUUUUCUUCUGUUUGAACAUUCUCCUCAAUCUGUCCGUGCAAAUCAACAUUUAUUGAUUUUCCAUUAUCGCUGCAUGAUAGCAAAGCAAGAUAACUAAGUAUUGGAAAAAAAAUGAUUUAUCGCAUUCAAAAUUGUGUAUAACAAUACGUAAAGAUUAUAAUUUAAGAAAGUAAAAUAGUAUAUUAAAUCUACCUUCUCAUGCAAAUCUUUUUUAUGAGAAUUCCCUUCUUCUGUGAUUUUUGUUGAAUUCUCUGAUGAAUGAUUCAUAUGAAGUGUGUUGAAAUGUUGUUGAUUAGAAUCAUCUGUUAUACUAAUUGAGAUCUGGGAAGAAAAUGCUUCAGGUUGGUAUUAGUUGUCGAUUCCACCAAUCUGAUAAUGAUUUAUCAAAAUUAAAGACAAAAAUAUUAUGUGAGAUAUAAUAUGUGAAAUAUAAGAGAAAUUUAUUGCACAUUACAUGUGAAAGCAUGAAAUGCGUUUUUCUCCCGAAAUCACAGUGGAAUCAUCUAGUCACUAUAAAUCUAUUACUACUUUGUUCCAGAUUGUAAUUGUUCAACUUGAUUUGGAACACAAAAGGUUUCCACGUGAUCUUAUUUAUAAUUGAUGACACGAUUUCACUGCUAAAUCCUUCCUGAAAAUGAAAUGCAUAAUAGAUUUUUUUUGUUAGAAUAUUCAAUGGCUAAGAUAAGUGUCGGAUUGUUUACUAUUAUUAAAAGAGUAAAUCUUUCCUAACAUUGUUGGAUUCAUGACAUGUGUGCAAAAAUUGAAUUUCAAAUUCAAAUUUUGUAUAGUUGUCAUUCAUCCAAUGCUGAUAGUGUAUACACUGUUAGUGUAAGAAAAAUUAAUCCUUAUUAAAAAUAUUUUUAAAAAUUAGAUAUAAGUUUACCUUGUUAAAUUCGUCAAGAACAAAAGAAAAUUUGUGUUCUAUUAUUCUUUCAGACUCUUGAUCAAAUAUAACAAACCAGGCACUACCGGUUGCAUCACUUGCCAAGACUUUUAACAUAUAUCUGUAUAAAUACACAUAUUUUUAAAAAUUAUGUUUAUCUAGAUAUUAUAACAACUAAAAUGAUAAAAAUGUUAACAUUUUCUUUAUGGAUUUUUCCAAAAAUUUUCAAUCAGAUGAAGUACCAUUUCUCUUUGUGCAUCAAUUAUGCAUGGGGACUGUGAGUCUUGUAAAAACUUUCUUAGGUUAACUUUCUUUAAUUUUCAUGUCUAGAUUGUUUGUACAUUGUUCUAUAUACGAGUAGAUUAUCUUAAAAUAAAAAGGAUAUAUGAUGAAGCUGUAAAAAAAUUUAAAAAAGGACACUAUAAAAAAUAUAUAUUAUGAUUUAUUCCUAUAUAUCUAAUAGAGGAGAUUUAUGUCUCUUUUAUUUAUAUCGAAAUACUUUUUAAUUCAUUUUUUGGGUAGGAAAUAAGAAUCAUAUAAUAUUAAGAAUUCUUAUAGAAAAUAAGAAUUGAUAUAUAUCCAAACAAAAAAGUAACAAGUCACGUAGAAAAUUACUUGCCGUCUCAUUAAGCCACGUAAAAAAGAGAAAAUGCGCAAGGAUAAGUAUGAAAAUAUGACAUUAUUAUAUAUAUAUAUAUAUAUAUAUAUAUAUAUGAUAUAAUGGCCUUAAAAGUUUUCAAGAAUUCUAGUUUUGCACCAUAUUUGUACCCCUUGAAUUUCAUAAAAUUCUCUCUUUUAGUUGUAUUGCCCCCCUUAAAUUUAAGAAAUUCCUUUCUCUGUGUAGAUUAUCCUUUGAGCUUUUAUACUUUCCCCUUGUUCUACAUUUAAUUCCUAAACAAGUAAAAUAUUUUAUUGAUUACCUCCAACAAAAAUUUUGGAUUUAUUUCAUAUUAAACAUUAACGACGCUCUAAUAGGAGAAAAUAAUUUAGUUUUUUAAAUCCAAAAACAUAAUAUAUUUCUUAAAUAAUUCUAAGAGUAUGUUUUAUACAAAAAUUGACCGUUGCACCCUCUCAUCAUAGUAUGAUUCUUAACUCCAUCACUGCCCUAACUCAUUGUCUCUUUUCAUUCUUUUUUUUUUUUUUGUCAUUCGUCGCUAUUUUAUUUAUAUCCUACUUUAUUCUAAUCUAUUUGUCGCUAUUGCCUCUUUUCAUUCUAAUAUACACAAAAUCUGCAUUCAAGACUAAAAGAAACUUAUUGGGAAUAAUUAUGCACAAUCUCUCCCCAGUAAAGCUAUCUACCUUUUCGAUCCUCAUUUUUUUAUAUUAUUAUUUUUUUAUUUUUACCUAUCAAUUUCAACAACUAUAUACAUAUUUGGAAAUCUCAUGCAGGUACUAAAAUAGAGCCUUAUCCAACAAAUAAAGGGAGAAAAAGGGAAAUUGGAAUGAUGCUCCAAUUCUUCCAUCCAUGGUGGGGUUUUAUUUAUUUCGAAGUCCAGCAAACCGGAAUCGGAAUGUCCAAUUCCCAUGGUCAUCAUCUAAUCUAGUAGUAUGUUUGCUUCCCCAGUUGAUCAAGAGACCCGUCAAAGAUGAUCGCAGAAAUUCUGCCCCAAUCGUGACGUCAAGUGACCAAUUUGCAUUGAUGUGUGGAUUCUAAUUAUCCAACUGCAUUGACACGGACAAUCGAAAGAUAUUCAAUGACAACUGAGACACAUUGAAUAAUCCUUAUAUUUGACCCACAAACAAACGGAAAGUUCUUUUCCUUUUUAAAUGGGCCAGAAUUCCUCUAGACAUCCAUACUAUUUGCUGAAAAGAAAAUCAUAUACAGCGACCUCCUUCUUGGCAGUACAUAUUCAUAUUUUCGUGCGCCACCAUCCCAACUUCAAUGUCGUAAUUGACUAAUCAAAUAUUAUUAUUAUUAAUGAGUUUGUUUGGAUAGGAGCGUAUCUGGAUGAUUUAUUUAAUAUAAUUACUAUAGUACUUUUUGUAAUGUAAUGUAUGUGAGAUAAAAAAAUGAUUUAAAUUUGUGAAACAAAUUAUUUUAUCUCAAAGCAUCUCAAUCCAAAUACACUUUUUAUUAUGUUUUACUCAAGAUAUUCUUGGCGUCCAUAAACCAUAAUACAGGCCAAUAAUAAUAAUAAAUCCACGUGCUCGUUCAUUAUCGUUUUACACCUUUAAAAGAAUGAUUAGCAUUUUAUAUACUAACAGUGUGAUAAAUUUUUUUUAUACUAGUACUUAUAGAUGUAUAUCACAUGUAUAUAACUUAAAUUUUAAAUUUAAAUUUAUAUUAUGUGAUAUGAUCUAAAUCUGCUAAUGUUUUAAAAGAAAUUUUACAUUAAUAGUGUUUAAAAAACUCCCUCGAUGAAAUACAUGAUUUAUUCAUUCAUCAUUGACAAAAAGGGGACGCCCGUAGAUGCUAAAAACGCUUCUUUAUUUUGGGCUACAAUGGUAAGCUAGACAGAACCUUGUGCUGCUCAAGAAUGAUUAAUGCUUUUGGUAAGAUAUUGGCGACUAGCUCGUGUGAAGAAUUUAUUGGAGUCAAAAUUGUGUUGUUUGGACUUGGUUAGGUUUCUUUAAUGAUCUUAAAUUUUGUAUUAAAGGCUUGAAUUGAUUAGUGUACUAGACAAAUUUUUGUCUAAUGCCAUUGAGUUCAAAUCUUUUUUGCGUGUUGCAAAAAGAAAAAAUAAGGAACUUGAAAUUUGUUUUAGUAAAUUAAGCUGAAGAACUUUCAUUUCUGUGUGUAGAUGUCGAAUUUAGUUUAUAGAUCAAAACUCAACUCCAUAAAUUAUGUUAACAAACACUAAGCUCGAUUCGAGUUAAUAUGAUUAGCUACUAAUCAAAUUUUUGUAAAAAAAUUAAUUUACUCGAAGUAGUGGUUGUAUUGAGUAGCUCUUUUAACAUAUAUAUAUAUUUUUGGUAAUGGGUAGUGACACAAUAAUUUAGUUAAGGUACACAUAUUUACAUCAAGAUUAGUCCAACCAUUUGAACAACAACAAUUCAUGGGGGCAAAUGUUAAACCAAAAUCUUCCACACUCUAUUCUUCCCAUUUACCUACUUUCUAACAAAAAAGAUAGUCAAGAAAAAAAACACAUAAGUUCUAACGUUUCCGAAAAAAAAAAAAAACACAUUACUCCACUCCUCGACUCACCCAACAAAAAAAAAAAAAAAAAUCCCUCCAAGAUCAGAAAGAGAAAUUUAAAAAAAGAAAUUAAAAUAGGAUUAGAGAUUAUUUGAAAUAAUUACUACUCCCUCCGUCCCACUUUCAUAGUCUCGUUUUCCUUUUUCGUCUGUCCCAAAUUGUAGUCCACUUUCCAAUUGAAGAAUGCAGUUGUAUUUUAAUUUUCCUAAAAUACCAUUAUUCAAUGUAUAAACCUACCCCAUUUAAUGAGAGUUGAUUCUUUUUUUACCAUAAACCUACCCCAUUCAAGUUUCCAUAAAAUUGUACCAUAUUUAAUGUGAGGGUAUUUUAGGAAAAUAGCAAUCUAAAUUUACUUUUCCAAUAAAGUUAACUACUUUUUCUUAAACUGUGUGAAAAAAGAAACAGGACUAUGAAAGUGGGACGGAGGGAGUAUAACACUUUUAUGCUAUAAUGUAUGUGAGAUAAAAAAUAUAUUUAUAAUAUAAAUAAAUAAUUUUUGAUCAAAUAAUAACUAUUCAGACACAACGACAGUUUGUUGGUUUCGAGGCCCCCCCAACCAAUAAUGGACAACCAAACCUUGAAGACCAAACAAAAAAAAUUGGGUAGGGCGUGUGACACUAAAAUAGUACUGUAUUCAAUUUGCAUUAGGUCUGGAUAAUGGAAGAAUAACAUAUAUUACUAAUAGUAGUAGUGGUCAAAUCUCAAGUUCCCACAACUCUGAUCCCUCAUUAAUUGAAUCGGAGUACGUACAAUUACAAAAAGAUGCUUUAAUUAAAUAUAACCAAAAUGAGAAUUAAAGAAAAGACGUGAGAGACGAGGAUUGAAUUGAUUCAGGAAUGGUGCCAGAAGAGCCAAAACAGACCAGACCACACGCUUCCCACCGCCACGUGUCAAUUUCUUUGAGUGUUGGCUUCGACGGGGCCCACGCACCUGCACACAGUCACACACUCCCACGUACAGAAUAAAAUUCGGUCAGUCAAACCUUUUGACUGGAACACCACAAUCCCUAACUCCCUCCAAAAAAAAAAAAAAAAAAAAGUCCCAAAUCGAGGCAUAGUAUUUUUUUUGUUUUUGCUCUAAUAAAUUAUAGUAGCAGUAGAUAAUAAAAGUGUGAUAAUUUUGUUUAGUAGAAAAUUAAACAAAACUGAAAACGGCAUGCCAUGUGUGUAGUUUCAUAGUCUGUGGCUAUGGUCAAACGCUUUGACCGGUCAAUCCGAUGAGCUGGCACUUUAGCAAAGGUACACAACCCUCUACGGGACCCACAAGAUGGGGCCUCCACCUUCCACCAUUUUUUUUUUCUUUUUGUGAAUUGGUUAGCUACCCAUGUUUAGUUUUAAAUUUUUUUUUAAUCAAUUCUGGUGUAUAUUUUGUCAUUAGAGAUCAUUCAAUUUGAUUGAGAUUUGAAACUGCUAAAGCUAUCGUAAAAUAUUUUACUACUCACAACUAGGCAAUUGAUGUAUCCUAUGCAUCUUUACUAGUAGCUAAUAUUUAACAGACUAACAAAAGCAAUUUACCCGAUAUUUGCAAAAUACUCUAUUAUUUGCUGAUAUCAUGAACAUAUUUUUUAAUAAAUUUUUUUUAUUUCACAUAUAUCACAUUAUAAAAACAAAUACUGCAUUAAUUAUUCUAAAUAAAAUUUCAAAUAAUCUCUUAUCCAAACACACACAGUUUUUUCGGGACUACAUCAAUUUGAGUUUAGUCUCAAAACUAGUUUUUCCUUUUCAAAAAUUUUUGUUGACAAUAUUUGUGAAGCACUUUCCAGUUUUUUUUUUUUUGUUUUUGUCAAGUAACUCGAAAACUUUGGUUUGACAUGCAUUUUCUUCCAUUUGGGUAAGAUUUCAUUUGCAACAAAAAAUAAGGCUUUUUUUGGAUUGUAUAUUUCUAAACUUUUUGUAAAAAAAAAAAAUACUGUAGCGAUUUGAUAUAUAUAAUGUAAAAAAGUAAUUGAAAAAUAUAUCCACGAACAACGUAGCAAUUUUUGUUGGAAAGAGGCAAUCCAAACACACCGUAAGUGGAUUAACCACUAGCUUUCUUUGAAAAUGCAAAAGACACUCCCAUUGGCUUCUCUCUUCAAGCAUAUUAUUGCAUUUAUAUUCCAUGAGUAUUUUUUUGUUCAUUUUUUUUUUUUAUGGAGGAAUGGAUUCAAGAAAGUGAAUUGCAUUCAAGAUACAAAAGUACUAUUUAUUCUUUUGGAGGGACCAUAACUGAACGAAUACGAUUGAAACAAAAAAAUCUAAAAGCAUUUCAAAAUUUUGAGGAGGUCCCUCCAUGUGUCUUCCCUGAUAUAUAUAUGAGCCUUGUAAAACAGAAAAGCAUAUCUUUAAAGUAUUUGCUCACUUCGAAAGCUUCCAAAUGGAAAAUGCUAAAGGUACUGUUUACUGUAAAGCCUUUCCAACGUAUUGAAAAACAAGUGGAAUAGAGUAGUAGAAGACAGCCCCCUGUUUUAAAAAAUUAAAAAGCAGUAAAAGACUAAACGUCCUAGCAUAAAAAAGGAGACGAAGACCGGAUGUCAAAACAUAUUUGAAAUGACAGUUCUAAUUUAUUAUUAUUAUUUUUUUUACAAAUACAAACGAAAACAGCACGAAGAAAAUGCUAAAUGAUGGCUUGUACAAAUGGACAAAUUAAAAGGGGAAUAAAAACCAAUUUCCCUCACUGAAUUUUGUGAACUUAGCAAAAUUUUUUCAUAAUAUACAAAAAAGAAAGACAAAAAAAUUCUUUUUUUUUGUAAGAAAUUAUAGCUACACACACAUAUAUAUAUAUGUAUUAGUAUAGCAAAGAUUAAUCUAUAUAAAUAGCAUUAAAGAGUAAGUUUUUUAUACAUUAUCAUUGUACAACUUUUUUAAUAUUAUGAUAUUUAAAUCAUAUAAGAUACAUAAAUUAUUAUUAAUGUAAAAAAAAUUAGUGUAAAAAAAUUUAUACUAAUAAUGUAUAAAAAGUUAAUUUUCAAAAUUAAUGCUAAUUAAAAUGGGAAUAAUAAGAGAAAGGAAGAGAUGUAUCAGAAAAAAAAAAAAAAGAGAAAAGAAGAGAUGAAUGGUAAAUCAAAGGAAUGGACCCUAUCCGUUUCAUCCCAUAAGUUGACCAUCUGACCAAAAUGACGUUGCGUCGUUUCCUCCCCUCUUGAAAAAAAGCAGCUACUUUUAUCCUAAACUCUCAAAAAAUCACCCCUACACUACUUAGUUUAUCCCAAAAUGUGAAAAAUAGGAAUUCUUAAAAUAAAAAAAAAAAACCGGAUAUCUCGGUGACUUUGGAGUGCGCGCUCUAGUGCACGUGUGGUUCUCGAGCCCCAAGAGUCAAAGUUACCUCCUAUAACCCGUAUCCUCCCGGUAAUCCAUCUUUACAUUUAAUAACCUUUCACACAGUAGAGUAAAAUAAUAGAGUAAAAUAAUCAGUACCCCCCAAAUUUUAUAGGUUUUUUUUUUCUCUAGGCACCAGCCCCAUGACCCAUAAGCAAAGAGCAGUAGACGAGGAGGGUCAUGUACAGAGAAGAUUGCUUUUUCUCUGUCUGGUUCUCUCUCUCUCUCUAAUUUUCUCUCUCUAGAAAUUGGUAAGAUUUCUGAAUUCUUCUCCUGGUUCAUCAUUUACAUUGUCUAUCUUGAUUUAAAUCUUGAGGGAAUAAGUAAAAGCUGGGAUUUUUCUUCAUUUUUAGUGUACUGAGAUUUAGUGGGAACUGUUUGAUUUUUUCUUCUUUGUUUUUGGGGUACUGAUUACCUUUUUUUCUGAUCUGCGUUGUUGAAUGAUUUCAAUCUUUUUGAGCUUGAAGAGGGUAAGUGUAGCUAAAAGGGGAGUAACUAGAGCAUUGGUAUUAGGGAAGGGGGAUUAUUGCACAUUUUAUUUGUCAUCAUUUUCAUCAUAAAAAAUCAUACAAGUAGUGUUUGGUAAUAUUUGAUGAUGAUAAUGAUGGUGAAAAUGAAGUAUAGGGCUUUUUUGACCAGAGUAAAAGAGUUCAGAUAAAGCACAAGGAAAAGAAAAGAUGUCCCCUUUGAUACCAAUUCUUGAUUGUUUUGGUCAAUAAGGAAGGGAGAGAGGAAAAAAGAAAAGGAGUGUAAAACUCUUUGCUACUUUCUUUAUCUUCUCUCUCUUUUUUCAUCCACACGCUUCAUCUCUCAUUCUUGGUCUUCAGAUGUGAUGUUCCUUGAACAACAACACAGCCUCUUGGUAAAAAGGGUUUCUGUAUUUAAGUGAUUUUAAUAGGUGUGUUUUUUCGGGUGCAAAAGGGGGCUGUGAAGAUGCCUAUGUACCAGCCAUCUAGUAGGGGGAGGGACGGGUUUGAGGUGAGUGGGGGUGGGCAGGUAUUGGAUCUGGAAACUGCAGUCAAAGAUGGGAUCUUGGGUGGUGGUGGUGGAGUGGUUCAUAGUUGUGCUACUGGGGAAAAAUUUGAUCUGAAGAAGAUGAUUGAGGAGCUGGAUUCAAUUGAAAUUCCAUCAGUUUUCAUUUGUCCCAUCUCUCUAGAGCCAAUGCAAGAUCCUGUGACCCUUUGCACAGGGCAAACUUAUGAGAGAUCCAACAUCCUCAAGUGGUUCUCUUUGGGGCACUUCACUUGCCCCACCACAAUGCAGGAGCUUUGGGAUGACUCAAUAACCCCAAAUAGUACCCUUUACCAGCUCAUUUACAGCUGGUUUACUCAGAAGUACCUUGCUAUGAAGAAGAGGUCUGAGGAUGUGCAAGGAAGGGCUUUGGAGCUCUUGGAGACUCUGAAGAAAGUUAAAGGUCAAGCUAGAGUUCAAGCUUUGAAAGAGUUGAGGCAAGUCGUUUCUGCUCAUGAUUCAGCCAAGAAAACAGUUGUGGAUAAUGGUGGGGUUGCUCUGCUUUCUUCACUAUUAGGCCCUUUUACCACACAUGCUGUUGGGUCAGAGGCGAUUGGGAUUUUGGUGAAUUUGGAUUUUAGUUCAGAUGCGAAGACGAACUUGAGACAACCAGCUAAGGUUUCGUUAAUGGUAGACAUAUUGAAUGAGGGUUCGAUUGAUACGAAAAUCAAUUGCACUAAAUUGAUCGAAAUACUAAUCGACGGGGAGGAUUUUGAGUCCGAAAUCGUGUCAAGCUUGAGUCUUUUGGUGGGAGUACUUAGAUUAGUUAAGGAUAAGAGACAUCCGAAUGGGGUGUUGGCUGGCCUUAGAUUGCUGAAAAUGAUUUGCUCACAUGAAUCUGUGAGGAACUCGGUGGUAAGCAUUGGGGCUGUUCCUCAAUUGGUGGAGUUGUUACCCACUUUGAAUCCCGAGUGCUUAGAAUUGGCACUCUAUGUUCUCGAAGCGUUAUGUACCCUUCCAGAGGGUGGUCUGGCUCUAAAGAAUUGUCCUAGUGCUAUCCCCGCCAUUGUGAAGCUAUUGAUGAAGGUGUCAGAGAGCUGUACUCACUUUGCCUUGUCAAUUUUGUGGGCAGUUUGCAAGCUUGCUCCAGAGGAAUGUGCUGCACUUGCUGUUGAUGCAGGUCUAGCGGCGAAGUUGCUUCUUGUCAUUCAGAGCGGUUGCAAUCCAGUUCUGAAGCAACGCUCGGCAGAGCUCUUGAAGCUAUGUAGUCUAAAUUAUACAGCUACCCUUUUCAUUUCAAAAUGUAAACUUACAAGAACAAUACAAUGAUUGGAGGAAGUAGUGAUCUGUUCAUAUAAAUCUUGUCACAUUUCUUCCAUCCAGAGGAGAAAGAAACUGAGCAGGCCGGAGAGGUUAAAGAUUUUCACACAGAAAGUUUCAUUGAGCUUCAAGGUACCUGUUUCUCCCUGUAUAUGUUGAUAAAAAGGAUUUGGUCUUCCAAGAGGCCUCAUAAUGUGGAUCUAUGGCUAAAUGAGAAUGACCACUGGACAAGAAUUAUCUGCUCUAGGUCCUCCAAAUUGUAUUUUACAAUAAUCCGGGCAGGCCUCUUAUCCAAACUCGCGCACAAAUGUUACGGCAAGUGGUGCCAUGCGGUAAUCGGCUGCGUAGUUACUACAUUAUGUAAAAGAAUGCCGCAAACACCUUGUGGAUUACUGUCAGUUGGGAAUGUAAACACUCAUAAACUGGUACGGAAAGAGAAUUUUACCAGCCCUGUAUUUACAAUUGUAAUAGUGGUUUAUUGGAUUUGCAUUCCAUUAAUCCAAAUUAUUGAGUUUAUCGCAUCUUUCCUGAAGGUCCUCACGGACCUUCAUGUUCAGUUUUGUCUAUUGUUCUAACUAGAGGUUUUGAAUUGUAGAAUUGCCUUUUGUAGAGUAUUUCAACCAGUUCAAAUUUCAAAGAGAUUGCAAAUACUUGUUAUUGGAGAGUCAUCUAUGUUCCAAUUACUUUACCAUUCAUCUACAGGUUUCAUUGCUAUCUAUAGUUGAAUCUUAUUGAAUGUACACCAUCUUUUAAUUGUCAAUCUUGCUAUUCUUCAUUGCUGUUUUCCUGUUGCCAGUAUUAAUUUCUUAAACUAUUACAUCUCUUGUCAAAUUUAAACUUAGAUGGCAUGCAGUCUAUUGUAUGGUUGGAACAGAAUUACAUUAAACCUGAGUACAUCUGCUGGGAGAUCUUCACUGAACCACAAAUAAUAUAAUAGUUUUCUGUUUUUUUCAAGCAGUGAUAGCUGCAAACCAGAACAACAUCUGUUUGGAGUAUAGUUCCAACUUCCCAUGCAGUGAAUAGUUCUAUGGAUCUUUGCAUUUACGUUCUUGUUUUGGAGUUUAUCUCCCUGAACAGCUUAGUAUUUCUUGAUGAGGCGUCGGGGCAACUAAUUCUUCAGGUAUUUUGCCGAAUACAACCAUCAAAUCACGUUGGAGGUCGAAGGGAAAAGGGACGGGGAGCAAAUUCUGUUUUUGUGCGCUAGUCUCCGAUUCAUAACAGCAGGGUAGGACAGCCAAUUGGUCUAUUCGUGAAGUCUUCAACUGUUACUGUUUCAAAGGUUGCCUGACCACUUUGGUAUAUGAACUUUUGCAUGUCUAAUGUAGCAAUGCUUCACAGUUUUUUUAUUUUAUUUUUUUAUUUUUUGAAAGUUAUGAGAGUAUAUUCUCAAUGUUGAAGAUUGAAUGAUGGGAUGAAAAGAGCUGGCUUCAACUUUCUUGUUCUCUUAACAGACGCCCCACCCCCACGUACUGCUUCCUUCUUGGCCUUAUUCUUGGCCCAGGGAAAAAAAAAAAAGGAACUUCCUGGAGGAUAAAAAAGAAGGUUGGAAAGCACACGAGACCUUGCCUUGCCUUUGCCUUUGCCUUUGCCUCAAAAGGAGAGCGAGAAACAAGUAUUUGUUGGCAUUGGCAAUUUGGGAUCUUUGACUGAGAAAAAGUUAUGAAAUUGCCCAAAAAAAAGUUGCAACCUUGGAGGUGAAGCCUAUCAAAAGUUUUUAUAACGUUGAAUGGUGUGUGUGUUUUCUAAGUGCCCUUCUCUAAAGUUGAAUACGAGAUCUGCCAACUUUUCCCUCAUUCCCAGUACGCUGUUCCUUGUGAAAUGCAAAAAGAAAUCAAACUGUGGCUUCUUGGUAGUGUCAUAACUUGGAUUUCGUUAUAAUUUGAAUACCUUUCUUGUCUAUUGAAAGUUGAAUUGGUUGAAGCACUCUAUUCGAAAUUCACAAUAAAAGGCUAUUGAAAAAGUUAAUUAUAACUAUUAACCUUCUUUUCUUGCCUGAGUUAUUAAAAUUUAAUCUACCACUUGAGCUUCGAAUGUAAUUUGGCAUUUCUUUUUAUCUUGAAUUCGUUAGGCAGGAAUGGUUAAUUCUUCUAUCCCCCUUUUUACCCUACUUGCCAUUCCAUUCUCUAAUGAUGUUGAAGUUUGUAUUUUGAUUAGAAUCAAAUUAACUUAUAGGCUUCUCCUAAGCGUCAAAAGUCCCCCAAUGCAACAGAUAGUUAACGAACUAAAACAAAUGUAAUCUUUUACCAAGUUAAAACAGAUUGCAUUUGUGACAAAAGUUCCAAGUAGUUACCAUGGCCAUUUAACACCCAAUUCCGUUUCGAAGGUCCGUUUGUAUUGCUAAUUUUAGAAGUCAUUGUAGAAAAUGUACGAUUUAAUAUAUGUGAGGUAAAAAGUUAAUUGAAAAAUGUGUUCAUGAAAAAUUUUUAUUCCUUUACAUUUUAAUAUGCUAACACCUUACAUUAGGAACUUUGAUGUUUAAAUAAGGGAUAAUUUCAAAAACCUCCCUUGAGGUUUUUAACAAUUUCAUUCAUCUCUCUCUCGAGAUUUUAAAAAUUACACAUACAUCCCUUGCCAUUUGAAAUGAUAAUAUUGCCCUUAACUAUUUUAAUGAAAUUCUCUUGUUUUGUAUGGUUAUACUUCGAACGACUUUUAAAAUUAUUUUUUCAUUCUUUUUCCUUUUUUUGCCAAUAAAACUAUAAAAUUGCCAUUAUUACCUCUAGUUUCUAUUGUAACCGAAUGUCAAACUAUUGAUUUUUUUUAUGAGUUAAUUUUAUAUGCAAUCUAAUGUUUUUGCUGACCUUUGUUUUCUAUUUUUUGGUAUUAAAAUUAAAAAUAAAUCAAAAAAGGCCCAAAACCACUAGUAAAUUAUGAUAAUCCUACUACUAAAAAAUUCAUAAAUUCUAAAUGAAUUAUUUCAACAUUUUCUUUUCUAUCUUAUAAAUCUAAAUCCAUAAUUAAAAAGUAUCCUAUCAUAGUGAUAAAAUUAUUAUUAUAGUUGUUUAUCAAAUAAUAGGUAUGAACAUGAAAAUUUUGGCACAUUUUUCUUAUAAUUAUACUAGGUGAUCUUAUAAUUGUAUAGAGAAGUAAAUUAAAACUCAUUACACUAGGGCAUUUUUGGAUAUUCAUUUAAAAAUUUGACCAUGUCAAUGUUAUUUUAAUGUUUUGUUAAUAAAACUAUCAUAUCAAGGGAGGUAGGUGUAAUUUUUCAAAUUUUAGGGGAGCUCAAUGAAAUUGUCAGAAAUCUCAGGAGAGGUUUCUGAAAUUAUCCCUUUAAAUCAAGCCUAACUUAUAAGUCUUCACUAGAGUGACAUCUAUCUUUGGCAUCAUAGAUAGAGAAUGGGAUAGGAAAGUGCACUAAAGAUUCCUAAGGGAGAGAAUGAGAACAAACCUUGCAUAUUUUGCUCUUGACUUAACUGCAUUACAGAAUUUUCCUGGCAUGUGAUACCUUGCUGAUAUAACUAAGGCGUCUAGACGUCGACAAAGAUGGGUAUGAUUUUCUUACAUCACUCAAUAUUCCCCACUUUGGAUUGAUGCUUGGAUAGCAUGAGAGUCCGAAGUUUCCUGUUAUGGUUAAAAGUCCCAUUCCCCCUAUUUCUUAUUGGCACAUCGUAACAUUUGUACUGAAUUUCAUGAAUGAUGUGAAAAAUGGACUCGUUUGGAUGGCGAGUUUUUCUGGGCGUUUAUUAUAAAUUUUAUUGUAACUUUUGUAGAAAUUGUAGAAAAAUCUUGUGUAUUUGAAAAUUGGAGAAAAAAAUUUUUCUUCUUCUUUUUCUUUUUUUCUUUCUUCUUCUUCCUCCUCACAUCACCAUUGGUUUUCCUCCUCCCUCCCUCCCUAUCAUUGACCGCCACCACCACCUCACCCCUCAUUUUUCCUCUCUCGCUCUCCCUCCUCCUCCUUCUCCUCUCCCUUUGCCAUGAGACCAGAAAGGGGAGGGCCGAGAAGAGGAGGGAGAGGAGAGGAGAAUGGAGAAAGAAGGGAAGAGGGGAGGGAGAGAAUAGGGACGGAAAGAAGGGGAAUAAAAGAAAUGGAGAGAAAAAUAGGGGAGGGGGCGGCCGCUGGCACACUAGUCUAUAGUGGAUUGAGGUGGGGAGGAGGAGGAAAGAAAUAAAAAAAAAAAAUUGUAUGUCUUUAGAUAUGUUGGAUGUGUAUAUUAAAAUUUUGGGAUGUUUUUAAAGGGUUACUGUAGAUAAAGUUAUUAUAAAAAAAAUUGUGUAUUAAAAUAGGGCAAAAAAACUUGACAUCCAAACAGGCAAUUUUGCAUAUUAAAUCAAGUAGUGUUGCAUGUAUUCGUACCACAAGUGGUGGAAGGUCCGUGCAGACAAGCUCAAAUUCGAGAUGAGCGUGAUUUCCGGGCCUUAAUCGUCCGAACAUGCAAACUACAAGUCUACAACGUAUGGCUUGGUAAAUGGCAACGUUUCCAGUUCAGCUUCCCAUCCAUGUUGGGCCAGUGGACUAGCUCCACUGGGCGACGAUAGACCAUGCGUCAAUUUUUUUUCCAUCACUGGAUUGGCGGGCGGGUGAGUGUAUCCCUAUUCUAUUUCCGGUCCCGCUAUCCGUUAAAAAAAUUAAUAAAUAUAUAUAUACUAUUUAAUUUAAUUAAUUAUAAAUUUAUAAUAAUAAAUAUUAUUAUUUAUAUGUAUUAUAUAAUAUAUAUUAGUAUAUGUAAUAUAAUUGAUAUUAUCAAUUAUACUAAUAAUUAUACAUAUUUACUAAUAGAAAUUAUUAAUUAGUUAUACUAAAUUUACUAAUACAUUUAUACUAAAUUUCUAAUUACACUUAACAGAAUAACAUUUUUUUUCUCAAAAGAAAACACAAUAAUGACUUGGUAAAUGUAUUUGUGUCAAAAGUGAAACUUGACUACUUUAGUUGUAUUUGUUUCAUCAUAUUGGAUUGUAUUCAGAUAACUUUUGUUUAAUUAUUUUCAUGAAUUUCAAUUAUAAAAUUAAAAUAGAUAAUAAUUUGAUAAUGUGUUGAUAUUUUAAUAUUUAAUUAUUUACUAAUAUUUCACUAUAAUAAAGUUAGGGUGAGGGGAAUUAGUGAGCAAGGGGCGGAGGCUGGGGCGGCGCCUCCGGUCCCAACUCCUCCCCUUGCCAUUCUUGCGCCUUGAAGGCUUGGGCGACGGAAAUACAAUUAUAUAUUUAUUUAUUUGUAUAGCCCUAAUGAACCUACUUCUUUUUUUAUUCUGGAUAAUGAACCUUCUUCUACUUAUGGACUUAUCGUUCAAUUUCCACAUUAACAACCAUGGAAUUGGAAGUAAGCCGAUCACACAUUCACACGUGCCCAUGUCCACACAUUAAAGGAGAACUAGAUGGCGGCUACAACCUGCCGUUUCGCCCAAAAAAAAAAAAAAAUGAUGGCGGCUACUAAAUUGCUGGAGUUAUUUCAUUAAGGUCCUUCAACAAUCACUGAUUUCUAAUUCUCUCUAAAUUCGGCAUUAUUGUGUUUUAGCCCCAUGCUACGUAUUAAUCUUUGGCAUAAUGCUCAAAUUACUUAAAAAGGGGCAAAUGAAAUUUUUAGGAUGUUUGAAUGAAAAGAUUUCUAGUACUCUUUAAAUAAGUAACAUUAAUUAUUUUUCAGAAAGUGUGCUUGACAGGUAUAAUAGUCUUUUCAUUAACAUUUCUUUGACGAGAUACUAUACUAGAACUAUAACUUUAAAGCAUGUAAGCAUGCUUUCAACUAUUUCUAAAACAUGUGGCUAUACCUUGGGAUAUUAAGUUGUUAACUUUUUGUUUUCAACUACUUUCAAAACUUACUUUUAGAUUUUUAUUAAGUAACAAAAAAAAAAAACACUUAAGAAGUGGCAAAAUAAAUGUUUCGAAAUUUGAUAAUGCUUGUAGGAAUCAAGAAUAUGGUGAAGAAGCCCUAUAAACAAUAGAAGAUGCGUAACUAUAAGAUACUAUAGAAAAUAACUUACUAUAAGAUACUAUAGAAAAUAACUUUCACUUAAGAGACAUAUGUAUAUCUCAAAAAUAAAAAAUUUUGACAACAGAAAAUAAUAAAAAGAAAGGAUUGUCACUAGCGUAUUGCAAGACGUUCUUAAUUCUUUGGCCCCUUUUGGAACCUGAAUUUUUUAAAAAUUUGUCUAAAACUUUACUGUAAAUCACUUUAGAAGUUAUAGAAAAACUUUUGUAAAAUGAAAACUUUUUUUCCUUUUCAUUUUCUUUCUUUCAUUUUCUUUUUUUCUUUUCUUUCCUCCCUUCCCCUUUCCCUCCCAUGUUCCUCUCCCCGAAACUGCCAUCAAGCAGUCUGCAGCAGAAUUUUAUUUAUUUAUUUAUUUUUGCAUUUUCUCUCCCCAUCUCCUACCCGCCACCUCUCCCUCCCCCGCCACCCAUUUUCUUCUUAAACCUCUCAUUCUCCCCCUCUCCUCCCAUUUGCCCUUCCCCCUCUAACACAAAAUUUUUAAAAAGCCAAAUCCACUCUCUCUAUUUCCUUUUCAGUUUCCAUCACUCACUCACUCACUAUCUCUCUCUCUCUCUGUUCCUCUUGACCGUUUCCGGUAAACCUCCUUCUACUUCACUGUUGCAACUUUCCAUCUUCAUCUUCUUCACAAGAUCUCGCUCAAAUCACCAAAACUAUACCGCGCACUUCACACACUGCUUUUCUACGUACGCAUCUGCAUUCUCGUAUAAGUACUUGUAACUGCCUGUGAGUUGUCCUUUUUAUUUUUCCUGGAUAAUUUUGGUGUGUUUUGUGGUGAAUCUGCUGAAUUUUAGUGGAAGAGGAGAUUUGUAAUGGAAAAGGAGGAAAAUGUGGAAGUUGAAGAUCGCGGAGAGAGGAAGUCCGUGGCUGCAAACGACUAAUGGCCAUUUUCCCUAUCAGUUUUGGGAGUUUGAUCCGAACGUCGCCAUUUCGGAGGGAGAACUAGCCACGAUCGAUGAGACUUGCGAGAAUUUCCGCAUUAAUCGGUUCGAGAAAAAACACAGCGGUAGAAGGGAGGAUGGCGGGGGAGUAAGAGGGGGAGAGGGAGAAAGGGAAAAAAAAAAGGUUGACCGCACCGGAAGAGGUGAUCGGUGCCGGAACCGGCGGCGGAGGUGGUAGUGGGUUGGGAUGGGAGAGGAAGAAAAAGAAAAAGGGAAGGGAAUUUUUUGGAAGUUUUGUGUGUUUUGGGUAUUUUGAAGUGUGUAGGUUAAAAAUUUUGAUAAAUUUUUUGGGGUUUCUGUAGUAAAAAUUGUUAAAAAACUAAUAGCAUACAAUCUUGUAAAAAAACUGAAGUUCCAAACAGGGCCUUUAUUUCAUAUGCUUUCAACUCAUUAACAUGUCUACUGUAAAGGCAUUCAAGUGGUCACAAUUGAUAUACUAAUAUAGUUUAUUUAGUUUUAAGAGAAAAUUUCCAACUCAAUAGAAUUCACAUGAAAUGGAAAAACAUUUAACGGCUUAUCAAAAGCAAACAAAUCCAACUUUGAAGACAUUGAUUAACUAGCUCCAAUUAUCACAUGGCUGCCGACUAAUGCCAAUCCCACCAAUCAUGUUUGACGCAAAUUAACAGAUCAAAAAUUUGGCUUAACUCUAGCAUUUGACCCUCUACGGUGAAGAACUAAGAUUAGCAACUAGCGCAUUGCAAAUUACUUAGAGAUUAGGGGGCAUAUUGCCAUUGAACUAAUUUCCAGCUGACCCAAUGGAGAUACUGGGUAUUUUCUUCCGUGGAAACAAAAUGAUGAAACCCGACGAAUUUUAUUUCGUCGUUACAAUUCUUCAGCCGUCCUCCCAUCCACGAAUCAAAUUCAAUUCCAAUAUUUUUCAGGUAAUUUCGGCCGAGUCAGAAAUAAACUAACCAAUAAAAAAACCGAACAAAACAAAAAUAAAAAGCAUUUGCUUGGUCCAAUGGCUAUUGCCAAACAGACCCCCUGUCUUCCUCUCUCUACAACGGCACGCCUCGUCGUCUCUGGUUCGUUACCUCAACUGUUUCUCUCUCUCUAUCUGAAUACUAGCAGUUGUACUAUGUAGCAAUAACUCUUUAAUCAAUUUGUCAAAACUAAUCCCUCGGCCCCUCGAUUUUGGCAAUCCGUAUCCACAAUUCUCGAUCGUCGAAAUAGUACAUAAUUUCCUUGUAAUUUCUCUGUUUCUUCCUAGGGUUUCAUCAAAUUUGAGCUGCAGGACUCAUUUUGUUGUAUUUUCCUUUGUGCUUGCUAGUAUUUCCGACUCUUGAAUACAUUGAAGACAGAAGAUUCUGAAGUUCAAUGGAAAAAUUCUAGUAGGUGCUUGGUUUCUUUGUUUUCAGUUGAAUAUGGAUCUUGACUUGAUGAAAAGGGGCUUGCAUUAUACGAGGGAAAAGAAGAAGUGGUUAAUCAUAUUGGGGUUGGUUGGUUUCUCGAGUUAUGGGGCUUAUAAAGUGUAUCACUUGCCUGGUGUUGCCAAGAAAAGGAGGAGACUUUUGAAGUUAUUGGAAGCUUUGUUUUCAGUUGCUGAAAUGGUAUCCAAAUCCUCGGAUACUAUCAGUAUUGUGUGCAAGGAUUUUAAGGAGUUCUUGCUGUCUGAUUCUGAUGAAAUUCCCACUAGCUUGAAGCAGCUAUCAAAAAUUGCUCGAUCUGAUCAGCUUUCCGGGUCAUUGACUAAGGUUAGCGAGGCUAUUGCAAUUGGGGUUUUAAGGGCUUAUAGGUCUGAAAACAGGGGUGAGACUGAGGAAGUUGGUAAAUCUGAUUUUUCAGAUAGGUUUUUGGAUAAAUUGACUUCCAGUGCCGGGACUGGAUUUGUUUCGGUUGUUGUUGGCAGUUUCGCAAGGAAUUUGGUUAUGGGGUUUCGCUUGAAUGGUGAAUUAAAUCAAGGAUUGAAUGGAGAUGGGCAUAAUGGUAUGUUGAACGUGAAUUCGAGUUCACUGUCAAUGCCUGGGUGGGUAAAUGUGGUUUGUGAUGAUAGAUGUAAGGUCCUUAUUGCUGAUUGUAUAAAAACUUUCGUGAGCACUGCUGUUGCUGUGUAUCUUGAUAAAACAAUGGACAUCAACAUUUACGAUGAACUUUUCUCUGGUUUGACUAAUCCUAAGCAUCAGAAUCAAGUUGGAGACAUUCUGGUUUCACUCUUUAAUGGGGCUGUGGAAACAUUUGUUAAGACAUCUCACCAGGUGCUGACAGCUUCAAAACCUGAUCUUGGGUCGAAUUCAAAUUUUUCUUGUUCCCCAGUUGAUCAGAAUGAAGCAGCUAGUUUGGGAAGCAAUAAACUUCAGGACCGAGAAGUGGCAUUGAGUAAGAUUCAAGAAGGAAGCAGAUCUAUCAACACUCAGAAUAAUGGAUGGGUAAGCAGUGUUUCAUCAACCUUGGCAGUGCCAAGCAAUAGGAAAUUCGUUCUCGAUGUGACUGGAAGGGUGACAUUUGAAACCAUCAGAUCGCUUGUGGAGUUUUUCUUUUGGAAGAUUUCGGAGGUGCUAAAGAGAAGCUUUGCUGUAAUCCGUGAAGACAUUAUUGAUCGUGGAUUGGAAGUCAUCAGAUAUGUUGGUGCUAAGUCAGCUGUUAUUCUUACCAUUUGCCUUGCAUUGCUCUUGCAUGUGUUGGGCAGUGGUCGUGUUCUGUUGCCUGCAUAAAUGAAUUUGUCUCUUUCUUUUGUAACGUGUAAAAAUAGUUAGAACACAGAUCGACCAGCAUCUUGGUAUCCAAGUUAGUUGAAUAUACUAAUUAAUGAAUGAUAGGUUCUCAAAAUGCAAACAGUAUCGGUUCAUUGUUGAACUUAAUGAAGAUGAGAAUCUAGUUCAUCUAUGAAUUUUUGUACCAGUGGAACAUAUUUAUGUAGCUAUGAAUAUAAUACAAUUAAAUGCAAACUUCUCUUUUAUUUUUGAGAGUUGGUUUUAAUUCUAUUUGGGCUGUGGCGCACAUUUCUUGCCUUUUUGAAGAAAGCUGGUGGCUUGAAUCAUGAAAGACUUGAGUGUUAGGAACAAAGGUAGGAAACUCUAUCUGAGAAAAUCAUGUGCAUCUGGUAAAUUUUGGGCAACGUAUAUAGUGUUAGUGUGUCUGCUGCUUUAUAUUACCUGGGGUUGUCUUUUUUAACUUUGUGAUGUUAGAAUCAUGUAAUACUAGCUGGCUCCUGUAUGUAAUGGAAUCACAAUAUAGUCAAUUAUCAUCUAUGGUUAUCUUAGUGAACAAAGCAAUAUUUGUGGCAUAGACAACUGAAGAGAUUAGGUAUUAUGAGAUGAACAGCUGUGUCAAUUCAAGUUGAUUGCAGUGUCAAAUAUAUAAUCAAUAUGUCUUGUCUGAAUUUUGUUUUCUAGUGAUUGUGAUCCCAAGCUUGGGAACAAAAAUCUGAAGAUUUGUUAUCUUAAAGUCUCGUCAAACUGAUUGUCAAAUUUUCUUACGACAAGGUUUCUCAUCCAAGUUUGUCUUUCUGCUAAGCGAAGAUACUAGUUAAGAUACUCAUAAGAAAAAUGCAAGUAGUCUGUAUCUUGGACAUCUGUCUGUAUUUUGAGGUUCUGCACGUUUGACCAUUGGAUAUUUUUUCCAAUCAUGCUUAAAGUUGAGUCCUAAGCAAGGACAAUAAGGUUUAGCUCUUAAAGUACCAAGAUAAAGCUUGGUGUUUUAUGGCUUGAUCUUGUGUUUUUACUCUUGUGAAGUUAAUAAUACCGUGUUAUGCUCCUUUGUGGAUUGAAGUUUUGCACUUUUACUGAUGCAAUCAUCUAGGUUGUUUGUUUGAUAACCUUUUAUGAUACUUUUACUUUAAAGUAUUAAUUCAUGUUUACAAUCUUUUCUUCUGUCUGUGUGGCCAAAUACCAAUCUGCUGAUUUCAUAUAAGAACCAUGUCAACUGGGAAAAUGUUUAAUCCAUCAGACAUUGAGACUUGAGGAGAUUUCCUACGAGACGAAUCAGAGAUAAUUCGGCUGGUGCAAAGAUUCAUCACUAGCAGCAUCUGAGGAAUGUAAAACGUGUUAGACAAAAUUUGGAUAAGACUUUCAGAUGUCAUCAUAUUGUCUUAAAGUAUUUUGUAUGUGAUGCAUUGCUGUGUCAUUUUUAUAUAGUUAUACCCCUUUGUCACUUCAUUUGUGAAUUGCCCAAAAGUUUGAUUUUCCUUUUAAUUACUGUAUUUUUCAUCCUGUGCCAACGAUGCUGAUUUGGUGCUUUGAGCACAGAUAACCAUUCUGCAUUGGUUUUUUACAAUAAAAUUUUUUAUUUUAUCAAAGAGAAGUCUUUGAACAAAAUCUGUGCCUACUUUCCGGUUUUAUCUUUCCCUUUUGAUUCAGUUGAUCAUCAACAUACAUUAGACAUGAACAAGUAAAUGUGGAGACUAACUGAAGGUAAUGAUUUCUUAGAUUCCACUGCUCUAUUUCAGGUGAUUCUGUUCUCCUGUGAAAGACAUGUUCUGAGUGUUAUAAAAUAGGAAAGUAAUCUAUGAGAUUUCACUUUUUACGAGGAAACACAUCACCUGAGACUAAUGUUUGUCCAAUAUCACUUGUGUGGUUUUUGAGGUUUCAAAUUUGCUGAAGAAGGAAGAGUUCUUGCACUGACUCAUCUCUCCAUUUACUCGUCUCCUUCAUGCUAGCAAGCGAGAAGACAAGCUUUAAUCCAGUGGUGCGUAUGAAAGCUUAUGGUUAUUUUAGACUGAAAUUGUAGUUCAUGCGGUCCAGUGUGGAAACUGAUGUCGUUGCCAAAGGUUCAUUCCAAGGUUUCUCUCUCCCCUUUCUGGUCUGUUCCAUCAUUCAUUUCACUUCAGUCUCUUGUCUGACUUGGAAAUUCACAUGACACCUGGUCCUAGCAACAGCCAAGUUUUGAUUACUGUUGAGAGCGCUAACCUGGAGGUAAACAUUGUUAGUAUAGUUAUACUAAUGUGUUAUCUGGAAAAAAUGGAAUCAUUAAUUAUUAAAGCAAGACAAAAUCUCGAUCUUGUGAUGGUCAGAGAACAGGACUUGGUUAGAAAUUCAGAACUAAGUGAAAACGCCUUCUAUCUACAGAACUUGUCUGCGUGGAGUAGUAACUGCAACUAUUGUUCUUGACUCAAUACUUUAUUAGCUUGAAAGAAACAGCAUGCCACAUCUUUGCUCUGUUUGCCAUGACAAGUAAUCGAUUAGUGUCAUAUUUGGCUGUUUUGCAGGACAAAUGGGCUUUGCUAAAGAGAGAAGCUCCUCCUCUAGUCCUGGGUGGGGGGGGGGGGGACCUGGGGGUAGAAAUUAAGAUGUGAAAGGAAGAAGGAAAAAUGGUGAGGUUCUAUUGUCAUUUUAUUGCAUUUCUCUGGUGUGUCAACUUUUACAACAAAGACGUGACAGUUGCUAUUAAGAUGUAUGCUAAUUUUCUUUGUGGGUACAAGAAACCACUCAAUUCUGUCUUGAUUGGGCAAUUCGCAACUUUAUUGUCGUUCAACGUGUUCCUCACGAUCAUAGACAGUGUGUAGCAGAUGAGAUGAAAUAUCUGUUCAAAUUGAUUUUAGCUUAUUGGUUGGGCUAUGGAUGAACAAUUUCUGUCCAACCACUGGAGAAAGAGUCAUGCUCUUGGCAAAGCAAGUCGUCAUUAUACACGGAAUUGUUCUCCAUGUUGUCUCUUUUUGGUCGUGUCUAAAUCGCCUGAUGAAGCUUUGAAUUCUCGGACGUGAUUACUCCAUACGAAGUGUACUCCACUCCACACUCCAAGGCUUUCUGACGGAUGAAUGUGAAGCUGCAUCCCGAUGACCUCAUCAGAUCAAAUGGUGCAUGUAUUCCUAAGAAAUUUCCAUGCGAGUCUUCCAACUGUUUGAUAUCUAGAAGCGGUAUGAGCAAACAAUAAUAUUCCUUUCUUGUCAAAAGCAGUGGAGCAUUUGACGUGCUCUCUCAUUUAGCAUCAACUCGAAAAGUAGGACCGUCAACGGUGCUGGCCAACUCGAGCUCAGCUCAUUCGACUGGAAAAAAGUUCAUUGAACUUAAAUUUUAAUUAGGUCAAAUAGAGUUUGAGUCUAAUUAUUUAAUCCGAACUAAAUGUGAGUCAAAUUUGAAGUAUAUUAGGCUAGGCCCACAUAUAAGUGUAAUUGUAUGUGUGUGUGUGUCUGCCCCUCUCUCUCUCUCUCUCUCUCUCUCUCUAUAUAUAUAUAUAUAUAUAUAAUUAUAAUUAUAAAUAUUAUGAUAUAAAAUGUUAAUAAUUUACAUAUAAAUUAUAGUGAUUCAUAAUUAUAAAUUAUAUUUAAUUAUGAGUUAGAUCAAACUUAAUUUAAAUUCGAAACUCGAAAUUCUGAAAUUCAAAAACUCAUAUAAUUUAUGAGUCAAAUUUGAACUUAUAAAAAAAAACCGACUCAUAAAUCCUAAUUGACACCCCUACUCUAAAGUCUCAAACCACAUCAUAGGACUCCUGCUCUUCCUUUUUUUUUUUUUUCCUUCUUAUGUUAGAUUGGAAAUCAAAACUUUGAUUCAAGUAGUGGUGAUGUAAAUGGACAAUCAAAUCUGAGACAGGCAACAUUGGAGUCGGUUGAACUCCUCUUCAUAAGCCCACCAACAUCCAGUUCGUGACAUAUUUACUAUCUCAUUUUUUGGACAACUAAAAUUUGAUUCUUUUGCCUUUCUAGUCCAAUUAUUAGCUCCUCCUCCUCCUCCAUAACCUCUCUUUAUAAAGUAUUCAAAAUCGACAGGCAACGAAUUAUUUAGUGGAAACUGAUUGAAAAUGGUAGUACUAUAAAUUGCUCUUGCAAUUCAGUACUAUGAGCUGCUGAAUAUUCUUUAAUGAAAUUAUUGCUAGGAUUUAGUACAUAGUAAACACAAUUUAUAUACAUAUAAAAAAAAAAAAAAGGGAGAAGCACACCGAGAUGGAACACGUCUGACAUACUUGGCACUAAGUGCAAUACACAUAUUGGUACAUACAGUUUUGUAUAGGCUGAAAAUCAUUAUUUAUGGACAUUACAUCAUAAAAUCCACAACAUGAAUAAUGCAACUACUAGCCCUUUUGUCCCAUUCUUGGAUGAUUGAUUUCAACUACUAAGCCCUUUUUUGAUAUACGUGCGGUCUAUUCAAAUUAUACAGAGAAAUUAAUUAAGAAGCUUUGGUUCACGGAUUGUGGUUCUGAGUGUAGAUGUAGUCCGUAUGAGCCACCAGCGUCCUCCGCAUCAGACACUCGUCUUUGUCCACUUCUUGACAGCCUACUUCUUCAGCCCCAAAAUUAUUGUUCUUCUCCUCUCUCCCAGCAUCCUAUGUAUGCAUAUUUAAAUGUUUUAGAACCCCAAAAAACAAGGGAAAUUAUUUUAGGGAAAAGAAAACCGCAAGAGAAAGGAGAAAAAACCAGGCAAAGAAUUUAGUUAGUUUAUGGAUGAAACAGGAGGAGGACAAAAGUGAAGCAAACAAUAGAGGCCUUGAGAAAUCAAACAGAGUUAGAAAAUGAAAAGAAUUCGACUUGCCUUGUAUUGGGUUUUCAUCAGAGAAGGUUCAGUACGAGCAAGACUUGUAGUAACUAGCAUGGAGAAGAACAGGACGGCCACCAUGAAAAGACUGUUGAACUUCAUCCUCCCCUUUUUUUUUUUUUUUCUGUUUUGUUUGGGGGGCUCUCCUCUGGGACGAGAAUGCUACAAUGGUGAGCUAAUAAUUCUUGGUUCGUGGGAAACCACCACUAUUUUCAUAUGACAUGAAAUGCAAGAGACGUUUGUAUAAUGGAGUGAGGGACAUAUAUAUAGUAGAAGAGGAUUUCUGAGGGAACAUGUGGAGAAAUUAUUGGGUUGAGAUGGAUAGAAUCUAAGGCGAUCAGUUGUUGACGGGUGGUCAGGCUCUCUAAUCUUUUUGAUUGCUUGCUCACUUUUUUGACUGUUGCUCGUCAAUGGAACAUUAAAUUAUUACUUAGACUUAGUAAAUUCACUGAGACACAUCCAAACAGAGAAGUGUUUGCUUUAGACUUCUUCUUUACUGCUUUACUAUGUGCAUACCCACAUUUGGUUCAUUUUAAUUUGAUCCGACCUACCAUAUAUUUGGAUCCAUUAUUGUUUUUAAUUGAGACCUUUUUACAUCUUUUUAUCAACGGAAUUAGGUACGAGCCCUAUUUAAUAAUUCAAUUCAGUAUUUAAAUUUAAUGGAUAUUCAGUUGCAUUUGAUAACAAAAAAUAGAACAUCUGAAGUAAUUAAACGGUAUUAAAUUUUUUAGAUACAACUUGGUCUCAAAAAUAAGUGAUAAGUUAUUAAUUUAUCACUUAAUGUGACACAUACUCAGAUGUAUCAAAUUUAGUAUUUAAAUAUGGAUUAAUUUUUCCUGCGACACUAUCAGCGUUGGAUGAACGACAACUAUGCAAAAUUUGAAUUUGAAAUUCAAUUUUUGCACACAUGUCAUGAAUCAAAUGACGAAUAUAGUAUACACUGUCAGACUUCAAAUUUCAGUUUUGAAACUUCAAUUUUAUCUUUUACUGAUAGUGCAAAUAAAUUCUUGUUCAGAGUUCGUUUCAAGUGGCAAAUUAAGUCUGGUAUUCUUGUUUGUGGAAUAAUUACACAAGUCCAAAAGGUUGGUAGUUGGUAAUACAAUUCCAAAAGCGAAUGAAUUUGAUUUGUAAUACAAUUCCAACUCGCAAAAGCAAGUAAAUGAAAACGUUUUUCAUAUAUAUAUAUAUAACCCGUUUCCAUAAUUUAUUUUGCACCUAGACACAUCGGGGCAUGGAAAAGGAGUAUGCUAACGGCCAUGGCUGUCAUUUGUGUAAAUGUAAUCGAGAUGAGCCACAGAACUUUUCUGCAUCAAGCACUCUUCUUCAUCCUCCGCUCCUUGGCAGCUUGCUCCUUCAACCCCCACGAAUUUCUCCGCCUCAGGAUUCUACAGCAGUUAUUAAACAAUAAAAAAAAAAUCAAAAUAAUAAAACGCCAGAAAAAGGGGAAGGAAUCAAGCACGGUUAUCAAUCUGCAGGAUGGACAGUACCUCCUUUCGGGCUUUCAGCAGAGAAGGAUCACCGCGAGCGGUACAUGUAACGGUGAGUAACAGUAGAAUGGCUACAAUGAAGACGGCAUUUUGCUUUGACAUUUUUAUUUUGGGGGGAUCAAAUAUUAGUAAUUCUGAUUGAUUUGGGUCGGAAGGAAGGAAAUACCUUAUAGGGGAAGGAAGGGAGGAAAUUAAACGGAAAUGAGAUUGCCAGCCUCAGACAAAGCUGUCGUCGUGUACAAAGCAUUUUAUAGAAGCUGCGUCUAGAUGCUGCGAAUUAGAGAUUGGGCCAUUUGGCGCGGUCAAACUUUCCGACCUUAAAGAUCAUUAUAAUGGGCCAUCCUUUACUCUAUUUGACAUUCACUAGACCCAAAAAAAAAAAAUGGAGAUGUACUAUCAUCAUUUCUCAAUGCUAGAUACUUGAUCUCGUGUACCAUGUGGCACGCCACCUAGUAUGUUGAACCAAUUGAAUGAUACUUCAAACUCUUAUUUCCUGUUACGGUGAAUCUAUUUUUGUUUCUAAAGGAUACUCAAAGACUUUUGGUUGGAAAAUGAGAAAAUAGACGAGACGAGAUUCAAACUAAAAGCUUCACGAUUACUUGACUAAUAUUUUGAUAGGAAGGGACAAUUUGGAUGGCACAAACGAGGGAGUGUAAGUGAAAGAUUUCGAAGAUUUCCACUGAUUAUGUUGAGUUUGGGUGAAUAUGUUUUAUUGACAUGUCGGCCCAAGCCCUUGAUUUGUGUGCUUAUGAGGUUCCUUAGUGGGCCUAGCAGUUUUGAAACUUGAUCCAUGGAGAGAUUUCAAAUAUCAAAUGGCUUUCCUACUGAUCCAUUAAUAGGAAUGCUUGGGCUUUUGAGUAUCAACCAAGUGGGUAGGGCAAACAGCCCAAGACUAGCUUUUAUGGCAAUAAUCGCAGAAGGCCAAACUAGUGGGUCUAGAUCCGCACCGUUGACGGGCCUAAUUUAGUCAUGCGAACAGCAGCUAGUAACCACUUAUCAAUGAGACUUGAAUUGGAAAUUACUCUUUCGAAUGAGGUUUCAUACUUGCAAUAAAAAUUUAGUAACUAAUGAUAUUAACAAUUAAAUUAUGAAAUGUUGUUAUCAUCAGAGUUUAUCUACACAAAAUGGCUUUAAAACAAUAUGUUUAUGUGAUAGACACAAACAUAAAAGCUCUUAAGGAUCAGGAGGUGGAGACUGCAAAAUCUUCUAACCUGUGUCCAUCGUAUAGUUGCUUCGAGUAGAAUUUCUUUCAUCAUUAAUAUACAUUAGCACCUAAUAGAUCGAUCGUCUAAUCAUAGUCUCCCAUACUUCUUAGGAACCGAAAGAGAUUUUCAAAUUUGAGAAUCAGGGUUACCAGUCAUUUUUAUUUUCUAAUUGCCAUGCCAAAGAGUUUAGAAAUUUGCAAAUUAGGGUUCUCAGUCUUUUUUUUUUACCUGUGACAAAAUUAGAGAAAUCCAACAGUGUGAAAAUGCAAACAAUUUUGAGCUCAAUAACAUUAAUUACAAGUAAUUCACACAGAUGGUGAGUGACAGCAACAAUAGCCUUGCGUCAUAGUUGAUUAGGAGUGUUCAAAAUUUUGGUUUCUGUAAAUGUGACUCCAAAAUGAUGUAUUUGUAUGCCGGUAUGUGCUUGUAGAUGAGCAUGAAGAAGCAGAAUAGGCAAAUGUAUAUGGCCAUCUAGUGGUGGUUUUGGUAUCAUCGACCAAUUAUAUCUACAUCACCUAAACUACGGAUUGAUCACUUGAAUAAAUAAAACCUCAUCCUCAAUUGGACCAUUCAUUGUACUCUAUUUAUGGCAAUAUACAUUACUAAAUGUUUCAACUCCCAAAUAUGCGUGGGAGGAGGUAGUUUGUUUGUUGACAUGAAAUUGUAUUCUCAGAUGCAUUGCGUCGUAUUCAUGGCCCAUGGCUAUAUCCAGUGCUGUUAAUUUGCAAGAUAUACAUGUACAUGGUGAGUAUUCCUAAGGUAGUGAGAUCGAAAUUCCAUGUUCAUAUAAAAGUUAAAAGAAGAACUGAAGAAGAACCCUAAUUAAUUAAUGUAUACAUGUAUUACUCAAAUAUACCCUUUCUUUUUUCCUUGUUUAUCAGUAGUAAUAUAUCCCAAUAUUUAAAAUAUCAACGCUUACAUGGGUCUACGACAGAUCUUAUAUGCAAAGAAAAUAGCCAUUGAUUGUGGGGUGGGUGGCUGCUACUGGCUAGGGGAAGAUCUACAAAGAAGAAAAAUUAUUCUAAAAUGAAAGUGUAGAGGCUAAUCCCAAUGAUGAAAAGCGCUUUAACGCUUGACUCUCAUCAUAAUGUUGGACACGCUUGUUCUUUGUUUAUUCCAUGUCUCGUCCGCACCUUUCCAUUAUUUCUCAUGUAUGGGUUAAUCUAUGGUACUAAUUGGCUACACAUGCUUGGAUCGGCUUGUCUAGGAUAUUUCUUUAGGGACAAAGUUACCCUUUUCUUCACCUCUUUUUUUUCCUUCUCUUGAACCUUCUAUAUUAUUUUCUACCCUCAAAAAAAAAACCCUUCUAUAUUUUCUCAAGCUCUCAUUCCUUAUAUAUAUAUAUAUGGAGAGAAAGACCUUUAAGGGUUUGACUAGAAAAGAAACAAGAAAACAAAACCUGAAUAAUUUUUCCACAAUGAUUCUACAACUUAAAGAUCUAGCUAAAAUGCUACGCUUGUAUAUCAAAUUUUUUCAAAUAAUAUUUUGCUUGCAUCAUAAACAUAUUUCCUAAUCCGUCUUUUUAUCUCACAUCAAAAAAAUUUCUAUAGUAAUUAUUUCAAAUAAUACUCUAUCCAAACAAACCAGAACGGGCUAAAUUACACUUGAAAAUAACCAAUAACCAUCACUUAAUUAAUUUGUCAUCUUUUUCAUGCAAGCAUAUGGACUUUCAUAUUGCUGUACUUAUAUGCCUCUGCACAAACGUAUAUAUGUAUAAAAUGUGUUUUGUCAUGGCUGUGUACAUGCAAAAUAUGUCCCUUUCACCACUUAUAACUGUUAAUAAUUAGCUACCAAACCCGCUCUGAGAUCUCACUUGCCAAACUAAUCCAUUCAUUAAUUAGCGCCACUAAAACCUCUAAUGAUGACACCAUUUUGCGUUGCCAAUACAACUAUUUUGUAAUUUCACACAUCCAGUAAAGGCCAUGCCUAGGCAAUAAAAUUAGACUCCUUAUAAAUCCUCAGUCAAGAAUUCAAGAUUUGAUCUCUAAAGAGUGUAGUGAAUACUCAAGACAGCUUUUCACCCAACAAAAAAAAAAAAAAAACACUCAAGACAGCUCGAUAAAUAUCUUCUCUCACCAUCUCAUAUUCUCCUUCAUCUGCUGCCAUCAAACAACCAAGAAGCUAGCAGACUUGUGAUAUUUCCAAUCCAUGGCAGCAACAACCAGCUCCUCAAGUAGCUGCGCCACCUGCUUCAACCACGGAGCCAAUUCAGUCGAGACCAAGAUGGCCCGAUCUUCACCAAAUAACCACGGCUGUUCACCAGGGUGCGGAAGGCUUGAUGGGGUGGCCAUGUGGAUAAUAAAUGGUGUUGCUAGCGCAUUCUUUGCUUCCUUAGAUAGAUGCUCUUGCAUCCGUAUAGCAACUGUGGAUGAUACUGAUGAUUCCAACGACUUGCCCCUGAUCUUCAACGAUGGAAAUAAUAGUACAAGUGCACUUGAUGGUAGCGGUCGAAGAAGAACAAACAGCAAAGGAAAGAGAGAUGGAGUUUUAAUUUAUUGAAGACUGAAUGAUUGAAGCAAAUUAAGGGUGUCUUUUCCUUGGUAAGUUUAAUUGUGCUAUGGGGUCUGGACUUGGAUGUCCUUAUGAAGCUUAUUUUGGAUCGAUGUGGGGUUGGGAUCAUAUGAAGAAUGCUGGUUUUCUAUGUUUAUGUAAUCUUAAUAUUGAUCAUCCUCGAUGAUGAAGAAAAGUAUAUGUGGUUUAUAUGUAUCCGAAAUUUCAAUUGAUCAAAUUAUUUACUCUUUCCGUAUGUUUAUAUUGAUCUUAUUCUUGCUUGCAACCGACUUAGGAGGUGGAACUAAAUGAGCUGUUUUUGUUUUGAGUAUAAGAUUAAUUUCCAAUUUUCUCAUGGCCACAUUUAAAAAUCAGCAAAGUCAGAUGUUUGAAGCGUAACUAUUAUUCUUUCUUCUGUUCUUUGUUUUGGGCUUUUUUUUUUUUUUUUACCGUAUUAAAUUAAGCUUCAAUAAAGUGGUCUUGUAAUCCCUGUUUUUGUUUUCUUUGUGAAGUUCCCCUUUGGUCGAUAACUCAAAAGAUAUCCCUUCUUCUUCUUAUUUUCUAUAGUGCUUUUGCAAGUUGUAAUUUGUUCAUUUGCUUAAAGUCAAUUUGGAACUUGAGCAGCGGGCCACAUUACGGUUGGACAAUUUUGUUUGAGUUCCAUAUGUUAAAGAGUACAUUCCUUCUCCAAUUCUAAGAAGAACCACGAUCUAAUGCAGCAGAUGUAUAUAAGAAACACAAUCAAUUAUCAGGGUCUGAUUUAAAACCACACACACACAAAAAAAUAUAUUUUUUUCUACUUGGCAUUUCAUUGGGCUGUAUUUCGCUGUACCAUGCACCAUGAUCAUAAAUAAUGGAGGCAGUCUGGAGCCUCAACACCUCAAUUAUUUAAAGUCUACACAGUUGUUAUUAUUUUAACUAAAUUUCUACUCUUUUUAUAUAAACUUGGCUUGCUCAUGAUCCUUCCCUAAUGUGUCAUUGUGGACAUAAUUCAAGUUAGCAUGGUCUUUCCUCCUCUUCAGAAUUUUACUUGAAUUUUACUUAACGGGCAUGUCUGACAAAUUUGUGUUUUAUAGUAGCAAGAAGGUGUGAAGAGGAGGGCUCAGUGGUUAGGGGAGGAUUUUUAGAGUUUUUAUUGAAGCCUGAGUUUGACAAUUACAAAGGAAAAGACUGUGAGUAGGGGUGGGAGGUAAAAAAAAAAAAAAAAAAGAAUAAUUUCACAAAUUUCCCCUGCCAUUUUUUACAAUUACAAAGAGCUCCCCUUAAGUUUUAAAAAUUAUAUAUACCUCCCAUACUUUUACUAUUUCGUAACAAUGUAGGUCUAAAAACUUAGAUUUUCUUUCAAAAAUCCUAAAUUGUCCUUUUGUACAAAACUAAAAAAGAAAAAUAUAGUAUAUUCAAUUAUUUUCUUUUACACUUUGCAUAAAUCAACAAAACAAGUCCUGAGAACCAUCGAAACAUAAGUUUUAAAAUCAAAUAGCAAUAUAAAAAAUCUCAAAUUGCAUAUACAAUAUCAAUACUUGCCACGAUAAAAAAAAAAAACACACACACACACACACACAAUCCAAUUGACAAUCAAUUUUAUAGCCCCAAAUAAAUAUCAAUACUCAAAUAUAAGUUAAUUUGACCUAGAAUUACUAUUACAAUUCUCUUAUGGCCUUAAAAAUAUUAAUAUCUCAAAAGUGGAGAAUAAUUCUACCUCCACAAUAAAAUCAUAAUAAAAAAAUUUCUAAUCCAAUGAAAGAAAGCAUUAUGUAAUUAUUGACAUUUUAUAAAAGUUUUUCUUAAUAACAAACAAAAGAUGACAAAUUUCACAUUUUUAGUUCUUUUUCCUAUUUCAAUCAUCAAUUUCAUUACUUAUUUCUCUAUCACUAUGAGUCUUUUCAUUUCCUUCUAGUUUGACACAUAAUCUAAUCCCUUUAUAGAUUUUGUAAUUUUAAUUUACUAAUAUCCACAAAAUUAAAGAUAAUAAAAAGAGGUUAUAUUAACUAGAAAAUAGACAUGAGACAGCAAAAUAGAUUUUUUUAGAUUUUAUAAAUUUAUUGUCUUAAAUUUAAAAUUGUCUACUAAGUAGAUGGUAUUAUAAGUAUUUUACUAUGUUAAAGGAGAUAAGUAUAAAUUUUCAAACCUAAGGGGAGACGAGUGAAAUUGUCAGAAACCUCAAGGGAGGUUUCUGAAAUUAUCUCUAAAAUAUGUCAAAAAAGAUGAGAAGACAGAUUGGGAAUCAUCUAUCUUCUGAUUUUGUGCCAUCAUUCGAGAGUAGCGUACGCACCAAAAUUGGCACAAAGCACUAGCGUGCUGGCUGAUUCCUGCUUUUAUAAUUAGUACCAAAAGAAUUGCAAAAAAGAAAAGUAAACGAGCAUUAAAGUAGCUUUUGUUCUUGGUAAAACACUACUUUUUAUCAUGAUUAUGUCGUUUAAAUUAUGACACUCUUGAAUGAUCCACCGAAUAUGAUACUUUUUUUUUGUCGCAACGGUAUCAUUCUUAUAGUCUAAUCUCAGCUAAUCUAGGAAGGAAGAACUGAUGGAAAUAGAAAUUUGGAUUACAAGAAUUUCAAAUAAAAAUUUCAAAUUUUAUUUUGCUUGCAUCAUACACACAAUUUUCAGUCAUCUUUUUAUCUUACAUACAUCACAUCACAAAAAAGUGCUACAAUAAUUAUUUCAAAUAACCUCCUAUCCAAACAACCAUAUUCAUCGGAGAAAAUCACUAAUAGAAACUCCAUAUCCAUAAGAGAAAAUCGCUAAAGAUAAUCACAUACAGUGACAAUUUGAUGGGAAAUAAGGAUUCAACCCUUGACCUCUGAACACCACUAAGACUUUAUGUGUUUGAUAGUGACCACCAGGCUAAAGGGCUCCCGGCAAAUAUGGUACUUCUUUUUUUUUCUUAACAUAAGGAGUAUCCCAAAUUUUGCCAGACUAAUCUCCCUGUGCUUGUACACCCCGCCUCCCAAAGAUACACAAAUUAAGAAAGUGACUCAAACACAUGAUGUCGGGACCUACCUAAACUACCCGAAACCAUUCGAGCCAAUCCCAAGGGGCAAUGGCGAAUCUGGUACUUGUUACUUUAGAUUUUAAUGAGUUAAAAACGGUGAAAAAUGGUGUGGACUAAGCCCAAUGAAUGAUGAUAUUGGGUUUGUUGAUGCAUAGUCGAGAGUUAGUCACUUGGUUUGAAGAUGAUUUUGCCAGGGUGUUUACCAAUCACCAUAAAGGGCUUCGAAUGAGGGAGCCUAAGUUUUCAGACGUGCAGAGAGCUUAGGCCUGGGUUAACCAGGCGGCAAUCUUGCUUGCUUGUGUUGGAAUAUAUGAAAUUUGAGGCUCAAGCCUAAAAAUGCGCCUGAAAGUCCACUUUUAAGUCUGUAACCAGCAAUUUAAAAAAAAAAAAGUCUUUUUAAAAAUAUCCUCUACAUUUAAAACUAUACAAAAUCAUUUCCACAUUUCUGCUAGAAUUGCUGAGGCUGUAGCUGGUCGGGAAGCUUUUCUAUUUGCGACGGCAUUACUUAUUCUAUCUUUCUCCAUUGAACCGCAGUUAUCCGGAAAAUGCGGAACACAGAAGAAGAUGAUUCCUCUGUCAUAGGUAGAGGUGCUGUCGAGUCGAGUCGAGUAAUACACUCGAGGCAAAAUAACUAAGCUCGAACUCGAGCUCGACAUCGAUUUAUGGAACUCGAGCUCGAACUCGAGUUCGAGUUUGAUUAAAUGUAAUUAAUUCAAAUCAAACUCAAUCGAGUUUAUUCGAGCUCAAGUAAUAAAAAUUAAUAUUUUAUAUAUAAUUUUAAAUAAAGAAUAUUAUUGACAUUUCACAAUAAUAAAAAUUAAAAUAUAUAUUACAAAAACUUCGAUAGAACUCGUCGAGCUCUCGAGUAUUAUAUUCCCAAGCUCGAGCUCGAUUCGAUAGCUCUAACGAGCAGCUCGAGCUCGAGCUGCUGACCAAGUAGCUCGCCUAGUCAUAGGUCCUAUCGUUAAUGACUUGCGUGAUCAUUUGAAUAGCUUAAGUAAUGUAUAUUUGAGAUGGGUGCCAAGGGAAUCAAACAAAGCUGAACACGUCUUUGGCAUUUCACGCUAAGUCUUAACAAUUCGGUUGAAUUUUUUUGGAACUCAACGCCUACCUUUGUCAAGCAAACAGUACUGGAUGAUUUCCAUUAAGUCUCAUAAAUAAAAUUUCUCUCUUUUUUUAUCAAAAAAAAAAUCAUUUCCACAUUAUAAAAAACGUACUAAAUUUGUUCCAAAACCCAAUUCCAAUCAAAGUUUUGAGAUGCAUGUCCUAGUCACAUGCGUAUUAAAUCAAGGGCAGAAUGGAAAAAUAAAAUUCUUUCCCUCCAAAAUUUAAUGAGAAAAUGACCAAUUUUAUUCUUCGUAACGUGUUUCUUGGUUACUUUUCAAUGAUACUAUUUAUUCAUCUUCAUAUUUAAAAGGAUGCAAAUCAACCGUAAUUUACUAGAAACGUACGAUCUUGUCCCAAAGUUAAAUUUUUAUCACUGUUUUGGCCGAGAGUCGCAUGCCUUGGCUCUGUCUAUAUAAGCAAAUGAUAGGGGAAAAAAAAGCGCAGACGACAAACUAAACAUUGUUGUUAUUAGUAAUGCAUGUUUCGUUAGGGGUGGGAUAAAAUAUUUGUUGAUCCGAAAACCCUCUAUAUCCAAUCUGAAAAAUAGGGUACUUGAUCCGCAUUAUUUAAUUGAGUCAAAAGACGAUUGGAAACCUGUUUAUAUGCGGGUCGCAUAAGGGUUAUAGAAUUAAGAAUUCCUAAGUAUUUAACCUGUCCUGCAUAUAUAUAUUAUUUAUUUUUUUAUGCACAUACUACAAAAUAAUACUUUUACAACUAAUUAAGUAAUUUCAUUGAACAAAUUGCACUACAAAUACAAGAGACCAUAGUUUGUUUACAAUAUUUAUUUAUAGAGGUCAUAUCUUAUAUUUUUUAGAAAAGAGUUUAGUUGAUGUGGAAUAUAUAUAUUUAAACAAAAAGGUACUACUUAUUUUAAAUUUUCAUCAUUUUGAAUUCUUUUAAUUUUUUCCUUUUUCUUGUAUUUUCUUUGCAUGCUUGUUUCUUGGUAGGAGACUUUAUUUUUAGAAAAAUCUUCGUUAAGUUUUAGAUAAAUAUGUAAGAUAUAAAAUUAAAUUAGUAGAAAUUAUUUUUAAAAAAAAUUAAAUAAUGAGCGGGACGGGGCAAGUACCCAUUGAUCUGACUCUAUCUUAACAAGCACCCGAUUAUUGAAUAUCCGCUGAUAUGUGGGGCAAAAAUGAAUAAAAAAAUAGUUCACGCGUAAAGUGCGGGUCGAGUCAACAAAAUGGUGCAUGAAAUUGGAACCCAACCCUUGCCCAAUCCUAAUGUCCAUCAAAAAGGAAAAUUCCGUAUAUGAAUCUAUUGAUGCAAUAGCGGAUAAAAAGAUAGCAAAAUUUGUUUAUGUUUUAAUGAUAUUUUAUUUAUUUAUUAAAUAGGAGAGAGCUAAGAUUUAAAAAGUAAGUUGCGAGAAAGAAAGUCCUUUAGUCUUAACUUUAACUAAUAGACUAAGGCCUCCUCCUUUCCCCAACGAUAUUGUUAUUUGUUUUCCUUCAAUUUUUAUUAAAAUCGAUAGUUUCAUAAUUGAGUUUUUCUAGCUAUACAUUACCAUUUACUAAUAAUUAAACAUGUAUUUUUCAAUGAAGCACAAAACACGUAUUAUUCAGUGAAGCACAAAGUCAGGUUUAAUUUUUGUAAUGGCCCCUAAAACAAUAUAAAUAUGGCUUGAGUCGCAAUAUAAUAUGGCUAGAGGCUAAAGCAUGCGACUCUCAGCCAUAAGAGUAAAUCUAUCAUGGUUAUAUGAAUGAAAUUCAAAUUUUACACGUCAUAUGUUUAACGAUAAUAGUGUAUACACUGACAAUAUAUACAAGAUUAUCUCCAUUUAAAAAGUUUAUUUAAAUUUGAUAAUAGCAUGAAAUUUCCCGCUUCUUAAAUCCCAAUCAUUCUCUACUUUGAAAAAAUUGAUAAAUAAAAAUUUCAGGAUGAUUUUGUAUCCUUUUAACGGUGGGCAAGAAAGAAAACAUUAAGUGUUAAUAUAUAAAAGUACUAAUCACGUUUGUUGGACAAAAAAGAAAGAAAACAUUAAGUUAAUUGAAUUUUGGUCCUGGGACAGAAUUGGUAUGUUUUCAAAAUGUGAGCGAUUUUUUUGCAUCAUUUCGAAGAUGGGGACAAAAAAAGGUAUUUUGAGAAAAAGUGAGGGACGAAUUUGGUCAUUUGUCCUUCCCAGCUCAAUUUCAUCGAGCAUCUUCGUUCCCGUGGAAACAGGUGGAGAGAGAGCGAAAAUCUACUGUGUCCUGCGUGGCAUCAAAUCCACGCGUCUCCUCCACAAGUCUCUACGGAAAUUCACUAUUUUUUGUGCAGUUUAAGUUCGUUUUGUAAUUGAAUUUAAGAGUUUCUUUGCCAUCUGGUUAGGUUAAUAGUUCCGGCGACAGACGGCCGAAGUCCAAAAAAAAUGCUGCGUGACGGCAUGACCCAAACUCCUAGUCGGUAAGCCCAAGUACAGAAUUGCAAUUCCGUUUGUGUAAUUUGUGGAGUAAUUUGAAUGAUUAGUAUUUCAGCUUAUCCGAGUUUUUAAUUUCAGUAUUAAAGUAGAAACUGUUAAUUCUGUAAUUUUGGUUUAUUGGACUUGCUUCUUUGUUGUUUUGAGUAAUUGACCUUGCUAACUUUGACUUAUUGAGGAAGUGCUCUGGAAGUGCAUAUUUAAUUCAGGAGUUUGUAUUGAGUUUUUACUUAGAAAUAUGGAGAAAAGAAAAAGACUGAAGAUAAUUUUGUAGCAUUCUUUUUUUUUAACAAGUAGUUUGGAAAAUGGUGAGGAAGCAACUUCGAUGUAGUACAGUGCAGUUGUUUUUAGUUAUUGUGGGAACGGGAAGUUACUGAUGCAAAUACAAGUACUGCUGUAAAGAAAGAAGGGAAAAUUUAUAGUGAUAAACACUAGCGAACUUUCAUGGUCUAAAUCAUAAUAAUGAGCAAUAAUUUGGUGAAUAGAUUUUGCCUACGAGAGUUGUGAAAAGGAACAAUGAAAAUAAAAAAGGAAAUCUUCUUGGCUUAUUUUUAUGUUUCUUUUUUAAGUUUUUCCUAUCAUGAAACAGGUUUGAGUUGUUGAGUAUGGUGAGAAAGCAUUCCAAGUUUCUAGCAAAACCUUCAGCAGAUGAAGAUGAUGCCUCGGAUGUGGAAAUGGAUAUCCAUUUCUGGCAUGAUGUAUUGAAUGUGUAUUUUGUAAGCGGUAAGGAGUCUAGGGGCCGUCAGGAGGAUGAUAUGCUGUUCUUUGUUAGAAAGGUGGUGUUUUGUUAUUCAUAUGAUGCUUGGUUUAUUUUCUUGGUCCCAAAGGUUGAGUUACAUGUCCCCUGUGGUGAAAUCUGAUAUUGCAUGUUCUGCUAAAAGGGUUCGGAUGGAAAUGGUUCAAGUGAGAGCGGGGAAGACAAUUCUCCUUUCUUCGUACGCAGGUGGGCACCUAAGGUAAAUGCUGGAUAAUUUUGUAAUUUAUGUUCCUUUAUGUGGGUUGAAGCAAAUUUUCAAGUCCUUUUAACAUGAAACUCUGUACUUCAGUAAUUCAUGAAUGUUGAAACAUGCCAACUCUCUAUAGACUAGUUUUGGACAUCAAAGUUAACAUCUUUAUUAGUAAGCAAAGACUAUAUUUUGACUCUUAUUGACCCUUCUUCUUGUUUUCUGUCUGCAGUUGGAUGAAUUAGUCGGUGAUAGUUUAUUAACAGUGGACUGGCGGCGCUCAUUUUACUUGAAUUUAAUUGCUCAUAGCUCCUUUACUGUUACAGUUGCUAUUUGCAGGUGAUGUCCUUUAUUCAGUGCAACUUUAAUUAUUAAUUUGUUUCUUUAAAGAUGCUCUUCUGACAUGUAAGCUUGAGCUUUUUAUUCUUCAUUUUAGCAGAAAGAUAAUAGGCAUCAAAAAAGGAGAGAGAAAAGAUGGUAUACAUGCAAUUUGAUAGUAUAGUUAAAAAAAUAUGUUUCAUUCACCACAUUGGGUAUAGACAUCUUCUCCUGAUCAUUAGACAUUGUUGUUAUUUUGUGUGUGUGGUUAUUUGGUUCUUCCAUCUUUGCUAUGCCAUACAUGUGUAAUAUGAGUGCUAUAUGGUGGUUUGGUUUGGUAUGUGUGCAAAAGCUUUGUUCUGCUGUUUUUAGUAGCAUUUUCUUGAUGGUGUCAUGUUUCCAGUCAUCAGGUGCUUCGGAAUUAUCAGAGUGUCCAAGGCAGACCUCUGGCUCCAAUAUACAAGGUAUUUGUGCUAAACACUGUGUAUUCUUAGACAAUAAAAUUUCUGCUUAGAACUGCAUGAACUAUGUUUUCUAUGUUUAUGAUUGAUAUUCUCUUUGAGUCUAGCUUCUGUCGCUUGAAAGCAUUAAGUGCGACCCCAAAAGACUUCUCUAACCUGAAUGAACCGUUAGGACCAUUUUCUUUAUGGUAACUAAGAAAAAUUACAUAUGUAUCUUUUCCACUUCAGAUGGUGGAUGCAUAUUUUCCUCAUUCUCAUUUCAUCCUUCAAGAUAUAUUGGUCAGAUUUGAAUGCACCAGUUUCUUUGGCCUGUUGAUAGGUUGUGAAGACUGUCUAUGCAUCUCCAAGUCGUAUCAAUUUCCAUUUGGACUCUAGAAAGGCAGGUUUUUGCUAGAACUGUCCUAUUCUUAUGCUUGAGUUUCAUACAAGUUUCUAUAUACAUUCUUAUAAUUGCCCAUUCAGGAAGUAGAAACAACCGCUGCCUAUCCAGAUAUAUGUUUCGCUGUUGACGACUUUGAUUCCACAUUUGAUGCAGUGGUAAAUAUCUUUGUGGUUGUCGAUUAAUUAGAUUUUGUUGUUCUACCUUGAAGGUUGUGCUGCUUUGAAGCAUUGGGUUGUUUGUUUUGUCAUUUAAAAACACCAGUGGCCAGUUUGAUUUGUAGAACACUACUCUGCUCUAUGCACUUUGUACUUAGGUAAAGUACCAAUAAACUAGUUAUCUUUGCAGUCUGACUACCUGAAAAAACGAAAAAGCCAUUUAUGAAUUUGUUCAUUUUAAUCAUCCAGUCCUGCAAAUUUCCCCCUUCUGCUGUCUUUACCUAACUCUACCACUUUAGGUUUCUUGGGAUGGAUGGGUUGGGGUAAUUAUGUUAGCUUCAUACCUAUUCUCUAAAGAACUGUUGGACUGUAACAUUGAUCAUCUUAUCAGAAACAUUUUGUUUGGCUCAUCAAUGGCUUUGAGGGCACACCAAGAAAAUUGACAAUUAAGAUUUUGGUUAAUAAGGCCCCUUUUUUUUUUUUAAAUUGAAUCUCUAUUGACUUAAAAUUUUUGGGCAUACCUUUCUUCUUAUUCUCUGUCAACAUCUUUCAUGUUCUGUAAACCUUCUAUCAUAGUUCAUGAUUUUGCAUUGAUUAUGACUGCCCUGCUUAAGUCUGUGUGUAUUCAUGUUGAUACAUUUAAAAUUGCAGUUUACCAAGUGAAAAGACUAACCUCACUCUAGUAUUUCUACAAGUCACUAUCUUCUUGUUCUUUUGUAGGUGUUGACAGAUGUAGAUCAUUGUUAUUGUGUAAUCCUUAAUGCAAAUGAUGGGGCAGCAUUUCCAUAUGAAAAUUUACAGCAAGAUAACAGUUCUAGAGACAAUUUUUCUUUGAAGAGUGGCACAACAGCAGUGAAGACAAAGAGUUCUAAGGUCUGGAAUGAACUGAUCAUUUGUUGGAAUAUAAAUUUCUGCUCUCUAUGUUGCUAACUGGUAAUUUAAGGAUCAUGUUGGACUUCUUGGUUCUCGGUUGGUAGAUGCACUAGCUGUUGUGGCAUGAUCUCUUCUGUCUGCCAGAAGUUUUUAAUUGAAUUUACUUGCCAUGCCAUUGAUGGCAAAGUGAAUCUAAGAUUAGAGAGGAGUCACAAUAGCACCUGUAUCUUUCUUAAUUAAAUGUAUGUAAGAACUGAAGGCAUUUUGGGUUACAGUGGAGAAUAGAGAGGGCCAGACAAGUUACUUGUAUUUUAUGAAAGAACAGAGAGUAGGUUAGUUAGUUAGAUUCUCUUAUCUUUUUUCUUUUUGGUAGCGAAGGGUUUUUCAUCUUUAAAAAGUGGAUAUUACUGGAAAGAUUUUAGAAGGGAAGGAAAGGAAUUCAAUUAGAAUACAAAAAGGGUAUUUUAUCAUAAGAAUCCUUUUUAUUUUUCUCAAAUUUAAAACUGGCAACUCUCAAUCGCAUCUAUAGUUUUGAAAUAUAUUUGAGGAGAUUAUUAUUAGUGUAUGGGUAUGUCUCUGUUUCAUUCCUCUCUCCAGAAAAAUGAAUAGCAUGGGGCAAAUUCAAAUAUUAUUUGCAAAUGUUUAUGGCAUUGACAGUCCAUACUCCAAUGAGCAUGAUAAGAGAUGUUUUAAGAGAAGUUUAUGCACAAUAAUGUUUUAACAUGCACCAGAAAUUAUCAAUUCUAGGUUUAUAGCCUAGAUGUUUCUGAUUGAUUUUAAACACUCAGUCAGUUUUCAAAUGUCAAGCUCAGGUACUUGACAUUUUUUCUGGAACAUAGUUACAUUAGUUUUGAAUGACUGGACAUGGAUGGUGAUUUGAAGUUGCUGCUUUUGUGUGCAGACUACUCUUUUCUCAGGCUUUGUUAGCUAUCAGAUGGUCCGAGAUGCCUAUGAUGGUAAGCUGAGUUCUGUGUUGUAAUGUUCCAUCAAUAGUAAGUUACGCCAUUGUUUUUGCUCAUUCUCUGUACUUUAAACCUAAUUUUUGAGUUCAAGCUGACUGUUAUUGAUUUGCAAUACGUACUACCUAGAGGAUAAUCUUGGCAUUUAGUGAUAACCAUAAACAGUAGCUAUAUUUGCUGUAAGACUAAAAGUUGUGUGAUGACCACGAGAUUUUGGUGCUGGAAUCAAAUCAUUUGAGGUGCUAACAGGUACAGCUCACUGAAUGUGGCUUCUUCAGAUGCACUCAUAUUUUUGGGGGAGCUUUCCAUUUUAUUUGAAUGGCCAUAGUUUGACUUGGCAUGAAUAAUCAGUCAAGACUUGAAUAUCAGUGUAGUUCAAAAAGGAAAUUGCAGAUAUGUUAGGCCCUUGUUCUGUCCAAUGGACAUUCAAGUUUUAUUCUAAAUUGAAGCUUUUCUUUACAUGGCGAUUAUUCUCCUCAAAGUUUGUCCACUGUUAAUCUUGGCUUCUAAUGAUCACCUUGAACAAUUGUUAAAUUUGCUGUAAGACUAAGAGUUUGUGUUAUAACCAUGAGCUUUUGGUGUUGGGAACCAAACCAUUUGAGGUGCUAACAGUUACAGCGUAAUGAAUAUGGGUCCUUCGAAUGAACUUAUAUUUUUGGCGGACCCUCAUUUUUUUGUGGAUUGCCAUAGUUUGAAUUGGCAUGAAUAAUUGAUCAAGACUUGAAAAGCAGUAUAGUUCAAAAAGAAAAUUACAAAUGUGUUAGACCUCCAUUGGAGUUCAUUUAUAUGGAAGUGGAGAUGUAUAUUUCUUUUUUAUUAUCCUGUUCUGUCAAAUGAACAUUCAAGGUUUAAUUUUUACAUGGCAUUUUUCUCCGUAAAGUUUGUCUGGUGUCUGGUUGGUAAUUCAAGUUGAUCUAGUUUUGUUGCUCUAUUUCUCCUGAGUUUACAGCUGGGAGGACUGGAUUUGGGAGCCUUCUGUCACUUGCUCAUUCUCCAGGCAAAGCAGAUAGACUUUACAUGAAAGGACCUGGAGGACGUGGCGAAGUUGAGGUGGCUGUUUCUGGUGUUGUAGGUAGAAAACUCACUGAUGCUUAUACAAUUGUGGAAACAAUAGUUCUAUUUGAAAAUUUUGUUUCCAUGUUGCAGAAGCAUAUAUGUGCUGAUAAUUUUGGGGCCUUUGUUUCAAAUUUUAUUAAUAGUUGGAUGCAUUAGUGUCAACUACAUCUUUGUAAUUAAUUAUACUCAACUGUAGGGAAACAUUUAAAAUACUAACAUGUUUUUUUACCAAUUUUCAACUUUUGUCUCCUUUUUGAGUGGGCUACCAAAGUUGCACUAUUGCUCAUCUGUUCUUUACAAGCUCCUUUCUUGUACACUUUCUUUCUGGAACUGUUCAAAUUUCUGUUACUUCACUAUUUGAUAAGUGCAUUGUAUUCUCAGGUGCUGCUUGCAUUUAGAACCUCGAUGUCUCUUUCUUUCUGGUUGAUCAACUCAGUUAAGUUUUGGUAUCUAAGGACGGAAUUUGAUGUGCUACUUCUCUUUCUUGCAGACCAAGGCAAGGAAGAAUGGGAUCAUCAUUCUAGUAAAGGAUUAAGCAUUGGCAAAAUUGUAAGGAGGGCAGCAUCUGUUGCUUCUGUCGCAGCAAAGCAUGCUUAUGCUGCUGCUUCUUCCACCCGCAGUUCUUAUGAGGAGAUGCUCCCCCUGAGGUGCUGCUUGAUGUCCAUAUCACUGCCAUGGGAACAUAUUGCUCAUGAUCUUUUAUUCAAGGUAAUAGCUUUGGCCUUUUAGUUACUCUAGCAAUUGUGGGUGAAGCAUCUUUCUCUCCGGACUUUUUAGUCCUUAGACUAGUUUCACAUCAUAUUAGCUGUUUCUUCAAUAUAAGGUUCGCUAUCAAAAUGUUUCUGACUUGUCCUCCAUGUUCUUAAUUUAGGGAAGUCCUCCAGUGAACUUGUAGGAGUACAUGAUGUCUGGUGAUAAGUGGGAUUUUGUUUCAGCAUGUUUAAAGAAAUUUUUCUAAAAGAUGAAUGCUGGAAGGAGGAGGUGAUUUUGAAGCGAGCUUAAAGAAGACAAACAGCACUCAAAACUUAGUGGAUAAACCCAUAUUCCCCGCUCUUUCAUGGGAGACCUGUCCCCUAGAAACAACACACCCAAACUCGGCUGUAUGAUUGCUGGCAUAGAAAAUUCACAAGUUUUGUGUAUGGGAACGGGUCAUGAUGUACAUUCUUGCUAUUUAGAAUCAACAGGUCAUUCGUUAUUGGUUCAUAUGCUCUUUAGCUUGGAAAUAUUUGUCUCUUGUAUCAUUAGAUGAAUCUAUUUCAUAUAUAUAAUUGUUUUACCUAGGUUCUUCUUAGAUUUAUUGAUCAGACGGGCAGUUGAGCUUCAGGAGUUUCUCUUUUUCUGGUUCUCUGGCUUUCCGGGUUCCUGUUCGUUGGCCAGCUUAAUGCUGGGUUUAGAGCCAUUACUAUAUUCCGAUCCCAUCUUUUUUCUGUCCGUUAAGGUUCUUUGGUGCUAGUUUUUCGGGGUUUGCGGAAGGUUUCCUUCUGGAUAAGUUUAUUGUUUCAAUGAAGGUAUCGACAUCCAAAGGUGCUGAACGAUGAUUAAAGCCUUUUUCAUGCGUUCCAUGUCUCAGGUUGCACUAAACUAUUCAGAAACAUGAGCAGGAGAUUUGUAUGCCCCAUCAUACUUUCACAUUGUUCCCGGCUUAGCUUUCUGGUGGGGUGGGCUAUCCAGUAUUGCAUGAAAAUUUUACAAAGCUAAACAAGCUAACUAAAUGAUGUUAAAAGCAAGUAAUAUUGAGACACUUGAUUAGUAAAAGAAGAGUUAAAAAAACAAAAUGUGAUUUAUUUGGUAUUUGGGCGGUAUUAAAAUGGGUCUAGCCUAUUGUUAGUCUAGCCCAUAUUGAUCUCAUGACUAAGUAAUGUGGAACUGUUUGGGUAUAGCCCAUAUUUUGCAAUCCCAACUAAGUCCCAUCCAAAUCGCUCCUAUCCGGCUCAUUUGCUAUCUCUACAAGUGGUUGAUAAGGUGUCUCGAGGCACUGAUACCUAUGUUCAACGGAGAAGAUUUGGAUGGAAGAGAAGCGAAAGAGAGAAUGAAAACCUUUUUCUUUUCUCUGGGAACUCUUGACUGAUGAUGAAAUCAACUAAUAAAAUUAAACUUCGACAAGAUUUAAUGUUCAUACCAAUUGGCUGGAUAGGUAAGCUUUGUGGGUCCCCUUUAGAUUUAUCUCUUAGGUCCUCUUAGCUUUAACCCUCAGUCAAUUUAAUUAGUUGGGUGUGUGUGUCUUAUGUCGUUUUCGAUAAAAAGAAACAACCGUUCAGGUGGUGAGAUCGGCUGGGGGGGGGGAUGGGCAUCCGUCCCACAUCGCUAGGAUGUGGGUUCUUUAACCUCAACUUAAGGUUCACAGGUUUGCCUUUCAGUUACCAAUUGGCUGUCCCACAUCGCUAGGAUGUGGGUUCUUUAACCUCGACUUAAGGUCCACAGGUUUGCCUUUCAGUUACCAAUUGACUGGAUAGGUAAGCUUUGUGGGUCCCCCUUAGAUUUACCUCUUAGGUCCUCUUAGUUUUAACCCUCAAUCAAUUUAAUUAGUUGGGUGUGUGUGUCUUAUGUCGUUUUCGAUAAAAAGAAACAACCGUUCAGGUGGUGAGAUCGGCUGGGGGGGGGGAUGGGCAUCCGUCCCACAUCGCUAGGAUGUGGGUUCUUUAACCUCAACUUAAGGUUCACAGGUUUGCCUUUCAGUUACCAAUUGGCUGUCCCACAUCGCUAGGAUGUAGGUUCUUUAACCUCGACUUAAGGUCCACAGGUUUGCCUUUCAGUUACCAAUUGACUGGAUAGGUAAGCUUUGUGGGUCCCCCUUAGAUUUACCUCUUAGGUCCUCUUAGCUUUAACCCUCAGUCAAUUUAAUUAGUUGGGUGUGUGUGUCUUAUGUCUUUUUCGAUAAAAAGAAACAACCGUUCAGGCAAACCUGUGGGCAAACCUGUGGACCUUAAGUCGAGGUUAAAGAACCCACAUCCUAGCGAUGUGGGACAGCCAAUUGGUAACUGAAAGGCAAACCUGUGGACCUUAAGUUGAGGUUAAAGAACCCACAUCCUAGCGAUGUGGGACAGCCAAUUGGUAACUGAAAGGCAAACCUGUGGACCCCCCUUAGAUUUACCUCUUAGGUCCUCUUAGCUUUAACCCUCAGUCAAUUUAAUUAGUUGGGUGUGUGUGUCUUAUGUCUUUUUCGAUAAAAAGACAAGAUUUAAUGUUCACUGACUUUUCAAAAAGCAUUGUCCUAAAACUGAAAUCUAGAUGUACACAUAUCGAGAGCUACUUAACUUGAAUUGGUGGAUCUCUUAUAGCUCAGUCAACUGUCAAACCAAAAUUAAGAUUUAAGAAGAGUAUAACGUUGUUGAUUUGAUUUAAUUACCCUUCUUGCAAUUGCCUAUGAAAGUGGAGGGGAGGCUUAUAAGAUUCUUGAUCAGCACAAAUUUCUGCAGUAAUAAUACUGAACAAAUCGAAACAAAUCAUGCAUUUCUUCUCGAUUCUCCCACGUAAGUUGAGAGGAUUCUUACCACGCUUUUUAUUCUUUUUUCUUUCUUUUAUGUUUCGUACUCAAGUUUGCUUUGCUAGCUAGCUCCUGGACUCGCAAACUAGUCCUAAAAGCAGCAAAAGAAGAUUCAAGAUCGAUCGGGACACAGGACAGGCCAUGAAAAAGUGAAGAGAAAAGCAGUAAGCGAAGUCUCUUGCCAAACUUAUACUGUUCUCUUUUCUUUCUGACAUGGUACCUCUUUUCUUUCUGACAUAUAUGGUAUCUCUUUUCUUUCUGAUAUGGUAUCUUUCAAGAACUACCGAAUACAUAAUUUGUGUAAUCUUAGAUCCAACCUUAUUAUAUAUGUAUAUAUACAUAGCAGUAAUCCAUAUAUAUUUGCAUCCAGUCUUUCAAUGUUAUAUCAGACCCUUGAAUUCUUUGAUCCAUCUCAGUGUUUCUAUCAGCGGCUGUCUCAAUCAUAAUCCUUCUGCUCUUGAAUUCAGGAACAGUGUAUAUCCAUGUAACCCACUUCCCACACCGCCCAUUACCAUUCCAAGUUCCCCAUGCCUUCUUUACUUUGCGCAAAAGAUUUUCCUUCUUAAGGGAAGUCGGGGAAAGUUGAAAGGUAUAUGGAAUGGGGAAGUUUCUAAAAGUUAUGAACAACAUCUGAACAUGCAGCCUACUAGCAAGUAGAAAUCCACGAAGAAACCAACAUUUGGAACGCGGGAUGCCAAUGCUUUUUUUUUUUUUAUUUUUAUUUUUAUAACUUUACUUUAUCUGGAACAAGUACAAAGCAAACCUGAAAAUAAAUAGGCUGCAUGUUCCUCUCCACUUUUAUUGGCUUGAUGGUAACAGGACAAGAAACAUUUAACUGCCAAUCAAGAAUACUAUAGGUAAUACUACCAACUAAAAACAGACCGGGAAUAUUCUUCAUUUAGUGCUAAUGCAAUCUAACGAACCAAGACAAGAUCUACUUUUGCAUUUUUCUGACUCUGUUAAUUAAUUAAUUAAUUUGUCUAAACACAUUUGUUUGGUUGCACUUACAUUUAUUCUCUAGCAUUGUUAUGCCACCCCCCCACCCAAAAAAAUGGAGUUUUUACGUAAGAUUUAGGUUCCGUUUGAUAAAACUGAAUCUGAAUUCUGAAGUCUGAAUUCUGAAACAAUUAAUUUGCUGAAUUUUAAGCACUGAAAAAAAUAUAUGAAUGUCUGAAUUUUAAUGUUAAACCUAUUUAUACUGUUUGAUAAACAUUUAUAACUGAAUGCUGAAUAAGUUAAAUUUGACAAAUUUGUCCUUUUAUCUUUUCAUCUAAAAAAGAAAUAGAACCUAUGAUUUAAUUAACUAAAAAUGUUAGGUAUGAAAAUGACAAUAUUUAUUUUCAAAGAAAAUUAAUAUAAAAGAUGAAAUAUAUUAUAUGAGGAGUAUGGAGAAGAUGUGAAAAUCAUUCAAAAGGGAGAAAAAAGAAAUAGAAAAUCAUUAGAUAGAGAAUAUUAGAUUGUUUAAUUAGAUAAGAAUUUUGAAUAUAAUUAACAAACAAGGGUAGAUUUGGUAGAUAAGAUAAGGUAAUUGAAGUAAUUCUAUUGAUUCUUAUUAGAAUUAAGCAUUCAAUUAAAAUUCUUGUGCUGAAAAAAAUACAUACAGACCGGACGUUUUUAUCAUGUACGUGGGUACAAGAUCAAGCCUGCAGGAUGCAUAUGUUUUCACUAACUCACCAUGGACAAUCUCCAAUUCUUUGGGCAUGGGACCUCCACUUAUUUGAGCCCCUAAAUCUUUGGGAAUGUCAUUCUUGCUUGUAGAAGCUAGACAAACUGACUACAUAGUUACUGAUUAAAGGGAAAAUGGAGUUUGGAACUCUUUGUUCAUUCCUUUUUUAUUACUCAUACAAAAGAAAAGCUUCUUACUCCCCAACUAAAAAAAAAAAGAAAAAGCUAUAUAGUCACUAACGAUUAGUCUAGUUUGUGACCUCCACAAUCACUUUCACUAUUUUUUUUUUUAUGGUUCUUCUUUUGAACUGGACAUCCUUUGGCCAUUAAAGGACAAAAGCACAAAGAACCACAUUCCACAUGGCUCUCUCAGGAUUGAAAACAGUGACAACUUUUUAUCAUCUAAAAUUCGUAAUUCACAUGACUACGGCGGGGGCUGUCUUUCAAUCUUUUGUUAUAUCCGGCAUAUGAUUUAUUGUUUCUUGUUUUCAGGUUUGAUUCUUCGAGAUUAAGUUAAUCUUCUUUUAGUACGUACCAACUUGAAUAAAAGCACACGAUGACGUCCCCAGCAACCCUCACCAUCAAUGCCAUCUGAUCAUACACAAAUGUUCCAAUGUCUUACACACACAACACACACUUACUACUAAAAUUCCAUUUUUUUUCCUCCCUUUCUGAAGCAAUACACUACUCAAAAUUCUUUUGGACGCAAGCCCUCCCCCCUUUUUUGAAAGUUGAAUCCUGAGUUGGUCCCACAUGCCAUUUCCCAUUCCCGAUAAAUACCUGUCCCCUACGCCUUACUUCUUCCCUUUUCCCCUCUUUUCCUCCCUCCGGUUCAUUUUUUUUGUGGCUACCCUAGAUUAGGUGAUUUUGAUUUUGAUUUUGCAAAAAUGAUGUCCUGCGAAGAGCCGGUUCAUUUCCAUUUCCCCCCGGUUCUUGAAGAUCCUUUCACUUGUAGUGACCUUCAUGACCUCGUGUCUCUAAUUCAAUCAGGAUUCCCAACUCAUGCCAACUCCGGUUCGGAAACAACCCGAAAUGGAAUGCCUUCCAAUUCAACCUCCGGUUCCGAAACAAACAGGUCAGUUUACUCGGUAGAAGAAAGGAAGCGCAGGCGAAUGAUCUCCAACCGGGAUUCAGCUAGGCGGUCCAGGUUGAGAAAGAAGAAGCAAUUGGAAGAACUCACGAACCAAAUGAACCAGCUCAAACUCGAGAAUACAGAAUUAAAGAACCAGUUGUGCUUGGUUUCACACCAAUAUCGCGCGGUUCAAAUGGACUCAACCCGACUAAUGGCCGAGUCAAUCGACCUCCGACAGAAACUGGCCAAUUUAAACCAAAUCUUGGUUAACAUGCAGCUCCCAUCAUCUUUGCACUAACGUCCAGAAAACCGAAAUUGAGGCAAAUAUCCUAGUUAAUCACCAAACUGCCCAAGCUCUAUAUUUCUUGGCCAUGCCAUGCAUGCGUACGUCGUGUUGGGCUUUUAUGUCUUUUCACCUACCAUACCCUGUUGCACCACCCAAGAUCUAAUCAGGGUUUGCUUUUCUGAGGGUUGAUUCAUGAAAACCUCGUCUUCUUAUAGCUCCACGACAUAUAUAUAUAUAUAUAUAUAUAUAUAUAUAUAUAUAUAUGUAUGUAUGUAUGUAUGGCAGCUGAGAAUUAGGGUCAAAAGGCUAGGUUUGUGUUGGAGCUUUAGAACUGAAUCACCUCUAGCUAGACUUAACAAUAAGCGGUUUUGUAAAGUGAUGGUUCCAGCUCUAUCAUAUGAUUAUAAUUAAAUCGUCAAUGUAUAUAUAUAUUAGUCAAUCGACGGUGAUUAACAUCAUCCGCGUUUCUUGCUAAAUCUACUAGUGAAAGCUAUCCUUUUGGAUCUAAAGAUGCGGGUGGUAAAUAAUACUAUAUGUUUUUGUUACUGCAAAAUAAAAAUGCCGCUUUGUUGCUUACCCCACAAAAGAGAAACAAACAAUAAUAAUAAUUGUUGCUUUGUUUGGAUCGGACCCUCGCCGCAAGCUUAAUUUUGCAUUUUACCCUAUUAAUGUAUCCUGCGCAAAAGGAUGUACACGAUUGAAUCUAAGUUUAUACUCAGAUUAUGAAUCCAAAUGAUGGCAUAAAUUUUGAUUGUUAAUUACUAAAGCGGGUCUGCCCUAAGUGUCGGCAGUAGUUUCAAUGUACCAACCUCUAUCGUUUAGAUUUUUGUAUAGUUGUACGGUUGUUGUAUGCUUAUAUCAUUUCGUUUCGUUGUACACGAAAAUUAUAUUUGUGAACGCUAAUUUCAAUAUAUAAAUGCAAUUAUACGUAUAAUUAGUGUACAUUAAAUUUUAAAAGAAAUACAACGUCACAAUCCCUGAAAAUCUUAUAUUUUCAAAAUAUAUACGGAAGCUUCCCUGUAGUUAUGUGAGCAAUUUAUGGCUGCAAAUGAGUCGAGUUGAAUCGAGUUUUGCCAUAAUUGAGUUGAGUUUCGAUUGAAUUUCAAGCUCGAACUCGACAAGUUUUCAAUGUAAAACUCGAGUUCGAGCCUAGUCAAAGUUAAAAAAAUAAAAAAUAAAAAUUUAUUUUUUUAAAAAAGAAUAAAAUAGUCUUUUUUUGUUAAUAAAUAAUAAAAAUAUUAGGAAUAUACAUAUAUAUAUAUAUAUAUAAUUUCACUAUUAAAAUAAAAAAUAAUAUAUAUACACUCACACACAUAUAAGAGUCAGCUCGCGAGUUAACAAGCUGAAUUUUUUUAUACUGAACUCGAGUUCGUUAACUCAACUUAGUUGGGUUGAAUUUGACAUUGAUCAAGCACGAUCUUGAUUCAUUUGCACUCUAAACUAGCGGCGCCACUUAAACAGAGUUAACUUCGUGCAAAUCUUUCAGAAAAAUUAUUAGAAAAAUCUAGUUUAUGCAGGUUACUCUAUGAACUAAAGGUCCUUAUAGUACACUUCAAGAUUUGUGCUGUCGUAAAUAGCAUUUCCUGCAUGUCUUUACCAAAGUGGGAUCUACCUAUCUGUGUUAGAUAUUGUGGAUAACGCGACAAACACUUCAUAUGCAAGAACGAGAAAAACAGUAAUGUGAAACUAGUAUUAUGUAGCUUUUGGAUAUCAAUAGAUGGGGAAGUAGCAUAUUCCAUAAAAAGAAGAUAGGAACGUAGGACGUCAAAAUUUUUUGUUCAAGUAAGUCUAAAUGUAAUUAACACGUACAAAGUAAUAAUUGAGCUCACAAUAAAGAUUCUCUAUCAUUAAUCUAGACUUGGAUAUGACCAUGUUUCAAACCUGGAUAUGAUUGUUUCAACAAUCCAAUCUUUUUCACUUUCCCACACUGUACAAACUGGGAUAUGUAUGUUUCAAAAUCACAUACCAGACCACGUUAACAGGUUAUGAAAAGGAAUCUGAUCCAAAUCUGAAAACAUUACAUAGCUUCUUAGUGUUGCUUUCCAUAAAAAUGGCAUCUUUUUUGCUUUUCGGAACAUGUUUGCGGGCAAAUGCAUUAGGGGCACAGAAUUGGCGUUACAAAACGAAGAAGGUUAGAACCUUGCAUGCCAUGUCAAAAAAUGGUCUGCGAAUUAUCUUUCUUUCUUGGGUCACAACCAUAUAGCCUGUACGAUUGUGACAAGAGUGAUGUAUAUGCAAAAGUGGCUUUGAAGAUUCUUUAAGUUAGAUUGGAUACAAGUGAUGCAGUUGCUAGAAAGUGGGAGCUUCUUUACGAAUUCAAUCCUCCCCCAAGUUGAGGAAAACUCCUUUUAUGGUGGCCGUAUCCGAAUGGAGCUGGAAAAUUAAUUGUUGGGUAAAAGUCAGUAUCUAUCAACCACACGUCAUUGGGGGUAGUCACAGUUCAGAUUUAAAUUGGAUCCGAAUCGGAAUCAAACGGGCAAUUUGUGGAACCGGAACCGGAAUCGGAUUUUGGAAAUCGAAACCUGAACCAUAACCAUGACUAAGAUUCAAGUUUAGGUUAAACAAAAAAUUUGAACCGAAAUUGGGACUGGAGUUUAGGAUUCAUUCAAACUACUUUAAAAAAUAUAUUUGCUACCUAAACCUAUUUGGUUAGUUUAGUAUUCAAUAUCAAUAGUCGACACCUAAUAUCAGCAGUUCAAAUUCUAGCCCAACAACCCAGUCCCAUAAUCUAUAACCCAUAACUAAUUUAAAUUACAGACCAAUCCAUCCAAAACAACAAUAAGACAUUUUUUUUCAUAAAAUUUGCAUCAAUUUUUCUUUUUUCUUGCAUAUGAUAAUACAAUAAAGUUAUUAUUAUUAUUAUUAUUAUCAUUACAUCCAUUGUCAUAUUUUCUUAAAAUUAAUUUUAUAAUAAUAAAUGUUUAAGCAUAACUAAAAGAACCAAAACCGUAAUUGAAAUAAAAUCGAAACCAAAGUCUUACUGAAAUUAGAGGUUUAAGAACUGAACCCAUAAUUUCCUCUUUGUCUAUAAGGAUCGGUUUAGAUUGCACCUUUCAGAAAAAGUCGAAACAGAGGGUUCUGAAUCUGUAGCCAUGUUUACAUGUCAUUGCCUUCUUUUGGAUUAAGUGCUAGUCCUCUUCUAUAACAUAUAAUUUCAACCUAAUCAAUGCAAUAUAAAUAUUUAAUGUAUGGUUACGUCUAAUUGAUAAAUUCCCACCUAUUUUUGUUCUACUCGAACUUUUUGUUGUCGUCUAGAUCAAUUGCUUUAUGUAUCACAUAGACAGAAAUGCAAGAUGUACAAAGUAUGAGCUCACAUGGAAAAUGAGCAUAUACUAGUACAAUAAUGGAGGACAUGUAAGCUUUAGAUUGGUAAAACUAAUAAAUCUUGAACUGUAGGUUUAGAUAGCCUCUACUUUCCAGUCUAAGCUUUAUUAGGACCUAUUCCAAUCCCCAAGUGGUAGCUCUAAUUGUGAUUGAUGUCAAAUCAAGACCAAUUUUUCUAGCACACAAAGAGACACAACGUACAAUGGGACCAGGUCUCUAAGUGAAAACCUUUUUCUUUUUCUCUAGUCCAAGCUUUUCCUUGAAGGGACUCCCACGUCCUACCACGGUUUUUUGCAAAGCUAAAGGUGUAACUGCAUGACUAAUCUAAUUAAGAAAAAAAAAAAAAAAACAAAAAGAGAGAUGCAACAAUAUACUAUUGACACCAACAAAAUUUACGUGCAUAAGACUCCAAGAUGAUAUAAAAUAUUUACAAGGAUAAGGAUCAGAAAUACUUGCAAGCGGAAGUCAAAAUUGCAUCUCUCCCGUCGUUAAUCUGGUGAGAGACUUGUGAUAAAACUCUUUCAUUUUUUUUUUUUUAAUCUCGUGUCCAACCGUAUCUUUUUCUUUAUCGCUUCUUUCUUUACAACUGUCCGAGUGCAAGUAUCUAACCGGGCCCCGGUGUAGCUCUAUAUUUCUUGGCUGCAUAUUGCAAAAUUUAGGCACGAGACCAGAGGGUUUCCUGUUGAUUCCUGUUGACACUUUGACUAGAAGGACAGUCUCCGAAGUCCCAAAAACUCAUCUUUCCUUGAAAAUCAUGGCUACUGCAAAGCACCGAUCGGUUAGCUUCAGAAAAUGUUCAACAAAAGAAUUUCUACUUUUGUCAAUUUCUAGCAUAUAUUCUCCAGGGGAAUAUAUUUAAUCUGUUCAUCGAUCGGUAUUUUACAAUUUUGUCAUCACACCCCAAAAAGCACGCAUUGCUGGUAGAAAGAGGAAAGUGUAGCAUCACUCGUGCAUGCAUUUCGACACAAACCAAUAAUGAAAGUAUCAGGUUGAAGAAAAGUAUGAGCUUUGGACAUGUAGUCCCAUCCCACCACGAGGAAGAAAGGAAGGAAGAAAAGUUUCUUAUUAUUGAGGGAAAAAAGAAAGAGAAAAUCAAAGACCACAAGUAUAAUCCUUGUGGAGAUUUCCACAAUCAUUAAAAGACACCUUACGUCCUUAAAACUUUAAUCAUCAUAUGUUAACAUGCAGCAACUAGAGCUCUAUAUUAAUAGUAUAUGCUCCAUUCAAGAUCAGUCUAGUUUCUUUAGCGUCUAGUGUUGCAUGGGCCAUAGCUCUCUAUAAGCUUCCUUCUUCCCUUACUUCAUUUCCAAGUUUUUGCAGUUGAUCUGCUACGAAAGUUCUGAUCAUGCACGAGUCUGUAUCCUUCUUUUUGACUAAGGAAGAAUGAAUGGAAAAGUUGGAUUAUCACCUAAUAAAGAUGCUCUCAAACAAAGAUAUCUUCGUUACCUUUGUGCGUCUACGAAUUGCGGCCCUUUUUUUCGCUGCCCCUUUUGAUUUUCCAAAAUCCAUGCAUGGUUCUUUUUUACUACAAAAAAAAUAAAAAUAAAAACUUUGGCUAUAAAGUUUUAAGAUAAGUCUGAAUUGUUCCAUGAUAUUGUAAGAGCUACUUAUCAAUCAAUUCCGCCUUUAUGAAUGAUAAAGAUUGAGCUCAUAGGCUCGCAGGCUUUCUUUUUGGAAAAAAAACAUAAAAUUCCAAAGCAUGCAAUAUAUGUAUGGACUAUAUAUGAUCAGUUUGUGGUUUUGAUUUUCGCUUAAACCUGAUAAUGCUAUUUGACUGGGCUAUGUUCUUAAUUACUAAAAGCUGUUCGAGCUUUUCCAAGGUUAAAAGUUGGAUGGUAGUGUAAUUAGAUCCAUGAAACACCUGUAAAAUUUAAAUUUCAAAUUACUUUCAUUCAUUCAAGUCCAACAGACUGACUGUCUGUGUAUUAAAUUAAAAAAUUAUUAAUUUAUUGAUUAAAUAAUACUUCUUUAAAUUAAUAGAAUUUAUACUGUCCCAAAUUUAUUAAUUUAUAGAGAUUUUACUGUAGUAGUUUUCUUUUGUGUAAUUUUUGCCCUUUUGGUUUUUUGGUUGGCAUUUCUGUCCCGGAACCCCAUUGUACUGGGCUCUAUUGGGCCUAAUUAAAACACAUCAGAAUGUGAAGCGUACAAACUUACACCUGAAUGAGGGUCGAAUUGUCAAAAUGCAAGAUUCGCUUUUGAUUGAAAACCGGAGUUUGCAUCCUGAUCUUAAAAUGCCCAUCUAACCAACGGUGCACCCAGAGCUGAUUGGACAGAAAGGUUAGCCCAACAUCCUAAGAUUCCUCUUAACUUUUCGUUUGGGUCACACCCUUCUGCUUCUAGCAAAGAGCCCAAUAAUUAAAGGGGCCCAAAGGUAGGGGCAUUUCUGUAAACUUAUUCCAUUUUCAAAUCACAAACGUCUCUCAGAACAGCCCGCCUAUACAAAAUCAAGACCUUACCUUAGAUCCGUAUGUGUAUGUGUGUGUAUCUGUAGUCAGUAUCACACCCUAAGUGUGUGCAUUAGUGUGUGAGACAGAGAAAGAGCUGAGAGAGAUAAUGGAGAAAAUCUGUGUAGCAGUAAGAGUAAGACCCGCGGUGGAUGACGAAGGCUCUAAUGGAAGUGGAACAUUCUGGAAGGUUGAAGAUAAUCGCAUUUCACUUCACCGAGCUCUAGGCACCCCAAUCUCUGGACUUUCCUACGCUUUUGGUAAUUUUUUUGGUUGUGGAAGCCAUAUUGGGAAUUUAUUUGUUGGUUUGUAUUUUGUUAUUUUCGGGAGGAAUGAUUAUUUUGAUUUUGAAUUUGCAGAUCAUGUGUUCGAUGGGGGCUGCACGAAUUCUACGGUUUAUGAGCUUUUGACUAAGGACAUUAUUCACGCUGCUGUCGAGGGUUUUAAUGGUGAUUUUUCUAUUUUAUUUGGAAAAUUUUUGGAUUUUUCUUUUAAUUGAAUUAAUUUCUUGAGCUACAAAUCUAGUUUGAGUUGAAUUAAGUCAAAAUUGUCAACCAGUAAGAAAAUUACACCAUUUUUUUAAAAGCUAUCUUAGGAAAAUAUAGAGAUAUAAGUUCUGGAUAGCGGAUAAUGAGCUCUACUGUGGAAAAUACACACCCUGACGAGGUAAUUUUGUAUACCAUAGGAACUGCAUUUGCAUAUGGACAGACUAGUAGUGGCAAAACGUAUACGAUGAAUGGUUCUGAAGAUGAUCCUGGAAUUAUCCACCGAGCUGUCAAAGAUAUAUUCGUGAAGAUCAGGAUGGUAGUCACAUCAUUUUCUUUUUUUGGCCUUUUUUGUUUCGAAUACCUAAUUUAUUAGUGCUAGGACUUCAAAUUUACUAGAUUUUCUUCAUUAAUAUUUGCAGACAACUGAUAGAGAGUUUCUGAUACGAGUUUCAUACAUGGAAAUCUAUAAUGAGGACAUUAAUGACCUGUUUGCUGUGGAGAAUCAGAAACUGCAAAUUCAUGAGAGUUUAGAGGUGAGCGAUGUGAUGAGAUUACUUUUGGUGGUCCUGCUUAGGAGUUUGUAUAAUAACAAUGAUAUUUAUUGGAUUUCAGCGUGGUGUUUUUGUUGCGGGCCUUAGGGAGGAAAUUGUAAAUAGCGCUGAGCAAGUGCUCGAGCUUAUACAGCAUGGAGAAGGUUUGACCAAUAAUGUUGGAGAAAAAGUAUUUUCCCCCCUGUUGAGUUCUUCAACUGCUCUCACAUUUUACAAUGUUUUGUGCAGUAAAUAGGCACUUUGGUGAGACCAAUAUGAACGUCCGAAGUAGUAGAUCUCACACUAUCUUCAGAAUGGUGUGUUGUCAGCUUCCUGGAAUGCUUCAAGGACCUAUUAUUACAUUUUUACCUUUCACAAAAUUCAUAUUCAAUUAUGCCAUUUUUGUGACCCAGGUAAUUGAAAGCAAAAGAAAGGACACAGGUUCUGGUGAUAAUUCAAGCUCUGAUGAUGCCAUCCGUGUCUCUGUCUUGGUUUGUGCAUUCUCUGACCUUCAGAACUCAAUAGUCGUCUUGUCGUACCUUUGAAAUUUUUGUCAGGAAAACUCUUUAAAGGAGUAAAGGACGACAUACCAUAUUGCCUAAUAAACAUGAGAUCUUCUGUUCUUCAAAUGGAUCUUUCCCUACACGCCCUAUUUGUAGAAUCUGCUGUCUCUAGGGGAAAAUUGUUGCUAAGAUGUGAAACAGUCUUUCUUCAUUUUCUCUUAAUUCAGUCAUUACAGCAUUUAAUUUGAGGAAAUUCUUAAAAGCAUUUCUUUUUGCUCUUGACCCCAGAAUUUAGUGGAUUUAGCUGGCUCUGAGAGAAUAGCUAAAACAGGAGCUGGUGGAGUUCGUUUAAAGGAAGGAAAGCACAUAAACAAGAGCUUAAUGGUUCUUGGUAAUGUGAUCAACAAAUUAAGUGAAGGUGGAAAGCAAAGGUACUGAUAUUCUUCUGCAGGUGAUUAUUUAUCUUGCAACUGAAUGAUCAACUUACCUGACAUCUCCUUAUGUAGGGGACACAUUCCUUAUCGUGAUAGUAAGCUCACACGCAUACUUCAACCUGCACUUGGUGGAAAUGCUAAAACUUCAAUUAUUUGUACUGUUGCACCAGAAGAGGUAAAGAAAAAAGUUUUGUUUUCUUUGAAAUUUUCAAGAAUUGAAGGUUAAUUUCUGAUGGAAUGUGUAUGUGAUAUGGUUAGAUUCAUAUUGAGGAAACAAAGGGAACACUUCAGUUUGCCAGUAGAGCUAAACGCAUUACCAACUGUGUUCAAGUAAAUGAGGUAUGUUUACUCCACCAUAUAACAUGUACUUGGCUUUUGACCUCCCCUACAAGUUUACUUAUCUCAAAAUUUGGGGGAUUCAGACUGACUUGCCUUCAGUGGCCACUGAUUUGUUUUGAGCAAUUAGUUGAUCAGAGUGAAAUCAGACUGGUUUAGUGAUGCUUAAGGAGUCUUAUUAACAGAGUGAUGCUCUUAUUAUGUCUGUUUGGUUGUCUUUUGUGGUACAAUUUAUUGGAACUGGAAGAAGUGGUUAAGAAGAUUAUACAUUUCUAUUUGAAAAGAUGAUUGUCCUAAUUAAUGCCAUGCUUUUUUUGUCUAUAAUUUUGUGAGCUAAUUAAAGGUGGAUUGGAUGUAGAUAUUGACAGAUGCAGCAUUAUUGAAGAGACAAAAGAUUGAGAUAGAAGAACUACGCAUGAAACUUCAGGUGGUAAUAAUUAAUUUUGACCUGAAUCCAUAUGAAUGAGACCCAAAUACAUCUCAUUUACUGUAAAAUACUCUUUCCAGGGAUCUCGGGCUGAGGUGCUGGAGCAAGAGAUUUUGAAACUGCGGAAUGACAUGUUGAAGGUAAUUCAUCUCCUUAAUAUGUCUGGCACUAAUCUUCUCUUGGCUUGAUAUGCUUUCUCAUUGUCCAUAUGUGCAGUAUGAGUUAGAGCACGAGAAGCUUGCCAUGGAAUUGGAAGAGGAGAGAAGAACGCAUAAAGAACGGGAACAAUGUAUCCGGGAUCAACAGAUGAAAAUUGAUAAUCUUAGCAGUCUUGUAACAUUCUCAGGUCCUGACCAGGUAGAAGCUUUUGAUGCCACAGUUUUCCUCUUUUUUUUCUUUUCAUGCUUUUGUUUUCAAAUUCAUCAUUUUAGUGUCAUUCUCUGCCUUGUAGGUUGAGAAAUUGUUGAUUGACUAAGUUUGUCUUGGAGCGGCUAUAUAAUUUUCUUCUUUUUGGUUUCACCUCCUCUUUUUGACAACAUGAUGUUCUAUUCUUCUUACUACUGAUAAUUCUAAUAGUAUGUUCAUUGGAGCAGUGGUGAAUUCCAUGCAUCCACCAUCUGCUUUCAAUUUGUUGCUAUUUUUAAUACUGCUAGAAUGGGAAUCUUCAAUACACUGAUAAAAUGACAACCAUUUACUUCAUUUCAGUAGCAUCAUAUGUAUGACAUUUGGAUGUCUGUCAUUGUCGUCUUGCUGUAGUUGUUGAUAUUCUUAUUGGCAAACUUUUGCUUCUUGUGGUGGGAAACACCUGAUAACAACAUCAAAGCGCGAAAUAAAUAGAUGAUUUCUCCAUCUUGAUAAAUGAUUUUGUAUGCUUCUCCUGUCUCAAGAAACAUCUUAUAACGUUUGAUGCACAAGAAAUGACUCAGAAAUUACUUAGUAUCUCCAUUUCUUUUAAAAUUUUCUCACAUGUUAUUUCUGUAAUGGUUGGUUAUAUUUUACUGGAUCUCUUGUGUGCUUGAGUCUAGAGUGGCUACUAGAGAUUUUGAUUUCUUUUGUUUGAUCCAGGAAUGUUUCAGAGCAAGUCUGAAGGAGGAAAGUAGUGACAGCAAUAGCAUGUGCAAAGAGGAUGCUUUUAGUACACCAUGCUUUAAGGCAAUUCCCAAUGCCUUUGUUGCUAGGCGGUCACAUUACUCUAACCAACCUGAGUGCAGCCCUCUUCCAGAUACACUCAUUGAUUUUGCUGAUGAAGACACAUGGAUGAGAAUGAACAAAGGCUAUAUUGCUGAUCUUGAUGCAGUUCAAAUGACUCCUGCAAGAAAAGUUCUGUCAUUUCCACCGGGAAAUGUAACCUUCCUGAUCCUUACUUGGUUGCAUUUUUUCUUUGGCUUUCUCUCAUGUGAAAGUAUCCAUUAGUGGAUUUAGUUUCUGUGUGAGCUAUAGGCACUUGGUUAUAUGACAAGAGAACAUGCUAACCUUUUGAAGGGAAAGACUAGGCUUCUUUCCCAACACUCAAAGGUCAAAAGAUGUUAAUCAACAAAGAUAAAGAAAGAGGGAACUUUGUGAUUAGCACUUGAAUGUUUAUAAAACAGAUUUAACUUCUCAAUUUCCUAAAGCAUUUGCAAUGACUGAGUAUAAAAUACCAAGUGCAGCAAUAAAGCCUGGUGCAUCUACUUUUUAGCUUAACUAAAACCUACCUAAUAAUUCUUGGAUUGGCAAUACUAACCCUAUUCUUCUGUUAGCUCUAUUGAGUUCGUAUGGGUGGUAACUUUUCAAUUGCGUUGUCCUCUACCAUCUCAUUCUAACCUCUUUUUCGAAUAUUUUGGUCAACCAUUCUUAUCAUCCCAAUUUUCCAGACUGGUGCAUAUCUUAAAUUUACUAAAAUGUGUACAGCAUCUUGCCCUUAGACCUUUCAGUGGUUCUGUCUUUACCAUCUUAGCAGUAAUUGUUUCUCAUCUUAAUUUUAUUCAAAAGGUAAAUAAAAAAGAUAGAUGAUGUUCUGGUUCAGUUACUUUGAAUUCUUGGCAACAUCUGACAUUUUUCCUUUCUAUCAAGAAUUUUGUUUUGCAAAGAAGUAGUUAUCUCAAGUAGGAAUAAUUUGUGAAUGUAAUACCUCGUUAAUGCUUCAGUUUUUAUUUAUGUACAGUCUGUGCCUAUGCAAAUAUCUGUAUUUUUUGGUUGACCAUUAUCAUGUACCAGGAUACAUCUUCGGAGGAUUUCAAGCAACAGAUCCAGAAUCUCCAAAGACAACUUACCCUUGUUUCAGAAGAAAGAGAAACACUAAAGGUCAGUAAGCUUCUAUAUGAUUGUCUUCUCAUUUGUGAGAUUUAUCUAUCGCAUUUCCCUACUAUUUUCUCGUGAAUUAUCAGACAUUUGAACAAACAAUAAGAGUCAGAAAAUAUCUAGAUUCAUAACUAAUUGUAAAAUUUAACUAACGGAAAUUUCUGCACAAAUUUUAGGAAAUUACAAGCAUGGAUUGUCGGUGAGCUUAAUAGCUUACUAGGGAAGAUUUUACCCCCUGAAUCAUAAUAUGAAUUUAUCCAUCUGUCAAUAGUAUAUGUUGGAUAAAACUUAGCUAACUAUAAAGUGGAAUUUCUUGGUUAUGUUACGAUAUUACUACAGCUUAAUGGCUGACUUCAUAAUAUUUGAACUAAUUUUGUCAGCAUGGUACUUUUGCAUGGAAUGAUAACAAAAUCUUCAAUGUGUUGUAGUGUAAUACAGAGUGGAAUAGUGAGGAGUUGUGUAGAUACUUGUGCUACGAAACCUACAUGCUUGAACAUAUUGUCCAGAUGAUGAUUUGAUGUGAAGUUAGGACACUGAUUAAUUGAAAGCAAUUCUAAAGCAAGUUAAAAAAUAAUUGUCCACACAUGAGAAGCAGUCCGAUUAUAUCCCUGGUUUGGCAAGCACCCUAUCCUAGCAUGUCAAAUCCAAGAUAAAUUUUUUCACAAUUUAUGUACGAGCAGUCCUUUUGUUCAUGCAUUUUUCAUCUUAUGCAUUGAUGUGAUAUCUACAGAGACAGCAUGCAGAACAAGUAUCAUUGAACUACCAGUUAACAAGAGAAUUAUGCGGAUUACAGAAUGAAGUGUUGGAAAUACAGGAGAUUCCUGAAAGGUUGUGUGAAUCUGUUAUAAAUUGCAAAGAUGUAUAUAAGGAUGUUUUAUCUGUUUUACAGGUAAGCUCCCUGUGUGCAAUGCUACUAGUUGUCACGUAUGAAUUUUGUGGCUUAAGAAAGUUCCCUAAUGGUAAAUACUCUUCUUCCCCUGUGAACAGACUUUUGUUGCUGAUGAGAAAUCUCCUACUGCAAAGUUACUCUCUAGCACAAGAGACAUCGGUAUUUGUCUUUUUUCAACUUUGGAGUCUCACUUUUCAGUGACUGCAGAUGGUAAUAGACUCUCCACGGCUGAUAAUUCUUUACUCCAAGAGCAAUGCAACCUCCUUCGUGAGAGAUUGCUUAGCACAAUCUCAUCCCUGGUUCUAUUUGAUGCACCAAUUCUCAACCAAGAGAACAGCAGAAGUCCACCAUACAACUGCAAAUAUAAGGUAGCUGCCUGGUUACCGAUAUCACAUCUUAACUUGCCAAUUUUCUCUGUGUUUUUCAUAUUGACUAUAGGUUGCUGUCUCUGCUCUUUUUGGAGUAAUUAAUUGUAACCAUUUUCCCAUUUGAAUUCCGCGGAUGUUUGUUAUUUGCUAUUGCAAAUUAAUCUUGAGGUAUGAGACAUACCCAAAAACGGUAUUUAAGCUUUUUGGUUCACAUUGUUCGAGGAUUGCUUAUGGUGAUGCUUUCCUCCUCUUCUGAAGUUUGCGUUCAUGUUCAAUUGUCCACUUUAGGAUAAAGAUGAAUACCAGUGAAAGCCUUCACUUCACUCUCCUCUACAUGGAUGUUUCCUUUCACAUUUCUCUUUUAACUAGCAUCUUUCUUGUGCAUUGUUUGUGCUGUACGGGAUUUUCUUUGUAGACAUUUGUGACUAACCAAAUAUAAUUGUAUUCUGUUUCUAUUUCUGUUGCCUAUAGAAUAAGCAAUCUUGGUAAUAGCAUGAUUCCUCCAAUCUUUCAAAUUAAUUUGGUAAUUUUGUUGUGCUUGUCAUUGAAAUAUUGACUGUUUUAUGAGAACAAGAAAGUUAGACUUUGAAGGUUAUGGCGCUAUUUUAUUGCAGUAUAUACACAAAUAAAAGAUAGAAAUGUAUGUUCUGUUAGUACCCUAGCUGGACAGUACAAUACAGGUUUCCCUAUAAAGGAUAUAGGUCUGAACUCCUUUCUUAGCUAAACAUUUGGAAAGUUAUGAAUAUCCUCCUACUUAGGGCUGAUUUCUCAAUUUUAUCAAGGGCUUGGGAGAAGAAAUUGCUUCUUGGAAAAGGAUACAGGAUAAUGCAGUUGAAGCAAUUAAGCAAAAGUACAUGGACUUGAAGAAAGAGUUGAACACUAGUAACCAGCAUCUUGAGGUUUCUAAAGAUAGGUAUCAGGUCCUUGAGAGAGAGUUCCAUCUUUUGAAAGGAGAGAAAGAUGCUUUGCUAGUAAGCGUCUCCAACUCAUCUCAAACUCUUGCACUGGUUACUGACCAAAAAGAGAAGGCUUUGCAGGAUUUGAGAAUUGAAGCACAGAGGAGGAAAGAUCUUGAAGAACAGAUCAAAAAGUUUAAUACAGCUUUUUCCUAUCGGCAGAAAUCGCUUGUGUCUUUUCAAAGUGACUUCAAAUCUAUCAUUGAUAACUUGAAGGCACAGAAUCCAGUUUCAUUAUCCAAAGCUCAUGGAUCUUGAAUUUUGCUCCACCAUGUUAAAAUAGGCUUUUCAGCCAGACAACGUACUGAAGCUUAAUUGUGUAUUCAACUAUUUAAUCUUGUCUAGCCUGCAUCACAAAACUUGUUUGUCUUAAUGAGAAAAGUCGACUUAGGGUGUAUAAAUAUAUUUUAGGCCAGUUCCAGGUACUGCACUAAAAUUCAUUAUUUGUAUGUGUAUCUUCAAUCAAAUUCUGCAUACGUUGCUAUUUUUCACUUCAGUGUGUACUAAGUGUUUCAAGUAGUAAUCCAUGAAAGAUGUUCUGAAGUGAGGGUAAUUCAAGAUUGUAAAGAGACGUGUGAAGAGGCGAAAUCUUUGUUCUAUGUGCCAAUUUAGCAUCUUUUUUACUGACCAGGAAUCCUCUGAACUGAAAUGAAAUCAGAAGAGAUGCUUGUUUGUUGUUACAGUUUGAUUCACUGCUUAGACAAAUUAAAUAGCUCCUUCUGUUUUAACGAGUUUGGUCCUGAUUUGUCCUCUAUAGAUUUCCUUUGCUUCUCUCGAAUCGUUCAGACUAUCUGUUGAAGUUUCAGAUUUAUGAAAAGCGAGCGACCCCUUUUGUCUCUAAUGUUAGAGUUGGACUUUCUCCUCUUUUGUCUCUACUCGUUGACAAGGAAACAGGUAUGAUGGAAAACACUGAGGUUUAAUUUUAUAUUUUAAGUUCUUUCACCUGUUUCUACCGACAACGCUGCAGCUUCAAAAACCCUGCAAAAACUACAAUAAUGUAAAGUUUGCUGUUAGAUCAUUGGUGUCCAUUCUCCUCUAGAAUCCAUUCUCGGGACGGACCUUAGGCAAUGGUCAAGCCAAGUAUAUGAACUUGGCCCUUAUGGUGUCUAAUCACACGGCUUUGGAUCCUCACAGGUCCCCCCCCCCCCCCUCCUAAUGUAAUGUACAGAGAGAGAGAGACAGAAACGAAAACAAACACAGUAGUGAUAACACCUGCACAUAAAAACAUCAAUCAUCUUCCUCUGUACAAAAUUUACGUACAAAUUGACCAUUAGACUGUUGUGUCUCAUCUUAUGUGACGACAAAAUCAGCUGCUGUGCCCAUAAUAAGAUUGCUUACUCACAGGCGUCUUGUAUUUUUUGGCUCAGAGAAUGUUCUAACUUGUUAAUAUACAUUUUUUUUUUUGGGUCCAGCUGAACAUGUUGACAAAAUGCGGUCUGAAUGGAACUAAUAUAAUUGUUUUUUUCUUUUUGAGUUUCAACCUUCUCUGGUCUGAAGGCAUCUAUAGUUGGUAAAAUGGAUGGAUGAAUCAAACUGCAUUUAUUAAUUUGUCUGUAACAUGGCAUAUCGCUCUCAAUCUCAACAUGCAUGCAUUUUUUCACAAAACAGGCUACGCCAUUAGCAGAGACAAUACUGGUAACAGACAAUACCGAUAUAUAUAUAUAUAUAUAUAUAUUUAUAUGUACGUGUCAGGUUGGCAACCUCAUACACAAACAAGGUUCAACAGUCAUUUGCAUUGGCCAAAAUAUAUAUAUAUAUAUAUAUGUAUAUAUUUCAUCUUAAAACAUUUUCAUGGAUUAAGUUUAAUCUUCCAAGAUGUAUGGAUCAUAACAGAACUGACGCAUGCCUUCUGCUGCCAAAUAUUUAUGUAUACAGGGACCAUAUAUAGAUAACUAGACAGUCUUGUUUUUGUAUUUUUUUUUUUUUUCAAAAAAGGUUUUCUCUAUAGAAGAUUGGAAGAAAGUAAAAUUAAGAUAUUAGUUGCGUUUAAAGUCCCAUCCUCCAUUUGACAAGACUUGUCAUGUUUGUUACAGGUGAACAAAAUGGCCAUUGGAUUCAGAGUAUUCUAUUGCUGUUUUAUUUUUGUUUUUAAUUUUCUACUUCUUUAUGAUGAAUUAGACUUUUCUACAGCUGCAAAGAUAAAUUUCAACAUGGUUGAUGGAGACCACACAAAAACUGAUUCUCAUAAAGUAAAACUGAAUCUCAUUAUGAAUCAAUGCAACUGUCUGUCCCCAAGCAAGAUGAACUUUAUCUGCGACAUUCUACGCACCCUCGCAAUGAAGACAAAAAACAAAGGGUUAUUAUCACUUUACCCCUUUAAAUUACAUUCUUACUAUCAGUUUACCCUUUAACGUUAUUUUUUAAUCACUUCACCUCUAUAAGUAAUUCAACUCAACAUGUUAAUAAAUUUUGGACAAAAAUACUCUUUUACUCUAUAGCAUUACUACAUUAUUAUUAUCUUUUUAAAUUAUAGUGAUACAAUCGCUUUAAUUAUUAAUAUUAUUUUCUAGGCAUUUUACCUCAUCGUUAAUCUAACUAGUAUGAUAAAAAAAUUUUAAAUAUAUUUACCCUUUUUAUAUAUAAUUAAAAAUAAAAAAUUGAAAUGGUUAUUCUUCCUUUUUUUCACUUUAAGAGAUCCAAAAACAUAGAAAUAAACAAGUUUUUCUCAAAUUUUUUUUUCACACUUAUUAAUAUUAGGAUAAGAAAAAGAGAUAGGAAAGAAGGAGAUAGAAAAUUAGAUUUUGGUAAAAAAAAUAAUAAUAGUAAAGAAGAGUCUAACAUUAUCGUAUUACUUUAAGAUUGUCGAGAUUAGAAUUGGAAUUUGAUAGUAAACAAAAAAGUAAAAUAAUUUUAAAAUAAUAAAAGUAUUUAAUUCUUUUUUAUUUGUAUUUUUUUAUAAAUGAAUUGAGCUCUCUCUCUCUCUCUAUUUUUUUCAAUAUUAAUAAGAUUGUCAAGAAGAAAGAGAUUAAUACUUUGAUUUUUUUUCUUGAUACUAAAAAGGAAAAGAGCCAGUCUAAAUUUUUUAUUAUUUUUAUUAUACAAAGAGGAUGGUACUUUCUUCUAAAGUUUUUUUAACCUGUUAAGUUGGUUUAAUGGUGGGAUAAAUUGUCUAAAAAAUAACUCUAAAUGGUAAAUUGAUAAUAAGACUAUAGUUUAUAGGAGUAAAGUGAUAAUAAUUUUAAGAACUAAACAUGCCUUUUCAUUUUAAUUAACAAACUUCGUUAAACUUGAUCGUUAGUUUUGAGGGUAAAGAGAUUAAAAGAUAACGUUAUGGAGGAAAUUAAUGGUGGCAUCGAACAUUAAGAGGGUAGAGUGAUAAUAACCCAAAACAUAAUUAAUGACUAAAUAUAUUCUUUUCCUUUUUAUCUAUGUGUGUGUAGGCGUUUUGUGUCCUUAAAUUUACGACCAAAAGUGAGCUUUCUUUUUUCUUUUUUUUUUCCUUUUGCAAUUCAAAAGAAUUGCUAGGUGUUUGUCAUCACUAAUGAUUGAUUAGAUGCUAUUAAUUAGUAUCUUCUAAGAAAUGUGCUUGACAUUGUCUAAAGUCAAAACUAAAACUGCCGCUCUCACAUGUCUUCUUUGCCAUUUGUUCUCGACAUGUAUUUCACCAAACAAACAAAUUAGCGCCCUGCAGCAAUAAACAUUGAUAGAAACUUUGCCAAAAAAAAAAAAAUUUGUUUAUUAGGACCAUUAACCCCUUGUUUAUAUCAUGAGGAGUUGAUUUCCAUUGUUUAUAUCAUCAAAUCUUGUCACCUAAAAUCAGAAGCAAUUUAAGUCGAAGAUAAGGGGGACACGAAAGCGAAGUUUGAGGUCGAAGCACAUGCAUAUUUACUUCAAACACCCAAGAGACAAAAAAAAGUGUGGUGGUCAACCCCUUCAACAAUCCUGUUGGGAAUAAUUCUUGAUGAACAUGAACCAAAUUAGUUUCCCCCAAAAAAAAAUUGAACUAAAUUAGUUACCAUUUAUAACCAUUUCGGAAUAGUUAACUAUAAUUAUCUCUUUUUCUAUAAGAGAAAACCCUCUUGCAUUGAAAGAAAAUAUAUAGACAAAAACUGCAAAUACGUUGCCAAAAUGGGUGAACUUGAUCGAUUUGCAUUUGAUCCCCUGCUUGCUCAAACUUGUGAUUAAAUGUCUUGAAAUGGGUAAGUGGUACCACUUCCAAGCUGGUUUAAUGAGAACAAAACUAGGCAAAAGAAAAGGGACUAGGAACUGUGACAUUAACCGAAUUUGUUUAAUGUUAAUCAUGGCACUGUACCUAAAAUAUAACAAUAGAUCAGAAAAGUAUGUUGAUUUGACUUGAUACAAGUGCUAAAAAUUUUUAAGAAAACAAUAAAUUCUAGAUUUAUUUUUUUUUAAAAAAAAAAAAGUGACAAAUGUGAUGAAGCUCUUUAGACCAUUAAUAGACUUCAGUUUAGCAAAUAGAUCGUUUUCCAUUUAGGUGCACAAGUAGCGUAUGAAUGAAACUCGUGGAUACGAGAUUUUACUCUUAUGGGAAAUCUUCUCGUCUGCUUCCCCUUUCUUGUAAUAAUUGUAAAUUAAAGCAGGUUAGCUAAUUUGCAUGGUACUUCUGCACUUCUGUCCUCGUAAACCCGGUUUUUUUUUUUUUGUGUGGUUCCAAUGUUCAUAAACUACGUGCCGACGAGACAUUAGUUCAGUCAUUAAAGUUGAGAUCUCAAGAAUUAGAAAUUUUAAAUUCUAAUCCUCUCAUCCCUUCCCCUCAUCUUAAAAUCCUAUCAUUCUCCUUCCCAUGUUAAUAUAUAUAUAUAUAUAUAUUAGGCCUUUAUAUUUAAAGCGAAGCAUUUUGGUUUGCAAUACAUUUUCAAAUUAUCAUAUCAUUUUUGUUAGAAAUGUUUGGUUAGCAUGUGCCUAAUAAAUAUUGGUUAAGAGGGAUCUCAGAUGUUAGUUUUUUAACAAGAGUAUUAUCAAUUUGAAAAGUAUCUAAAUACAUGAGUUGUGUACAUCCAUAUGAUAAGUUUAGUGUAAAUUAUGUGUACUUAAUGAGUAUUUGGUAGAUAAUUGUUUGAAAAAUCCUUAUUCGAAAUCCCAUCUCUCUCAUCCUUCAUGUACCAAAUCUCAUGCUUAGGUCACUUGCAGAUAGCUGAGAGGCAAGAAUUGGGGAAAAGAUCUUUAUUUGUGUUCAACUACUGUAUGGAAAAGUAAACCUAGCUUUUUUUCCAACAUGGAGGAUCUUUUUAUGCAAUUAUUUUUCUCAUUUUUUUGGCCCAAUUGUCAUGUUGUCACAGUGAGAAGGGUUAAAUGCUCAGGGAACCUAUUUUACCUCCUAGAUUAAUUCUGUGUGGGGUGGAUAUGACAUAUGGUGUUGGAAAGAUAGUUGACCAUGUGAUUUGGUGCAACACUCGAAGAUCCAAUUGGUGCCCAGAAAACUAUAUAUCAUCUUUAAACAUGAUAAAACCGUUCCUUGAACAUUUGAGGAUCAUUUUAACAAUUUUUCCCAUCAUUAACCACCCAAAAGAAUUUUCCCUUUCGUUGGUGGCGUUUUGGGGGAGCAGUUUGGGUGUGAGGUUUUUCUUGGUAGUUCAACGAGUCUAGAAGCUCUCUGUCUUCCAUGCUUCUGCCCUCAAGCAAUGAUACUGUAGUGUUUGUCGUGGCAAACUCCAAAAGGACAAAAACUUUCGGGACCAUCUCACAAAAUCUACCAAAUACUUUUUAAUCUGUAAUUUUCUCGAGUACAUGUGUGGGCAGCAUGUCUGUUGGAAGAGAAAGAUAGAUAGAACCAACGAUCUCUAGGCUAUACAGCUUUAAGUGCAAAGAUACCUUGUGAUUCAAAGAUUGCAUGACAGAAAGGUUAGGUAACACAUUUUAUUAAUGUUCUCCAUUUCAAUGCUCCCGUCCUUGGAAAACAAAGCUUCGUAUCUUCAUUUAUCUUCACUCAUCCCCCAAAUUCAACUCUCCGGCCUUAUUUGAGUCUCCAAUCUUCUCUUUGCUCCUCUCCUAUCACUUGCUACCUUCCACUCCUGAACAUGCUUUGUAUAGUCCCAUCCAAAUAUCCAAUACCAAAGCAGCAGCUGUUCUCUUACCGCUUCUACUAGACAACUUUAAACAAGAGCAUACACAAUAAUCUUUAGCCAAAAGAAAUCAUUUACCUUCCCAUGAUGUCUUCCAUCAUGUCCAAGCAGCUCGGAGACUUUCUCCAAGAACAGCAGGAACCUUUCAUCUUAGAGGUUUAUCUUCUUGAAAGAGGUUACAGCUCCAGCAGUAUAGGAACAUGUUUGAAAAGGUCAGUCAGCUCUGGUUUAAGGAGAAACAGAAAAUUCAUCCCGAAUUGUUCAAGAAUCGUGAGAGCUCUAUUUAGCAGAACUCUGACUGUUACUGAGGACCAGAAAGUCAGCAAUAUUUCUGGAAUCAGAAGUGAAGGUGUUUGUGUCUCAGAGAUAGACAACAUCAAACAGGAAAUGGCAGAUGAUGAUAAGUUUUCCUCCGCCAGCAGUGCAACAAUGUUCAACUCUUGCUCAGAGAGUGAUGGAGAAGAUGCACAUUACGCAUGGAGAAAAGAUGGCUUUUGGGGAAUACCAGACUACUAUCAAGCCAUUAAAGAUGAAAAUGAGGUAGAUUGGGACUCAAUAAUCACUGAAUUCUUCAUAUCAAAACUCAGAUGAGAUGAGCCAUUCUUGCUACUAUAAAAUUUCUAAAUACUUAAUUGAUUCAGUUUGGUUGUCCUUGAAGCUAACAGGUUACCGCAGACCGAAGGUUUAGAUUGGAAAAUGGCGAAGACGGCAAGCAGCUGAGCCCAGUUUCAGUUUUAGAACAUACACAAUCUGCUGAUGGUUCACCAUUUUGUAGAAGUUGGUCCUUUUACUCGAACCUUGGUUUACAUACAAGUGACCUUUUCUUGAAAAUCUGACGUUUUGUACAUAUUUUUCUAUUGGAAAACAGAAGACGGUGAUGCUAGAAGCCACAAGCAAAUUUCGACUUCAGUGUGUGCAUGUAAAUCAGAGAAGCCAUUUUGUUCUGGUUUCGGUGAAUUUUGCAAGCCUGAUGCAUCAUCUCAAUACGCGAAAAACAAGAAAGCAGUGCAAAAAUCAAAACUACUUCUGUUUGACUGCGUUAGAGAAGUGGUGGAGAAGCACAAAAAGUACUACCCAGAGCCAGAAGGCCAACAAAUUCAACAAAUUAUGGGGCAUGAGAAGCUCUGGGAGCUCAUAUGCCAAAACAUUUGGUUAUGGAGCAAAGAAUCAAUUCAUGAAACCAAUACCGCCCAUCUACUGCACCUUGAUUUGUUAUCUUCUGCUCAAGAGUGGAGCAAUUUUGAGCAUCACAGGCAAGAAAUAGGUAUUCAGCUUGCAGAUGCGAUGCUAGAGGAUAUCAGCUAUGAGGUUAUCACAGACAUGACAAAGAAUUCAUGAACGUAUGUAGAUCUCAGAAGGGUUGUACUCAGAAUUUUGUGGUGAUAUGAACAUUUGUAGUCAAAAGCAGUUCAAAUUAUCCACAAGCUCUUUACCAAAUCAAUUGUUAAAACGUAAGAUUUAACUGACGCACAUACCAUUUUCUAGAGCAUGCAUACAAAGUUAGAAGUAUUUAUUUUCUGGUCAAUGUCUCGCUUAAUCAAAACUAUGGCAGACAUUGAUGUUUGAACCGCCAAGAAAUGGGCAAAUCCUCCGAAGCCAAGAUCAUAAAAGCUACAUUUACUACGGGCAAACAUUUCAUAACUUUUGUGUGAAGGAUGGAUGCUUUUGUCCCUACCACACGCGUUAAUUUUUAUUUAGGACCCGCCACAGUAAUAAUUCUAGCUAUCCAUCAUAGCAGGACUGAUGUCUUUUGACCUUUAGUUGUAUUUUUCUUCCUGCUUUCUGUAUAAACUUUUUCCGGACAGCAGAUGGGUAAUUUGGCGCAAUUUGAAUUCAAAAAUUAUACUCCUGAAAAAUCACCGUGGAAGCUUAAAAGAAAUCAUGCCGCAUGAGGACACACUAGGCCUCGAAAAGUUUGUCAAUUCUUCAUAAAAAUUAAAAAGGAAGCAAACUCGAUUCAAAUAAAAAAAUGCUAAAAAAGUCUUUUCUUCUCUGUGCCACCACUUACCAUUGAGCCCUACCAUUAUAAUCAAGUAACUACCUACUAUGCCCUACCACCAUAUGGAGUAAAGCAUACCUUUGUAAGAGAUCCCAUUUUCUUUUUCUUCACCUUUGCAAGAAAUCCUACUAUACCGAGUGCAGAAAAGACUGCAAUCCUGCAGUUCUACCCAAAAAAAAAAAAAAAGAGUGAUUCUCAGGAGAAUUUGCCAUACAGUGGUUAAUAUGCAAGGCCUUCGAACCAUGAUCAUGGAUUUCUGGCGACAGUAGGGAACCAAAUAUCCAACCCCAGCACCGCCCAGUCACCCCCCUCCCUCUACCCCCAACCCCCAAAAAAAAAAAAAAAAACAAACAAACUAGAAGAAAACAAGUAAUAAUUCGCUUGAAGGGGGAAAAAAUGAAGCAAGAGAAGACAAGGCCCAGUAAGAAUGUGAAUUUUCUACUCAAUUAAAUGCACAAUAGAUUUGUCAUCAAACUAAUUGCAAUGACAAAGCGUCUUUAAAUUUUACGAAUUGACUUUGUUUCACACUUUGAAACCGUACACCGUUUUUCCGUCUGCAGCCCUAGUCAACCAAAUAACAGCAAAAUACACAGUAAAACUGGCAAAGAAUACACAUCACACGCUGUCAUGACACUGCUCGAUCUUCAAGAACACACACUAACUCCUAAAUUGCCUGAUUAAAUUACUUGAUCAACACAGACGUCCUUUCAGCAUCUUAAGCGGGUAUAGAGGUAGAAGCAUAGUGCCCCAUUUUCUUAAAAAACAGCUAGGUCUGCUAUGUUAAUCUAACAUUAUUCCAUUUCCACAUCUUCACCAAGCUCACCAUCUUCAAGCUCCUCAUGCCCACCACCUCGACGAGAUCCAUCCCUAUGAUCUUUUCUGUGUCUUUUAUGCCGUGUUUCACAAUCAGAUUCAGGUGAAUGCCCAUGCUGCCAAUGAACAAAAGAAAACCAUAAAACAGAUAGAAGUUGCUACCAUAAGCUAUAUAAUCAUAACAUGCUUAAAACAAUUAUAGCCUGGAUAACAGAAAAAGAUACCUUCCUUGACUUUUUACGGUCACUGCUAUGCCGACGAGACUUCUUAGUCUCCUCUUUCUCAUCCUUCUCAGAACUUGCAUCAUCAGUUACACUGUGGUGCCUCUUUCGAUGUUUCUUGUCUCUGUCUUUUUCCCUUUUCUUCUCUUCUUUGAGUCCAUGAUCAUCUUUUUCCUUUUUCUUCUCUUCUUUGAGUCCAUGAUCAUCAAUGGCAUCUGCAUUUGCAGUAUCUACUUCGUCUUUCUUCGAUCUUUCUUUCCCUUUUUCUUUUUCUCUUUCACGUUCCCUUUCUCUCUCUUUCUCUUUGUCUUUUUCUUUCUCUUUCUCUUUCUCCCUUCUGUCUUUAUCCUUCUUCUUCUCUUUUUCUUCUCUUUCUCUCUCUUUUCUAGCCUAUGUCAAAAACAAUUAAUGAAAGGAAAAGAGGAAAGUAACAAUCUCAGCUUUUAGCAUAAAAGAAAAAGCUCCUUAAAAUAUUGACCAGCAAAAUCUUCAAUCAAGAUAAAGGUAACACCAUAAACUAACAAUCAUAGGCACAAUGUUUGGGGAAAACUCAUCAGCCACAAACAAAUAGUAAGGACUUUUCGAAGGGGAAAAAAAAGUAAAUAUGCACAUUGCCAUUUGUUAUCAGGGUAGACACACCAAAACAGUCAAUGAAAGAGCUGGUUCAGUUAACUUGCACAUUCAAAUUGUCAGACCAUGUUUUCUAAUAAAAGGCAUCAGCAAAACUAUGCAUAUAACAUAACAUCUUUUCACAAGUGUGGCUCUAGAAACCGUACAAAAAGGCAUUCCAUUUUUGGUGAUAUGUAUACAAAUUUCAUCAGGGGCACUUUCUUGCUGGUAUCAAAUCCAAUUUUAGAUUUAAUGCAUUCAGUCAAACAUUCCAACUUAUUUUGAUUCGUUUGUGCAUAUAUUUUAAGCAGAGAGAAUUGAAACAACUCCAUCAACGAAGUUGCCUAAUAUAAGUUGCAAAGAAAAGAUGUAAUGUUUUGAAAGUACACUUGCAAUAUUGCACAGAAACACGAUGCACUUGAAAUUAAUAGUUCUGACAAAAUAAAGAGAUAUGCAUGUAGAUGAGGAAAGAGGAGAAAAAAGAGAUAACAUGUAGAUGAUUCAAAAUGAUAAAAAGAAGGGUUGGGAAAUGAUUAAAAGAAAAAAUCGGAAAUUGAUUAAUAUGGAAAAAUUGUUCAAAAUAUCCCUCACACUUUGCCAAAUGAGUUUUUCGUGCUUCACUUUUAAAAUGUUAACUUUACAUCCCUUACAAAUUCAAGUUAGCAAAAUUUGGUUCCAAAAUUUUCACUACUUUUUAGCCUAAAAUCUCCACACGACCCACAUGCAGUCAUUUUUUAUGUACCAGAAAGUCAGAUCUCAAUUUUUUAGUAGCAAAAAUGAAUAUAAGUUGGGUCAGAUCCCACUUUUUUGGCAAAAAAAAUGAAUAUGGUUCAGGUUAGAUCCUACUUUUUCAGAGGCAAAAAUGAAUAUGAAUUGGGUAUUUGUUAACUACAAAUAAGACCCAUUUCGCCCCCAGAAAAAUGACCAUGUCUGGGUGACGUGAUGGAUUCAGGGUAACAAGUGGUCAAAAACCUAUACCAAAUUUUAUUGACUUAAUUUUGUUAGGGAUUUAAAGUUACUAUUUUAAAAGUGAAGGAUGAAAAAAUUCAUUUGAUGAAAUGUGAAGGAACAUUUUGAAUGAUUUUCCGAUUGAUAUCAAAGCCCAAAGAUAUAUAAUCUAUGCAACUAGAAUACUAGACCGCAUUUACUUGUAAAAACAAUGAUGCUCGAAAUUCUUCAAAGUUCAAUAUCUUGUUUCAGGUGACAAAAUAAUGAUGAAACUAAAUAGCACAGUACUGUUGCUGGAUGGAUAAGACACACAAGUACUACAGGAGAAUUAUUUCACCUUUUCCUCCUCUCGUUUGCGUUCCUUUUCCUUUGCCUUCUCCUGCAAGCGUGCAAUAUAUUCUUCAAAGAUUUCCUUGCAAGAAUUCUCCUCUCCAAUGGAUCUAGUAAAAGUUUAAUUAGAAAAAGUACUAUGAGAAGUCCAGCAAAUUGAAGUGAAUAACAUUUCCAAGCUUGCACUUCAUACAUAAUUGACGAAAAAUUUACCUAUAUUCUGAGCUGUCUUCAAGCAAUUCUUUUGAUUCCUCCCAGUUAGAUGUCGCAGUUAUUUCCUAGGAGAUGGUAGACCAAAUGUCUAUUAAAAGAGUUCAUAUACAUGCUAUGUGACAACAACAUAAGUAUGAACUCCCCCUAUAAAAAAUUACACAUACCUUAAUGGUGCUCAGCAAAUCACUGAAGUCUUUAGCAAGACGCUGACGCUUUUUAGCUUCUUUCUCCUCCUUUUCUUUGGCUCUCUCUAGUAGAUCCUCGAAAACAAGCUGCAAAGAACUGACUAGUAAGCGCAAAGGCAAAUGGUGGGCCGUACUAUGACACAAGCACCAAUAAAAUAACUUGAAUUUCAGCUAGAAACGCAUUACAACUGAUUGGAAAACAGAGUCACCAGGAAGGUUAGAGAUGCUAAUUUAACCCACACUCAUGCCUCAUCGGACCAGUUCUGUCCAAAGUGGACAGCCUUCAAGUGUUAUUAGACAAAAUUUCAAUAACAUGCUUGAUAAAGCCCUGUUUUAGUAUUACUUUUUCUCAAACACAUGGUUCUGUUCAUAUAAAAGAUGAUAAGCCACUAAAAUAUUGAAUCAAAGAGAACAAAUAGAAAUUCAUUGACACAAAAUCAAGGGAAGGGAAAAAAUGUCAAAGUAACAUUAUCCUUUCACAGCACUUGAGCAGAUUUCGAAGGUCACAUGCUAGGUUCAAGUCAUCACUGCCAAAAACAAUUCCAGAAGGGGAAAAUGAUUGACCCAAAAAGAAAUAUAUCUGAUACUGUAAGUUGAUCAAUGUAAACUAGACAUCAGAAAGAAAAACAUAAAUAAGAUAGCUAGUGAGAAAGCAUUCAUGCUUAGCACAUAUUUUCCCAACUGUAUUGCAAGUUGUUUUGUGCUUAUAGGAGAUGCAUGUCCAGACACAAAACAAAACCAACCUUCUUGUGGAGAACAAAACAAGGAGUCUAGACAUAUGGAUCUCCACAUGCCUCUCCCAGAUAUAGGCUCAGGUACAAGAGCACAGCAUGAAACUAAUGCAUUAUCUAGGUACAUAUUACCCCAAAAUAAGAUAAAAAGAAAUACAGGGAAAAAAAACAUUUGCGACAGCAAGCAAAGAAUAACUUAAAAUCCUAGUUUUCAAUGUUCAUACCUGUAAAUUAAUAUCUGAUACCUCUGAGCUGAUGCUCUCCUUAAUAGCAGCCUUAAAGUCUUCCAAUGUCCACAUUGGCAAAACAGAUAUCUGAAUUCAUACACAAGGAAAUAUUUAAAAACUAUGCAGAUCAGAAUACUCAUUGGAUAGAUAACUAAACAGCCUAGAUAACUUUACCUUUUCCAGCUUCACUGCAUCUUUUAUCCGUGUCUUGUCAUCAUGAUACUGAAGAAAAAGAGAAGGAAAAAAGUAAAGAGAAUCAGCUUCCUGCUGAUAAAUAUUAGAGAUUUUGAAUCUCAAAUACUUAUCAUAAAGUUCAACAUUAAUAAACCAGAAGUAUAUGGCUUGUAUGGCUGUAGCUAUCCAUAUCAAUGCAUGUGCCCAUGAACUAUAUGAAUGCUUUUCCAAGCUUUGAUAAGAGGAUUCCCUAUUAAUCUACUUACAGAAAGAAAAUUGUAGCCGUUGAAUGACAAGUUUCGCAACAAAGGAUGUCAAAGUGUCUGAUGUACAAUCCGUAAUACCACGUAGCUAACUUAUAGUAGUUUCUUGACUUCCCUUCUUUGUAUAUUCACUUCUAUUGAUCAUCAAUGAAAAACUCAUACGAGAGGUAACUUAUGGUAAUUAAUAGCUCAGGAAGUGCAAAAUUAAGCACAAAGCAGACAGAAGAGCCAGUUUAAUGCUUUUCAUCGUCUAAAGUUAGUGACCAUCAUACCAAAAAGUGCCAGUAAGGCACAUGAAAGCUCACAAGGCAAACAAGCAAGCUUCUUGAAUUUGUUCCUCUUUUUCAGCUUUCCUUUCCAUAAAACCAACGUACCUUUUUUUUGUCUUAUCUAUGGCAUUGAAUAGUUUGAUUAGGAUAACUGAUUAUAACUACCAUAAACCCUCAACAUCUAUUGACUUCAUUGAUUUAGUUGCUUGGGAGCUUAAUUUUCUAUGCAUUUUAGAAUGCUAAACAGCUUCAACCUUGAUAUUUAAGUUUGUAUUACUUCACUUUAUAUGAGUAUACAACAUGUACUUUUCACGUUCAAUCCACUAAUCUGCAGAGAUUUUAUUCUAGAAUCUGUCUCUUUUCUCAUCUUCAAUGUUUACUUGUAUCAUUGUUAAUAACUGUAGACUAUAUAUUAAAAAAAAUCAUGUAACAUUAAGCUUCACUUCAAUGAAGUGUGUGCUUUGCGCUUAAGUGCACAGAAGGCCUCUUCUGCUUUGCACUCUGUACAUUUAACUAGAUUAUGAUCAAUGCAUGAGACUUCUCCAACGCUUCGAAGAACACCUAAACAUUUUGCCUCCAAUCAACACAUGUACGACAGACUGCUUUUUGCAUUGGAGUAUCUAGAAAGGUAUAAGGAUAAUGCAAAUAUCUCUUCAGAAUCAAAGUAAAGAGCAGGCUUAACUGUCUCCCAACAUGCCCCAUAAUAGAAGCAACAAGGAAAACAUUGACUAGAACCAAAAUAGUGGUAGCAAAAUCUUUAGUUUGCAAAUAGGUAUAGCCGCCAUUGGGUGCAUAAUACAGACAGGAAUGGAAAUUUUUUACCUGAAAUCUUACUCUUAUAUGUACAAAAUUAACUAUAAUGGGAACAAAGUUAUGCAUAAUAAAAAGUACUAAUGGGAACAGAGAUGAAGGAUAAUGGGAACAAGUACUAAUUCUCUACAGUGAUCACCAUAAAAGGUACCUGGUUUUCCAAUUCUUCCAAAACAUCCUCGAACAAAUCCAUUGGUGUAGAUCCAGAAGUGUUCAAUGCAACAGCCUGAUAAGCCUCAGUAUCUUUGACCUACCAAGCAAAACACAGAAAGAAAAACUAAGUGGAUCAGAUUAUUCCAGAGACACCAUCUUCUUAGCUAACCAAAACCUCUGAUAUCUACUUAGUCCAAAAUCAAGGAGACUCAUACCUUCUGGCAGUAAUCACGCCAAAGAGUUUUAGCAUUCAAAAUGCCAGCAGCAAUAUGUUCUUCCAUCAACUUGCGAAAAGCAUCUCGAUUUUUGCGCUCAGCACGUCUCAAUUGUUCCUUAAAAUUAUGUUAAAAAAGAGACAGAAUCAAUUAGUACCUUAAUCUGGAUGGACAAAUGUCAAGAAAGUAAUUCAAUAGCAGACCUUUUCUUUCUUUUUCUGCUCUUCCUCCUCCCUCUCCAAAUCUCGGAUGUAUUCCUGCCAUAAAUACCAAAAUCAGCACCAAUACAAGAAACCAUUCUCACAGUUCAAGAAAACAAUAUUACCUGGAAGAUCUCCAAACGAUCAAUCUUGUCAAGGCGUGAACAUCUUUCAUCGUCUUCCAAGAGAUCUUGAACUUUCCUCCACUGGCUAUCUACCUGCAGUCAUCAAAGGAAUGGGAGAUAUUGGACAAGGAUAAACAAGAUUAAAGGGCGGGUUUGGCGAUUUUUUUUUGUGGUUUUUUUUGGGGGGGAGGGGGGGAAUGGAUGAUACAUGGAUUCUAACAAUAAGAAAGCUAAAAUAAAAAUAAAUACCUUAAUAAAGCCACAAGUUUCCAGAAAUUGCCUAUACUCUGACCUAUUCCGGCGAUGCUCCUCCUGUGCCUUAACUCUUUCCUGCAUUCAUGCACACCAUUACUUAUCGCAUUGAAGUUAAUAAAGAAUGCACACAGGAUGUGCGAAUCCAAGAAACUAUAUAAAUAAGUCUAUAACACUGCAAUUCAUAACUGCUGAACAAAUACUACUGGUGUUCAUCACAAGUCUAAGUGAAACUGAAUAUUUACCAGCUUUCAAACUAGUCUGCAGAACAACUUUCUUAGUUUUUUUCUUUUUUGGUCCCAUACAAGAAAGCAAGGUUCUAGUCAAUAGAACUUGUUAUUGCAUGAUACUACUAGUAAAGUAUAUCUAAAGCAACACAACAACAAUAAUUUUUUAUACAUAUAAGAAAUACCAUGGUAUUUUUUUUUUUUUGUCAGAAAUACCAUAGUAUAUUAGACUUUGAUAAGUAAUAGAUAAACUAAAAGCAUGGCUGGCCAAACAAGUAAUUAUUCAUUCUUCAUAUAUAAGCACAAGCAGAGACUGGAUACCUUUUUCUGAAGAUCCACCAGGUAACUUCUAAAAAGAUCCUCACGAUCUGAUUCUUUUUCCACAGCUUUGAAACGUUCAUCAUCUUCUAACAUCGUUACCGCUUUGCUGCUCAGUAGGAAAGAGCUUAUAAGAAAAAUAUGAUCUUGUCAUCUAUGAUUGAUAGAAAACAAGAUGUGAUCGAUUGAACAAGAGAAGAGAACAAAUAUAAACCUCCAUCUUGUCAAUGAUGUAAGCUCCCUGCACUCCUGACACAAUAUUCACAGAGUGAAAGUCACCAUUCAAAUCAGUAAAACUUUCAACAACAUAAGCAAUAACACCAAUACAAAUCACCAAGAAUUUAAACUGAAUAAUAGAUGAAACUAUGCAUGAGCUGCAUGACUACAUAGAAUUCCCACCCUAGUCUAGCUUUAGCAAUUAUGAUUGCGAAAUGAAAACUUUUAAGUUAACAAUGCCAUGGUAAACAUGCACAAUGGAAGAUUGCUAUUCAAUAAAACUCUGAUACGUAUACAAAAAGGCUCAUGAAUUUGAUAAUAAACAGUUUCAACUCACGCUACGGCCAACAAAAAAAGAGCUUAAAAGUUUAUUUCCACGCACAACUUGUUAAUAGUAGAAAAAAACCAACUUAAGAAUUGAUAAUGAGAAAAUGACCGACAAGAAGCAACUUACUUCCAACAUCUUCGUAAAUUCUUCUUUUGCUUUUCUUUGCCUCAAACGUCUCUCCUCUGCCUCUAUCUUUUUCCUUUGCAUCAAGUACUGUUAAUGAUGUACAAUAAAGAUAAAGAAUCAGAAGCAAAAACAAGAGCAAUUAAACUACAGAAUACUAAGGGAGAAAACCCUUCUGGCAGCAACAUAUAAUUACCUCAUUGAAUGCCUGUUUCCUCUCACCAAGUGUUUUUAGGGCACCAUAUCUUUUGUCAUUAAUAAUAACCCGCAUAGCCUGAGAUGCAAGUCAAAGUUCAGCAAAAGCAGUUAAAGCAACCUCUGUUCUGCAGCCCUGACACCUCUUUAGGCAUAUACAAAAUCAUGGUUACAAGAAAUAGGUAGGGAAUCGGCAUGAGAGGUGCAGAGGAGAGGAGAAUAAAUGAAUAGAGGAAAAAUAAGAUGCAAAAAAUUAGAGUCAAUUCCGGGGUUUAAGACAAAAAGAUUCAAUUGCCACAGCUGAAACCAAUUUUCUGAUUGUUGCAUGGGAUGAUUAAAAAUCUGGCGAGGUUGGAAGUGUCACUGGGUUUUCUAAUCAUGAAUAUACAAAGAGAUGAGACAUAGAAAUAGGGAGGACAAGGUAUCAUUGAGCCAGAUUAAAUAAUAUUCUCAAUUUGCUAAACUGAUCGUGUGGUUUUAAGUUAUACUUUCUUCUAUCCCAGAUGAAGAAUACUUUGAAACAUCGCAUAAGUAUGUAAUGAUAUCAAAAUUUUGAAUCUUGGAAAACAUCUUCUCAAUUUUACCACUUCCUGUACGAAUUAUUAAGAUCAAAUGCAAAGAUAGCCAUUCCCAUGUCCAUGCUGCUAGAAGGUAGCCAAAAAAAAAGUUAAGGAUACCUGCUCCCAAGUCCAAUCUGCCUCAACAUUUGCAGACUCUAGUAAUGCUUUAAAAGCAUUUUUUGCUUCCUAAACAAAAAUGUAAAAAGGUCAACAAAUACAGCACUCUAUUUUUAUCGAAGCCCAACUGUCCAAGAAAAGCAUGAAAAGAUCAUUUACUAAAUAUGCACCUGUUUAUUGGUGAAAACUAAAGGUUCAUCGUCCAUCGGCUUUUCUUCUGAGGUUGUCACAUUAACUUUUCCUGCGACAGCCAUGCCCUUCUUUGCCUCCUUAAAGCCACAUAAAAUUAAACUCCAUAUAAACAAAUCUUGGCGACUUCAAACCAUUAAUUUUUUGGUAGAUAUUUAUAAGGGUGCCAUUGAGCAUGAGAAACCUCUAUGUUCAAGGACAACUACCCUUUCCGCUAAUCAAAAGAGACAAACACAACUUCAAAGAUUAUAUUUCAGCUCCCAAGCACAAUCACACUCAGAUGUCAUAAACAGAUAAGAGUUGAACAGUCAAACUUCAGAUGAAACAUGAAAAACAACACAUACCUCAAUAUCCUGAGAAGAAGCUUCACCAGUAGAACCUUCAGCAAUGUGUGAAGAAUUAUUCUCCACAUUAUGCAUUCCCAAGCUUCCUGUUGUAGGAGCAGGUGAAGCGGAUGUUUCACCUAGAGAGGGCACACUAACCAUACUUGUUACAGCAGGUUGUACUGUUGGAACUGCAGGUGAUCCAAAAACGGCCACAGUGGGAGAAUUAACAACAGCAGCCACAGGAGUCACCGCAAUUGGGCUAGAAGCUAUGGCAGAUACUGUUGAAGAAGUGGAGCUAACUGAAGUAACAAGAGGUGGUUGUCCAACGGAGGUGCUAGUUGGAGCAGUAGGCACACCCAUUUCUAAAUGAGAUCCAAAGGAAGCUGCCUUUUCAGCUUGUUCACGAGCCAGCUGGCGGCAUUUGCUCAAGUAUUAGUCCAGAUAAUAGUUGUAGGCAAAGCAAUUAUACAACACUAAUAGAAUACAGAAGAAACCUUUAGCUCCUCAGGCAUUGUCCAUUUUGAUUCCUUUGUUUCCUUAUUGUAGUAAUACCUGAAAAGAUUAGAAACUAGUUAAAUAGACAAACACAAAAUAACCUGUAAAAACACCCCCAAACAGGGAGAUAUUGUUUAAUAACAACUGUAGUUAGUGCUCACUUUCUACCCUCAGGAGUGGUAAAUUCUUUCCAAACUGUUGAUGCAUCAGCUCUCUGUCAAACAAGAAAUUCACAAAUAAUAAGUAAAUCACAUCCUCCAGAAAGAAAAGAAAAAACCAAUACAAAGAAUUCAGUAGAAACAAUGAAAACGUAACUAGACAUUUCUAAAAGAGAAAUGGAUGUGAUUCCAGAGGAAAGAAAUCAGACCAAGAAAUAACAGAAAAGUAAACUAUAAACGUGGAGAAAUUAAAACAUUCAUCACCAGCAACAAAUGUGUUAAAUACGAUAGCAGAUCCACAUUAGAAAAAGCCAUGAUAAGUCAGAGAUAAACAUACAGCCUUCACGCGAGCUGCCAAAGGCUGCAAUCAACUGUUUAAGCAUGUGCCAAAAAAAUGCUAAAGAUGAUCAUUGGUUAGAGAAAUUAUGCCAGAAAGUGCUGGUAGCAUACCACUACUACCAAUCCAAAAAGUUUCAGAGAAAAAUGAAGAAACAUUGUACAAGACAGGAAUCUACAUUAAGCUGUAAAAGACAUUCACAGCAAUCAUGUACAACAAACUUGGCAUAUUGCUAAAUCACUGGAACAGCACUAGCAAGCAUAGCUGCCUUGUAAUUUUUACCAUCAGUGUAAAAAUUAACAGUUGCGAAUAUAAGUAGCAGAAUUUGUACCUGAAACCUUUGAAAGAACAUAGAGAUCAGGCAAGUCAUGUGCCAGAAGCUAAUGCAUUAGAUGGAUGAAACAAUAUUAAAAGCAAAUGAGUGCAGAAGAUAGCUGAAGAAGAAGAAGAAGAAGACUAAUCAUUCAUAGCAUCACAUAACAUGAUAUGCAAACACACCAAGCAAAUCUUAAAUAGCUGGACAAACCAAAAAACAGCACAAGAAAUUCUAGACAGCAAGGAUUACUACAUAAUAACUCUAAAAACUCAUUGACUACUUAAGGACACCUACACCCUAAAGACGAAUUUAUACAAAAAAGUCAUGUGAGUAGAAUGCAAGCCAACAUUGACAUAAGUAGCAGGGAAAAAGAAGAUCAAAUAAAACCACAAAUGCAAAUGAACGAGAUUAUUUCAGACAUGAAAUGCACAGUACCACUCAGCCUCCCACAGGACUAUAAAAAAACCAAACAUUGCUGCUACAAUUAGACCAUAAAAGCAUUCCAUUAACCAAAUACUACAAAAGAAAUCCCUACAUUACAAAAUGUGAAUAGCAAAUUGUUGCCUGCCUUGAGAAAGUGAAACCGCCUUCAAAGUAGCACUAAGAGCAGCCGUUUUAUUCCCUUGGCUUGCCAUGACAUCUACAAACCAGUGGAAGACCAUGCAAAGAAAAGGAGAACAGGAAUAAAACAAUUUGGAACAAUUAAGUGCUGCUUAAUUGUGAACAUCCAAUUUGCACAAAACUCAAUAUCAUACCCCAAGCAUGCUUCGGUUUUGCACAGAGGUAAAACUAUUCUUCCGAAGAAAAGUAGUUAGAUUAUUGACUCACCUCUAUGGGUGUCAUCAGUUCUAGAGGCUUCUCCCAGCUAGAUUGUUGUGUGACCUUGUUGUAGUAGUAUCUGGGUACAAUCACCAAAAAAGAAAAUCAACUUGAGAGUCCCAGAAUAAGAUCUCAAAAAAUUAUUUAAAAAGUUAAAAACCAGAGGAUCUUACACGAGUAAGAUCCUAGUCCAAAUUAAAAAAUGAACCUUUAAAAAUUAUAACCAGAAAGAGUCUAAAAGCACCUCCCACGAACAAAAAAGCUCCUAACAAAGUAACUAACCUUCUUCCAUUAGCAGCCUCAAACUCCUGCCAGUUUGAUGGAGUCUGUUAAACAGAAAUGAGAGUGUUAAAAACCUGAAGUCCAUAAUUAAACAAAUACACAGUGAAGAACACCCUGACUGAAUCAAUACCAGUGGAUCAGUAGGCAGACAAAAACAUAUUAUUUUUAGCAUGAUUUUUUAUCAGUUCGAAAUAUACCAAGUUAUGCAUUUCUUCAGAAAAGCAUUUGCAUUUUCUUUCUGCAUCUAAAUGCUAAUAUCAAAAACCAGGCUGAGAAAAACAUAAGAACCUUCAAGAUCCACAAUUUCACUGUGCCAUAUUGGCAUCAUUUAACUACAUAAUGGCCAAUAACAAAAAUGAAAUCGGGAAACCGUUUUAACUAAAGCCUUCAGGGAAAUAUCUAGAUUUCCAACUUCAAUUCCCCAGAUAUAAAAGAAACUUGUAAAAAAAAUGUAAAAAACCCAUCUCAUACAAAUCAUUCCACAAACACCAAAUAAUACAAGACAACUCAUAGGAACUUGAACUUUCUGAAAGUGCACAGACAAAUCAGAAACAUUUACUGUUGGGCACAAAUAAAUACCAACAACCUCAAGAUCUCAAGUCUGACAAAUAAUUUUAAAAAUUCAUAAAUAUUGAAAAAAAAAGGCAGAAAAAGUUUAUGUAUUGCAACAAAAGGACUUCAAGACCUCAAAAGAAUGCUUGUCUAAAUGCCAGCAGAAAAGGACACACUCCGCAUAGAGAGGAAAAUAUGUAACAGCAUGUGAACCAAUACUGACAAUCCAACACUAGGGAGUCUUUCAAGCAAUUUUCUGUUUGAGACAGGGUAAUUGGAUACAAGUAAAGGACAAUGAGAACUAACUGAGAUCGCGGCUGCCUGCUGCAAAUGUGUACCAGGAGGAGCACCUUGACUUCCAGGCUGCAGCCACAGUUGACCAGAGACAGCUGGUACAUGAGUUUGAUGUUGCGAUGGAAUAUUCAUGCCAUUUUGUGUCUGACCAAAAGAAGACGGUGCAAACUAAAAGAGCAGCAAAAUCAAUAACAAGAAGCAAGAGUUUGGAAUGCAGAUAAGAAUGCCACUGUCAUUUCUUACAGUAUAAGAUGAUGAGAAUUGAACUGCUGGGCCACCUACACCGUGCGGAUGAUUAUUCAAGGUGGAUCCUGUUUGCUGAGGCUGCUGCGCACCGGAAGUAAUAGGCAUAUUUUGUUGAAUUAAUGGAUUAUGAAUUGGCUGAGAUGAAGGUGCAGCAGUACCAAGCUGAGAAGGAAACUGCUGCAUUGGUUGGGAAUACUGCAGAGGCUGAGUUUGUCCAUGUGGCAGUCCGACAUUCUGCACUUGACCAACAGGGCGAAAUUGCUGAGCAGUUGACAUAGGAGGAAACAGUUGGCCUUGCUGUCCAGGCAUGGCAGGACGGAACUAUUACCCCAAAAAAAAGUGUUCAUCACCAUCUAUGUAUCCAACUCAUAAAAAAAAUAAAAUAAUUAGCAUAAAACAGAGAAUAAGUUGGUGAUAUACUUGCAUAGGGAAAGGAACGCCAUAAUUUGGAGGUGCCACUGAUCCCACUGCAGGAGGCCGAAGAGGCUAUAAGGUAUAAAACAAACAAGAUCAAGUCAAAAAUUACAAUAAAAUAACACAGUAUCAAUACCAUUUGACCACUUCUCAAGGAACAACAUAAUCACAUGGUAAAGCAGCAAUACUAAAGGUUUUUCCUAAACAAAAUCAUCAUCAAAACAUAAACAAUCUUCAUUCUUCAUCUCAUAAACAAUACAAUCACGCAUUUGCUUUUACAUUCAACCCAGGUUUUCCAAUUUCAACGUUUCUAGCUAAUUAAGACAAAAUAACCAUUGAACGGUAACUCAUUAACAAAUGCUAAUAAAACCUUAAAAUUUUACGGACAGAAACAAUUUAAUCUUUCAAUUUUUCUCGGAAGUACAUGUGUUCGUGUACCUGUGCACCGGAUGACUGGGGAGGAUUAUUGGCCAUGACUGCGCAUCAACAACCCUAACCCAAAGCAGCUGCGAUAAUAAUAAUAAUCACUCAUGAAAUAAUCAAUCAUCAACAAUUUUCCAAUAUAAUUCGCACAAAAACACUAACAAAUUGUGGUAUUCAAAAGCACAUACAUAAAUUAUAGUAUGAUAAUAAACUGAAAUGAAUUAGAAACUACCGAUUAAAACCCAUAACCGAACCCAAAACCCGAAAUUAAAGAAAUAAAUAAAGAUAUAAGAAAGAGAUGCAUUACCUGAAGAUGGAAAAUAGAAAAAUAAUAGUAGAAAAUUGAGCCGAUAUUUUAUGCUGCAAAAAUUAUAUAAACCCUAAAUAUUGAGCAGCGCCGGGUCGAUUUCUCCAGAUUCGGGCUUGGCGCGAGGAUGGAUGGUGCACAAAUGCUGAUAUUUGGAGCUUGGACUGGACUAGUGUAAAGUGGUAAUUAAGGGCUUUACUGGAUUUUUUGUUUUCAAAAGGUUCUUUUUAUUGUGCUUGUAAAAAUGGCUGAAAGUUAAAACUGGAUAUGGGCCGAAAUUGGCUACUGUGAGGCCCAGGAUAGUAGACCUCUUAUGUUCCAUUUGCAAUCUGUUUUCUUUUGUUCAUCUUUGACUAUUACUUAUAACUUUUAGGCUCCGUUUGGAUGGUGAUUUUUUAGAUGUUUGCAUAAAAUUUUACUUUAACUUAAAGUAGAAAUUGUAGAAAAACUUCUAUAUAUUUGAGGGUUGGGAAAAAAAUUUCUUUUUUUUUCUUUUCCUUCCUUUUCCUUUUCCAUUUUCUUUCUUUUUCAUUUUCCUUUUCUUUUUCCUUUCUUCUUCCUCUCUCCCUAUUACCUACUUGGAAUCCUCGGUGACAUGUUUUCUAUAUCAACCUAAUGUCACCUAUAGUAUUGCGCCAAAUGUCUUGUUAUUAUUUACACUUUAAUUUUUUAAUAAUUGAACUUGGUUUGGUUUAACACAAGUGUAAAUAAUAACAUGACACUUAGCACAAUACUAUAAGUGACAUUAAAUUAGCAUAGAAAACAUGUCACCGAGGAUCCCAAGUGCCUAUCACCACCAUCCAACUCCCACCACUCCCACCUCCCUUCCCACCUCCUUUUAUUCCCACCAUUCUCUCUCUCCACUCCCCCUUCAUUGGACGCCCUUCCCUUCUCUUAACAAGCACCCCAACUAGAAACGGGAGAGGAAGUGGGCAAUGGGAUGCGUGGAAGGGAGAGGAGGAAAGAAGAAGGGAGAAAAGGAGUGAGGAGAAAGAAAGUGAAGGAGGAAGGAAAAGAAAGGAGAUGGAAAAAGGGAAACACACGCAACUAGAAACAAAGAAAGGAGGGAGGGGGAGGCGGGAUGCAGGGGAUGGAUGGGAGGAAAGAGGAGAGGGAAAAAAAAGGAGGGGAGAAGGGGGUGAGCCAAAAAGAAUGGUGGCUGUAGGCGAUAAUGGGCGUUGACAGUGGUGGUUGAUGGCUGAUAGUGGUGCGUGAAAGAAAAGAGGGGAUGAGAAUUUAUUUUAUUUUUUAUUUUAGUAUAUUUGAGUGUGCUUUUGAAGUUAUUUUUGGAGAUACUGUGGAUUCCAAAUAUAAAAACAAAUACAAAAAAAAAAAAAAAAAAAAAGAAAGAUGAGUCCAACAACAACAACAAAAUAAUAAAUAAAUAAAUAUUAAAAUUUAAAAAAAAAUAAUAAAUAAAUAAAUAAACAGAUUUUCGCACCAACAAAAUAAUAAAUAAAUAAAAAGUAAACGGUUAGACGAAAGCCUUUCCAAUGUGGCAUAUAUAGGCAGGGUGGUCUUGUAAAAUACUCCUCAUUCACUUCUUUACGUCAACAUUUUAGUGCAUACCCAAAUGCAUGAUGACUAUUUUUUGGGGAACGUAUAAACAUAGUCCGAGGAGUGCAACAUAAACAUUUGGAGGAACAAAUGUUUCUUAUUCAUGGCUAACAAUGAGGGACUUAAAAGCGACUUAACUAAUGUAGGGUAACUUUGAAAUUCAUCAACUCUUGGAGUCUACAAGCGUCUUAAGCUAACAUGAAUGAGCGAGCACAUGUACGCCUGCUUCAGUUUUAGCUUCGGUGCAUAGAUCAUGCUUUUCUUUAAUUUCUUUUGCAGGAACGAAGUGAUCAAACAGGAUCAGUUGCAUUCACUAUUUUCCGGGUGUCAAAGUUAGGAUGUGGUAUCAUGAAUAUGACAUCAUAUUUGUCAGAAACUGCUGCAAAAAGUUAAAUGUUAAUCUAGUAAAGGUCCCAAGUUAUCUAUGAAGUGUAAAACCUUUUUUUUUUCUGGAAAAAUAAGAUGAUUACCAGCUGAUGCAGCUUUGUACCAGAUAAUCAUCGGACUCUCAAUUAUUAAAUUGAAAGGGUACUCGCACAAUGAGAAGUAUGUAUAUUAUCAAGCUGUGCAGCAGAAAGAAAGAAGGAACCAAGGAUAAGACUUGCAUACAUUUACAUUCUAUCAUCAAAGCAACUAAGUACAUGGAUUUCCUCCUAUUUUCUCACUGGCAAGGUAAUUAUCUUCUUGUUACUCGACAUAGCAAAACCAAUUAUAGGACAAAGUCUGAAAAAAAAAAAAAAAAAAAGGGAAAUGGAGAACUUAUGCAGCCGGACCAUGAAUAUGUAAUUUGUUGCCUCUCUAAGCUUCACCGGAGGGGGAAAAAAAAGAUUAUUGAGGAAACUAUGAGAGAACCAACAAUCUAAGCAUGACUGGUACAUGUAUGAUUCAAAGCAUGUGAUUGAGUGAUCAGGAAAACAAAAGUUUCAUCUCCCUUUCACUCUUCAAGACUCUCUCUGGGAUUUGAGACAGGAAGUUGAGAAAUCCUAACAACGCUAUCAUCUAUAACAUUAUUGCCUGAGUGCUUACAUGAGAAAACAGAUAAAUUCUUCUUCAACCCAAGUCCAACAUCAAUCCUAUUAAUUACACCCGAUAACCCUUUAUGAUUUUUACUGGUGCUCUUUGUGCACUCUUUAUAUGCUAGAAGAAAAGGGUCAUCGUUCUUCUUGAAACUAAUUCUCCUGGAAGAACUUCUCAGCGGAUGUUGGAAGUUAGGGCACGGCGGUGGAGGGAUUUGCAAAUCACUAUGAAACGAUGCCCUGGACUUUUCCGGCCGGCAUGGUGGAGGCGGCAGCUUUGCAAUAGGAAAAUCACCCUGAUCCCCGCUUGUACGAUGAUGACGAAGACCAUUCUUGCUAUCCUUGCUGACCCCUGGCUUGUUUUCCCAGGAAAAGGGCACGGUUCUCUGGGAAUGGACUUUACUGUUAUUCAUUUUUGUGGUAGAAAAGAGCAAUAUAGGUAAGCUAGGAAACAAGAAGACUAAAAGGAUUUAGUUUGCAACGAAUUAAUAGAGGGUUUUGAUCAUGAAUUGUUCGCUUUCUAACUGAAUAUCCUCCUUAUGUCAUGCAAAGCAAACGUGAAGGAAGAGGCAUGCUGUAGCUUUUGAGCAAAACUAACAAGAACAAAGAUGAUGAAAAAUAACAGGCAUAAUAUAUCACACAACAGUGAAAGGGUGCAGGCUUUUCCAGGUCAAGAUCAUCAGACUACAUACCGGUGAGAUCGAGUAGCAUUUCUAAUACAAUGGUUGACUGACUUCAUGCUGAUAGCAAUGCCAAUAGCGACACAUAUGGCGUGUUAGACAAUGCAGACUUUUUUAAGGAAAACACAACUUGCCUAAUUUUUAAAGGGUUUAAAUAACGCGAAAGUCUUGUAUGGUAAUUCUGAAGUCCAAUCCUUAUCUUACCCCCAACAACAAAAAAAAAAAAAAAAAAAAAAGAGAGAGAGAGAGAGAAUCCAAACCUAAAAACUUAUAUACACAAAUUGUGAAGUAAUGCAAUGAGAUUUUUAAGUUUAGCCAUUGUUCGAAUGAGAGUAGAGCACGGAUGGGACUUAAGAAGUAGAGAAGGGAUAAGAAGAUUUGAGCCCGAGAACCCCUAAUAUCUAGAUCUCAACCUUGGUCACUAGACUAAUGUCUCGUCAGCUCGAAUGGCAAGCUAACACCACAAUUCUCGCAACCCCAAAUACAAGUUAAAAAUUAGGCAAAUAUUUUGUCUUUCCCCCGUGUCUAAUUCCCAAUUGAGGUUCCCUUUUGCAUAGGGAUAUUGAUACCAUAAAAUUACGGGUAUGAUACGCAUGAGCUCAAAAUUAGGCUAAUCAAGUUGAAGAAGAUGCUAGCACACACCUCAGUGUUAGUUAGGCAAAGCCUUGUUUGGAUUGCUUGUUUCCAUCGGAAAAUAUUGUCGUUUUCCGUGAUCACAUUUCCCUAUCACAUUUUUCUCUUACAUAUAUCAAAUAGCUACAAUAAUUUUUCCAUGAAAAAUGACGGAAAAUACAAUCCAAACACAACCUCAGUUUUUGUUGGUUUAUGAAGUUAGUCUAGUAGUGUUGGCUGUGAUAUUUUCCAACCAUAGUCGCAUGUUACUUGCAUUCUAUACCACAUCAGUUUUCUGAAUUUUUUUUGUGAACGUCAUCUUUAUCUUAGCUGUCUAUUGCUUUGUUUCUACCCGGUAAUAGGGAAAUGGAAUUAGAAGAUAGCAAGUUGUAAUAUAGCAUUCCUUUGAGACUCGGCCGUCCAAUUUAUGCCACGACAAUCCAUACUAACUACCAUUGAUUGAAUGGAGACAUUUGAUUUGAUCUAUGCUCUUUCUAGUCUUCCUUUGGGAGUCCAUUACAAAUGCCACCUGUACGUAUGCUAAUACACAGCCCCUUUCCCCAAUCCUUGCUCUUCUUAUUUGAAGAAUUAUAUAUGGAUUCUGGGAUACGAUAUCUCUAGUUCAUCUAUCGUCCACAUGCUAUUUUUAUUCUUUUCGAAACCUAAAUGAAAAAAAUGUGUUAGUACAAACAUUAUAAGAAAAUUUUGAACUAUUUCGAGACACUUUUGAAAAGUGUAAUUUCUAAAAAGAAAAAUUUUAUACUAAGCAACAUAUGACUUAGACAACCGACACAAAUUGAAUUGAAUGAUGACCCGCCUCCUUGAUUUUAAUCGUUUCGUUUAUGUUUAUCGUUUAUAAAUGUCAUGAUUUAUGCUUCUUUUUAGAAAUGUUAAAAUAUAAAGUCACUUUUAAAUGAUGAUCGACCGACCUCCUUGAUUGAUUUUAGAUAUUUCUAUGUUCAUAUAUAUCUAUCACUUAUAAAUGUCAUGAUUUACGAUGGUCGUCGUAAUUUAUAGGUGGACUCUUCCGAAAAGUGCUAUCCCAAGCAAAAUUAGCUCUCACUUUUCUCUGCCUCCUCAUUGGUUGUUAAUUGCCAUUAUCUCAAGAUUAUAUAUUACGUGGUUUAUUGCUCUUGUGGUUCCAUCAGAUUAAUCAGCUGUAAUAUUCCAAAGAACAGUCAGACGUUAGUUUAGAAACGACUUCUCGUCUUGUUGGAUGGCUUAAAUAUUUGGGAAGAAAGAUCACGAUAUACGUCUGUAUUCAAUCCAAUUAAAACGUUUAUAAAUCAGCGUAUUUCCUUGGUCAGACGGGCUACAAGUGUAAUGUUGAGACAGACCGGGGAUUUGAACGUGGAAAUUGAUUACUUUGAAUAAUCAGUUCGAAUUAUCUUUGUCAAAGAAAAUUGGUUUGAAAAAUAUUUGAAAAGUUUGAGGAAUGACAAAAUUAUAUCUAAUUACUGAGGUCAAAUACAAAGUGCGGGUGGUUGGCACUGGCUUUUCUAGCAUUUAAAGUGAUGAAAUUGAUAGCAACAUUGGCUUAUUUAAUUCUUUUGGCCAUAAUUGGUUGGACGUAUCGAAUUUUAAGUGGGAGUUUGAGGCUUAAAAGUAGAAUGUCAUGACAAGUCUCCAGAUCGUGUCAAACGGCAAUUAUCAGAAAUAAAAAUAUGAGAUGGAAACAUCUGUAUUCUUUCCUCAAAAUUGGUCUUCAUUUCUAGUCUUCUUGCCUGGGGUUGUUUGUUUCAAGGUACACACGCAACUUAUGAAACGUCCAAACUAACCAAUAGCGACAUCGAACAGAAGGGAGUAUGACAAACCGAAAUUAUCCAAUACAAUCGAUCUGCAGAUUCACUAUGCUAUUUUCUGUAGAAAAAAUAUAGGAAUAAUUUCAGAAACCUCUCCCAAGGUUUCUCAUAAUAUCACGCAGCUCCGCUAAGGUUUUUAAAAUUUCACUUACCUCCCUUGGAUUGCCAUUUCUUAUAACAUUUUAAUCCAUUUGGAGGAAAUACAAGAAAAUUAAAACUUUUAUUCCUAUACUACCCUUAUAUUAUCCUACUUAUAAAAUUUAUGAUAACAAUAAAAAAAAUAAAAUAAUGUUAAAUUUUUAUCAAGUGUAACUUUCUUGAUGCAAACUAUUUAUUUUAGUUGUAUUGGAACAAAAGCAAAAUUUAUACCUUGAAAAAUUUACACACAUGAAGAGAUUAUUUUAGUUUUCAAUACAACUUAAACUACACCAUGUAUGAAAACAUAGUUCCCUAAAACAUAUCUUGACUUUCUUAAUUGUAAUUGUGCACGAAACUUUUUAAGACAUUAAUUACUCACCAAACUCCUACUAAGUGGUUGAUCUCGAUUAGAUUUAAUUUUUCCAAAUUCUUUACUGCCCCACCAUUGCCCAAUAUAAAGAAAUAUGUAUCAUUAUUAGCUAGCAAUUUGUUUUUUUAGUUUACAUUUUUUUGUUUUAAAAUUUUAUUUUGAUUUGGCCUUUUGGUUAAAUAGCUAUUAAGAGCAAGAGUAAUGUUGUCUAUUUGUGAACUUUGAUAGGAAUAUUUAGUCUUAUCAAUUUGAUAAGGGAGAUAAGUGAGAUUUUAAAAACUUCAGAGAAACUGAGUGAUAUUAUGACAAACUUCAGGGGAUGUUACUAAAUUUAUUCCAAAAAUAUAUUGUAACGAUCUUAUGUAUGUGAGGUAGAAAAAUAAUUCAAAAAUGUGAUCGCAAAAAAGGUAAAAAUCUUCUUUGAAAAACUUCAAUACAAACAAUAAUGUAGGGCCUAUUUGGAUGGUAAGUUUUUUUAGUAUUUAUAUAAAACUUUACUAUAAUUUGUUAUAAAAACUUUUGUGGAUUUGAGGUUUGGAAAAAAAAAUUCCUUUUUUCUUUUCAUUUUCAUUUUCUUUCUUUUAUUUUUCCCUUUCUUCUUAUUACUCCCUUCCUCCUAUCUCUCCCUCCCUCCUUACUAUCGCAACCGUCACCAUGUCACCCCUUUUUAUAUCUUUUCCUCUCUCAUUUUUCCUCCCUACUCCUUCUUCCUCACUCCCUCCUCUUCCUUCCUCCCUUCUUCUCCUGCCCCUCUCUCUUCCUUUGGCCUUUCUCUUCUCCCCCACUUCCUCUAGCCACAUGCCCAGACUUGGUCACACAGUUACAAACCAAGGGGGGCGAGUAAGGGAAAGGGGGUCAGGGGAAAAGAAAGGGGAGAGGAAGAAGAAAGGGGGAAGGAGAAGAUAAGCGGAAAAAAAAAAAAAAAGAAACCUCAGUCAGUGUGGUCGAUAGUGGAGGUUGAGGUUGGCGAGGAAGAAAAAGAAGAAAAGAAAAAAAAAUGGGAUUUUUUGUGCAUUUUUUGAAUAUUUUGAUGUCUGUAUUUUAAAAAUUUUGAAAAAUUUCUUUAGAUUCCUAUAGUUAAAAUUGUUACAAAAUUAGUAGAAAAAAAAACUAGGUGAAAAAAACUUGCCUUCCAAACAAGGCGUGAAUACUCAUUUAUAAUAGAAAAUUACAUAUUUCAAUUCGGGCUAUAUUAUGUAGGCUUAAUAACAAGUUACCCAGGAUAAUAGAGGCUAUGUAUAGAUAACAAAUUUUUCAAAAAAAAAUUUCACUUGCAUUAUAAACACAUUUUUCAAUCCACACUUUUAUAUUCUCAAUCACCUUUUUAUCUCACAUACAUCACAUUACAAAAAGUAUUACAGUAAUUAUUCUAAAUAAUUAUUUGAAAUAAUACUCUAUCCAAACAAAGUCAUAAUUUGAGUAGCAAACUAUCUCUUGUAAUCAUAAAACGUAUAGAUUACCCACUGCAGACAAUUGAUCAAACAUGCAGGGCCACUUUCUAGGUAUGAGAGAUGUGAAAAGACAUUCAUGUCCUCGAAUAAAUAAUGCUUUGAUAGUUUUUUCUUAGAAAAUGAUGUUACUGUAUCUUUUUAGUUAAAAAAGCAUUGCUGUUUCCAAGAAAUAGUGAUGCAUUUGUAGAUAUAAUUAUGGAAAUUAUACAAGUUAUUUUUACUAAAUAAAUUGUAUAGGUUUUAUAAUAAUUUAUGAUAUUUAGAUUUUUUAUAAGAAAAUACCAAUAUAUUUAAACAUCAAAAGGAGUUGCUUAUAAGGACAAACAAAGAAAAAAUGAAUGUGUAAUAUUUUUAUGAAAAUUAAUUUUAUUUUUUGUGAUAAGAAAUUAUUGCCAUGUUAAAUAAAAAAAAGGCUUCGUUUUAUGGUGCUCACCUUGACUGGACUUUGGCAAGUUCAUCUUAUACAUGCAUAGAGAGACAUACUUAAGUACUAUAUUACAAAAAAUACUAGUACAUAUUUAACUAGACAAAGACCAAUGUUCUACAUACACACAUAUAUAUAAAGUACAUUAUUUUUGUAAUAAAUCCUUAUAAAAAUAGAGAUUAAAUAAACACAGAAAGUAUUUUAGUUGCAUUUUUAUUUCAUUGUCUUUAUUAAUAUUUCUUUUUAAUGUUUAAGUAUAUAUUGGUAUUUUCUUAUAAUAUAUAUUUAAAUUGAAUAAUUAUCAUAAUUGGAAAAUUUAUUUAAUGAAAAAUAAAUUACAUAAUUUCUAGAUUAUAUAUACAUCUAUAAUUGUAUUGCAAUUUUCUAAACAUAACAAUGUUCUUCAGUUAAAAAAAGAGAUUAUAAUACUAUUUCCUAAUGAUAAAACUAUCAAAGUAUUAUGUAUACCAAGACAUGAAUGUCUUUUCACCUAUCUCAAACAUAGAAAACCUAAUCCACUUUUUUUCCUUGGUAAGUGGAAGAUUUUGAAUCUAAAAUCUCAUAUUUAUAAUUUCUUCCAUUUUAUUACCUAACCCACCUCCCAGAAAAGCUAAUCCACUUUUUUUGACUUUUUUUUUUUAAGUAUAAGCCGGAGGGUUUGAACUGGAGACCUAAUCCACUAAUUUAACCUUUUGCUAGUAGGAGGCAAUUUGUAUAUCUUCUUAUUAUAGGGGACAAUUUGCUACUCAAAUAAUAUAGGGAGGUAAUUUGUAAUUAAGUCUAUUAUGUAUUUGGCCAAACAACAUUUAUACCCUUUUUUUUAAUGCAAGUUGUAUCUAAAAUAGUUUAAAUACAUCUUACGAUGGGUAUGUUAUGACUUUUAGUGGGGUAAUUGGAAGAUUAGGGGAAGAAUUAUGAUUAACUUUCUAAUUGAUAGAAACAUUAAUCAAAUGACGGUAACAUUAUUGGUUUGACUGUCAGUCAAGCUCUGUCCUUUGCCAUUUCCUCUAAGUCUCUCCUUGAAGUGUUAAAAACAAGGUACCUUUUCAAUAUAUGAUAAUUUCAGAAACCUCCCUUGAGGUUUAUAAUAAUUGUGGCUAGCUGCCUUGAGAUUUGUAAAAUUAUAAAAAUCUCCCUUAGAAAGUAUUUCUUAGUAACAAUCGAUGGUGUAAGCAAAAAAAAAAAUCCAAUAAAUAUCUAAUAUUACCCCUCUCUUAUAUGUAAAACAAAUUAAAUGCUAAGAAGUCAAUUAUCACCAUUUAUCUGUUAAGUGAAAAUUUCAAGUUAGUUUUUUGCAAGAAAACUUAAGCCAUGUUUUGAAAGUAUUCCUUUUUAAUACUUUCAACAUAUUUUUUGGUUAAGUACUUUUUGAAGAUACUUUUUUUAACAAAUGCCUCCCUAAUUGGUUGGUCGGUUUUUUAUAAAUUGAUUAAUAAUUCUAGUCAGAAAAAUUGGGAAUGAAACACAACGUACUAGAUUGGAUGAUGUUAAAGUUUUAGGAUAAAGAAUCAUUUCCAAAAAAGAAUUACCAUUUUUCUCUUUUAAACUAAUUUUCACUUAAAAUUUGUAAAGUUUGUGAAAGCUACCAUAGUUUUUACAUAAAAUUAGGGGAUAAGUAUAAUAUUUCAAACUACAGGGGAGGUAACUGCAAUUGUUAGAAACCUCAUCCGAAGUUUCUGAAAUUAUUCCUUUCAAUAUUGCACCAAAUUAAAAAAUCCCGAAAACUUCAGAAAGAAGAGCCCGCCACACGCUAUUUACUUUUUUUUUUUUUUUUUUAUCAAUUACCAUUCCCAUUCCUAUUCCUACUUUAAUUACGAGAGGCUCAAUUAAACCUACAAAAAAUCAAUAAAAAUAGAACCACGACCAAAUUACUUCGCAUCGGUCUGAAUUUAAAACCGAGCCACAUGAGUGGCCACCAGCCAAAGAGCUGGUAGUUACACGCUAUUUACUUUCCCAGUGUACUGAUUCCCCGCACCGCCAGGCGGCAGCAAAAGUGAAAACGGUCAACAUAAUUAAAUUACGCUUAAAAUCAGGCUAGGGUUUCAAAGUCCCCUCCUUGCCUCGUCCUAUAUAGGCCUCCUUUGUCUCGCCGCCAGCGCGGUAAUCAUUCAUUAUCUCCUCUAUUAGCUCCAUCUUCGAUCUCCUUUCUCCUAUUUUUAUGUCACUUUUAAUCAAUUGUAUUAAACCCUUGUUGAUUCAAUUGAUUUCCCUCUUUCCCGUUUUGUGCAAAGAUAAAAAUUCAGUCUUUUUUUGCUAAAAAAUUGUGUCUUUCUAGUUAACUAUAGAUUUAUCCUUCAUUUUUUCCUUUUACAUAUGAGCAGUUAUUUGAUUUCGGGGUGAUUUUGUUUGCCUGGAAAUUUGAGCUGGGGGCUGCGGUGAUUAUAAAAAAUUCCUCGUUCUGACUGCUAUUUCCAUGGCAUGACAGACCCUUCUAUACACCCAUAGAAUAUGAGCACCCCCCAUGAAGUUUCAUUUUUGCUUCUAUGUUUGAUAAUUUCGAAAGGAAACAGCAAUUAAGUAAUUUUGGUUUGAUUGUUUGCAUGGUCAGCAAUUCCAUAGUCAAAUGAUAAUGAACUUUAGUCUUUUUAGAACUCAUUUGGAAUCUUUUUGCUUGUAAGUAAUGGCUGCUUAAGGCCUUCUUGCUUGUGACACUUCUGUAUAAUUUAUAUUUGUUAGUGAUAGUGAAACAGGUAGAAGCGUCAAGAGGCAAAUCACUGCACUGGAUCAUAGUUUUUAAUUGUUUAAAGCUGUUUGUUGACUGAUUCAAAUCAAGAUAAUGACAAUGUUGAUAUUUGGAAUUAAUUACUAUCUUAUCAUUUGUUGCUUUCUACGAAUUUAUGAGAUAAAAUUUUGUUGGCUUUGUAAGGCAGCUAAUACCAAUAUUAGCUGAUGCAUGUCCUGACCGGCAAAGUAGUCUGGGGUUUUUUGGAUCUUGCAAUUAAAAUGACCUUAUUAGUGUGUUUAGCUAGCUCUUAGGUUCUGUUUUACUUCUACAGUUGUUGAACCAAAUUGCUGUUUCAAGAGGAAAUAUUCUGCUAAAUCAGAAACACUGUCAUCUGGUUGCCUUUGUGAACUUAGUUCUUGUUUCUCUUUCUCAAUGCAUAUCUUUUUUGCACUUGAUUUGUACUUUCGUCUUUACCUUAUAGUAGUCUCUAUUGCUGAACCUCUAUUCUCAAAGAAGGCUCAGAUGUUAUCGACUUUCUUUACUCAAAGCAUCAUCUAAAGGAGCUUGCCUAUUUCAUUUUUCUCAUGGCAAUAAGAUACUAUUUUUGCUGUGUGCUUGGAUGCUCCUAAAAUUGAGUUUGGUGGUGUUUAAAGCCCUGAUUUGACAAAAAGAAUUGUUCUAGAGAUCAGGGUUACGCACACCUCCACAGUCUAUAAAAUUGCAAUCUAGUAAAUAUCCUUGUUUUAAUUUUUAUCAUCACAAAACGUUAUACGGUUGCUUUCCUCCUCUCUAUCUUAUCGUCUUCUUUCUAUUGGUUCAAUGUAAGAAAAUGCUACUUGUGAGUUGCAUAAUCUGAUUAUAAUUUUUCCUGUACUCUUGCAUAUUUGCCAAUUUGUCAAGUAAAAAGCAGACACUGGCUGGAAUAUGGCUUCUGUCAUUAUUUUAGCUUUCUGCUUUAAAUGAUGCUUAAUCAGGACUUGUCAUUAUCUUCCCUUUGUCAAUGAUGCACUAGCAACAAAUGUUCAUAUGAAUUCUGGACUGUUUUUGGCACUUUGGCUCCAUUUUGGAAGUUUUGCUGGGAGAAGUAGAAUAAGGUCUAAAAACCUUUUUUUUUUUAAAAAAAAAAAAUUUUUUUGGGGCAAAGUUCUAACAACUUUUGAAGAACUGAGUAAAUAAAAAUUCCAGUGGAGGAGGGGUGUUCCGCUCUUUAUAGACAAACUUGUUAGUUUCUAUCAGCAUCAAGUUGACAAUUGCAUCUUUUUUGCUGUUGUUUCUAUUUCCACAGCAGUGGUAAGAAAUGUCUUAAGAAUGAGUUGAUAACUAAUUGAAGAAACAUGAGCGCCACAAGAUUGGGGAAGGAGUAGAGCUGGAACAAAGGGAAACUGCAUGCUUCCAAACCUAUUAUCAGUCUAAUCAUGUAGGCUAGACCUGUAGUUUGAGUUGGUGAACGAUUACAAGAAGAAUGGACAUUCUGGUGUUGACAUUCAAUUUGAAAUGGGAUAGGCUACUGAUUACAUCUGCAAUCCCAUUACGAAUUGGAUAGAAAUAGAACCAACCGCCAGAAUUAGAAGGCGGUAAAGAAAAGCUUCAAUGUGUCAAAAUCACUGACGAAUGGAAAAGUAAUUGAAGUUCCGAUUUUAUCAGAUGUCCCCUAAGGGACCUAAUCGAAGUUGAAGAAAGUAGGCUCUUCCCGAAUUCCACUGGGACAAAGCUCUGAGAAUGUUACAGCAUGCAAACCAAACCAAACCAAACCAAUGAAUGAAUGGUCCGGGGAGGGUGCCCAUUAAUGAGAAUCAUGCUUGGGGUGAGGCUAUAAAUUUGGCAUAUUCUGUGUUUAAACUACUGUAGGAGGCUCAUGGAUUAAUUCGAACCACCUCAAAGACGGGCAUAGCGAAAUGAGGGCCACCAUGAAGUAGAAGUAUUUACUUCUGGCUCCAGCAAAUAUUUCUGACAGUGACUUUCUUGUGCUCAUGCAAGACAAUGCAGGUUGUCCAGAGUCCUAAAUCAAUUCCAGUAAAUUUCUGUUCGCCAAACAUCUCGUCCUCUAAUCAAUCAAAACGUUGCAGCUGCUACGACCCUGCCUGCAAUCACAUACCAUCAAAUACUUGUAGAAGUAUUUACUUGCAUUUGGAGUGGGAGGGCAUGGAGGAGAGGGAAGAUUGGCAAAACUAAACAAAACGCAAGUUUCUUGUUGGUCCAAAGUAAGCAGGGGAUUACAGUUAAAAUUAAUGUCGUGAUCAUGAGAAGAUUGGCAACCCCUAAAUGGUCUACAAACUUCAAAGUGAAUUGCAAACUUUUGAAAUGGAUGCCUGGGUGAGAUUAAAUUUUUUUUUUUUUUCUUUUGGUUAAGUUUGGGGAAAUUAUUUUGUCCGGUCGCUUUUUGCAGUUAUAUGGCAGGUCCCACUCCCACAUGCCCGCAAUUCUUUGUCUUUAGUCUUUGCUCCCAAAAGUGAAUCAACAUGGAUGUCGGCAGAUAUUUAUCAUUUCUACCAAGAUACCCAAGGGGCAAGGGCCCGAACCCCGUCAGUCAUGGGACUUAUUGCACCUAGUUCUUUGUUACAAAUUUGAAAUUUCAUGCUACACUGCCGUUUUUGCAGUUAUGACAUUAAAUUCCAGACCUUCUAAAUUUGUAGCAGUUUUAUGAGGCCUUGCACGAGCUAAUUCGGCACUUAAAUUUAAUAUAUUCAACUUUUAACAUGUUCAAAUGAACGCAAUUGAUAAUUAAAAAUUGAAUUUUUAAAUUAAUUAAUUGAUACUGAAUUUUCUAAACAAUAUUUGUUCCCAAAAAUAAAUGAUAGGUUAUUUGUUUAUCAUUUAGUGUGAUUUACAGUCAAACGUAUCAAAUUUAACACUUAACAAUUUAAUGAAUUCAAAUUUCAAAUUUCAGAAGAUUUAGCGGAAGCAUAGAUCGGCGACAAGAAAUAAAAGAAAAACAUAGAACGAGUCAUGACAGCAAGAUUCUUGUCAGAAUUAGAAGGUACUACUGUACUAUACAGUUAUUUACUAAAUUAAUUUAGGAACAAAUUCAACAAGGAGUAGAGAGAUUAUGCUGAGAAAAUAUUUAGCACUAGCAACGUGCUGCUCCACAUCAUGCCUAAAAUUUUUGAAACAUUUCGCACGAGUUCAUGAGGGUCUCCUUGGAUGCCAUGCCAUUUUUAAUCUCCACUCCAUUUGAUGGACCACGAAAAAAGCAGUGACCGGACCACAAACGCAAGUGAUCAAAGCUUUUUUGCAAGAACAAAGUCUUGCUCUUUAAUUUCAGCUAACUUCAAAAGUAUCAUACAACACGAACAGAGUUUUGCAGAAAGUCGAGCAAAAUUACUAGAGAAUUUGCAACUCAUGCAGGUGUCAUGUGGCUGCUAAAAAUCAUAGCCCACAUUCACAAUCACAUCCAGCCCGUACACUAGCCAUUAUAUCAACCCACCAACCAACAUGCUUCCUACCAACCUAAAAGCAAAUGGUGAUUAAAACACUCACCCAACCGGAGCACAUGAAGGGAUGGACAAGAGAUAUCCCGAAGCAAAAUUUCAUGUCGCACCCCAACAGCUCCACAAUUAUAUCACUAACUCAAGCAUAGUCAUAUUUUUAUGAUGAUAAUUCGUCAGGUUCUACAUCGAGUGAUUAUGUCCUCACAGAUGAUAAAGUCACACAAGAAAAGCAACAAAUUAACAAAUUCCAAAUGAAAAGCUAAUUGCUCUUGGUGUUCGUUCGUCAGCACAUAUCGAAAACUCACUACUAGAAUUCACUUGAAACUUGAUCAUCCCGGUCUGACCAUAAUUACAGCGCAGGCAAGGCUGGAUUCACAAGAGUUGAUCCAAGUACGCUGCCACUGCAAAGGCUGCCUCCUUCAUGCGCCUUGCUAGCCUCGGCUCUCGGACUGCUUCCAGUGCUGCUGUUAGAACGAGACACGAAAGCGGCUUUCUGCAAAACCCCGGUAGGGGAUGAUGCUAACUGCGGGCUACCGUCCCAACCCUCGGUCAUGAGGUUAAGAGCUGAGGCACUCUUGCUUUCGCUUGUGCCGUUAUUUGUGCUAUGCAACACCUCAGCGAGAGGUCCACCCAUGGAUGAUUCCCAGGAGAUGGGAAUCCAGUUUGCUUGUCUGUGGGUACGAUCAUUGACAGUGGUACCUACUCCCAACCCCAUUUGUGUAGCUUCAACUUCCCGGGAUAACCUCAAUGGGGAUGAUGCCACUUUUUCAUUGGUGGGAGACGAUGUAGAGGACAUGAAGUCUGAGGCAGCCAUCGAGAUGGAAAUGGACAGUUGAGUCCUGUCUGAGUGCAGAUCAAUGUCUGGCCAUGAAACAACAGAUGAACGUUCAGUCCUGUUAUUGGGCCAGUCAUCCAUAAACUGGCGAAGACCAGUGCGUGAUUUGCUUUCGUGAUCAUUGACUUCUUCACAAGUACCAUAGUUACUGCAGUUCACUAAAGAAGAGCUUCUGUCCAAAGGAUUUAGCAGAGAGUCAGAGCAGACCUGUCCAAAUUCUCCCCGAGAAGAUUGUUGGUAGGGGUUCUGCGGUUUGGGAAGGGGAUAUUGGUUAUCUUUCAAGUUUAUACGUCGAGAUAUCAUGGAGAGACCAGUUGUAUCUUGAAUUCUCCCACCCAAAUUUUCCUUUUCCAGAAAGGUCCUGACGGGAAAAUGAGGAGUUAACCAACCAUCCAAGUUUAAUUAAGAAACACCUUAAUAACAUAAAAAAGCAUGUCUCCAUAAAUUGACUGUUAAAGGUAAGUGGCACAAAUUUCAGGCUGUACACUAAAUUAAUUGCAAGUUCAAUGGAUCCAUCACGGUGUAAAGAUGAAAUGACUAGAAGUCUUUUAACUAAUAUCCACCAUCAAUCACUAUAUAAGUUAAACCAGACAAUGAAAGCGUCAUGGCCAUGUCAACAUGCCAAUAUAAAGAUGAAAUGAGCAGGAAGUCUUAACUAAUAUCCACCAUCAGUCAUUAUAUAAGUUGAACCAGACAAUGAAGUGGCGUGGCAAUGUCAACAUGCCAGUUUUAUCAGCAGAUUUAACUCAUUAAUUUCCUACUCUGAAUAUGUUCAACAGUUAAUUGUCCAGAAGGAACCUUCUGUUUACCUGUCAAGUUGGGGAGAUGCGGCACAUUGAACAUUGGCACCAGUCUGGAGGAGGCCUAAGCUGUUGGACGCACUGCCUCCAGGAACCACUGCAGCAGAUGCAGAGGAAGUUGGCGUCAAUUUGGCAGCAUUAUUCGUGGUUCCUGCAACAGAAUGGCCAGGUUGGCCUUCCACAGGCUUUCUUGAACGAUGGCGGCCCCUGUUCAUGUGCCGCUCACAGUACUUCUGGUCAGCAACUGCAUCUCUUGAGCACCGCCAUUUCUUGCCAUCGGUCCUUCGGCACCUUCCUGGUUCAGGGUCAGUACUGUUGGAGAAUCCUAUAUGGAAAGCACCCCAACCAACUGCCAACAAGAACGAACAAAGAACACUUGAAUGCAGAACAGAACACUAGUGAUUGUCCCCCAAACUUUCAAUGCAAAACAUAAAUUUCCCUUGUGCAAACACUAAAAGGAGACCCUUCACUAAAUAGAAGAGGAACAGACUCAUUUACUAACUUGUCUCGCCAAAAUCUCCAUCUCAAGAUAACAAGGAGUCCUAAAGUUGAACAGAAAUCAUGACUAUUCUAUAGUUCAGGAUAAAACCAACUUUUUCCUUGCUGGGAGAAGAAUCUACAAAGUUACCGCUAGAAACAAAUGGUGGCACCAACCAUGAAGCCGAUGGGGGAGCACCAGUAAGAUGAAUGAUGAAAACCAAACCAGCAAAAUGUUCCACUUGCAAGUUGUAAUACUCCUAUGCAAAUCUCACUUAAAAAGUACAUUUGUUCCAUGUUUAAUGAGAAGAAAAUGAAAAGAGGACACUUACAAGCGCUGGGCCUUAGGCCUGCAAAGCUUGAGAAACCAGCAGAAUCGAGUGCUUUCCUAAUUGGGCUGAGAAGAUAAGAAGGUAUGGGCAUAUUCGCGUUGAUGUACUUGUAGAUCAAGGCUUGGUGUUCCAGUUCCAUCCACUGAGAUGGUGUGAACGGUCCCCUAACCCCAGAUGGUACCCCGUGCAUGUUUCCAGCAUUCAAGCCUCCGCUGCCGUAGCCUGAUGAUGCAAAGAAGAGAAACAAAUCAAGCCAAGAUAUGAUGCAGAACAAGAAGUAGGGAAACCCACUUGAACCAUUCCAGGAAAUGACAAGCACCUGAAUAAAACGUUUCUGCAAAAAGGAAAAGAAGACUUUUGAAAGAAGUAUGACAGAAAACUCAAAAUAGCUCUAUAUGCAACAUUUAUGGGGGCUACAACAAUAAUGGAUUUAUCCAGCCUUUCUGAAAUCAUAAGACACGGCAGAAGGAGACAGAGAUAGGAGAAAAUUCAGAACUAAUCAAUGAAAAGAUGGAUCUUUUAAGUUUUAACGUUACCACCGUAUUUCUUAUUAUCCUGAUUUUCGUUUUUCGCACUCGGUAACAAACUGUACCAUGGCAUUAGUACCAUCCCAUCCACUCGAAAAUAGGAACGCAAUAGUAGUAGUGACUGGCCUACUAGUAGAGCCUCAGAAAAUUCUUUCCUUCUCCUAUCGCGCUGCAUGGCAGGAAGACUCUUAAUUGCAGUUCAAAAGUUUAGCAAAUUCAAACAUUUUGACCACAACUUUUAACAGAAAAAUAGCCAUAAACAUAAUAAUGAUGGUAGUGCAAUUAAACCUGGCUUCACGCAAAUGCUGAGAAAUACCCCUCCCAAAUGAGAAACCAUACAACUAUCCUCAAUACCUUUGAUGCUAUAUCAGCAAAAUGUGUCAUCAUAAAAGUCACGAAGUUUUUUUGGUACCUGUAGUUCUACUAUAAACAAUUGAAGAGGGGUGGUGAUAAUAAGGUAAUGUCACACUCUGAGAGUUGGGAGAAGAGAAGCUAAGCAUCUGCUGAUGGCCUAAACCUUCAGGGAAUAAGUUACUACAACUACUAUUAGAUCUCAGUAAAGGAGUUCUCUGCUGAAACAGCAUUGCUUUGGAAGCUGAGAAAUCAUCAGGGCUAAUCUUGGCAACUUUUAAGUCCCUCAAGUCAUCUUCAGCAGCAGCAGCAGCAGCAGCAGCAGCAGUAGUAGUCCCUGCUGACCUUUCCUGCUUGAGAAAUCCAGAUCCGUACCACUUUUGUUUAGUCUCAGCAUCAGAAGUAGUAGUUGCAGUGGUAGGAAGUGUAUUUGAAGAAGCAAAACCAGUUGUCUCUGAACACAUUAACCCCCCACCAUUGUCCAAACUGACCACCCCAAAAUCCAUUAACAGAGAACAAGCAAGUAAAGUGCAAGAAAGGCGUAGUAGUAUCUAUAAAGUGCCCAGACAAUGAAAAUGGAACAUGGGUUCAUUACAGGAAAAGACACAACAAGCUUCUUGCUUGUGCCUUGAAGAAAGGACCAUUUUUAAAGAGCAAGAAUAUUGAUUAUAGCAAAUAGUAGCAGCAGCAGUUUAGGUGUUAUGUAGCAUAGUUAAGGCUGAAGCAGACCUACGAAAGGGCAGCAAAACAGGUUUAAGUUUUAGGGACUUUGAUGUCUGGGACUGGCAAAUUAUUGCUCGGAGAUAGAGAGGGAGAGAAAGGGUGGGAGAAAAAGUUGUAGUAGUAGUAGUACUAAAUACUCUAGAGAGUGAGAGUAUGAUAGUUUCUAGCGUACAUUUAUGUUGCAUUUAGGACACUCAACAAAGGCCACAGUCCCAAAACAAAUCAUGUAGGGUACAUGGAAAAAUAUCGAUGUGUAGAGUACACGGGAGAUAAUCUCUAGAAUCUCGAUAACACUGUGGUACUCUAAUGUAUUCGAAAAAUUUUUAGAUUUUCCGUCACAAUUUUUAAUAUCAUGAAGAGGUACAUGGGAGGUAGUCUCCAUAAUCUAGAUAAUUCUAGUUUCGAAAAAUUUUUACCUUUUUCGGGAACAUAUUUUUUAAUUAUCUUUUAAUCUCAUAUUUAUCAAAUUAUUAUAAUAAAUUAUUUAAUAUAAAAAUAGCAAUUCAAAUGGACUCUGCUGCUAAUACCAAAUGCCUUUUUGUUUAUUUGUUUUGCUUACUCGAAACUUGUUUGCAUAUUUUCUUCCAAAAAAAAAAAAAAGUGAUUGUAUUUUACUUGAAAUUUGGAAACUUACUCAGUUAUUUUGGGUAGAAUAGAAGUAUUCUGUAAGUUAUCUAUAGCAGUAAGUAUUAAACUACUACCACUACUUUGUGGAUAGUUGUUAGACACAAUAAGUAACUUGUUUUUCCCACCAAGUACGGCCUAAUUGUCAAAUGAGUUUUUUUGAUAUUUAUCUAAAAUUUUACUAUAUAAUUUAUUAUAAAAGUUGUGGAAAUUUUUUUUUAAGUGCUUAAAUCUUUGGUUAUUUUGAAGUUUAUAGUUUAAAAAUUUUGAAAAUUUUUUUAAGAUUAUUGUAAUUAAAGCUAUUAAAAAACUUAUAGAAGAAAAACUUGAUUAAAAACUUAUUUGUCAAACAGAAAGUUUUUAAACAAUACAUUUUAAAAUACCCAAAAAUUUAAACAUUUCAAAAAAUUUUCUGCAAAUUUUACAUUAAACUAUAACAGUAAAAUUUUAGAUAAACACAAAAAAAAAAAUUAUUUACCAAAUGGGGCUUACAUAAAAUUCUGAAAGGGAAUCUGACACAAUAGAAAGCAAAUGAAGUAGUAGAAACUGUGUGUGAUUUUGGGUCAGAGUAUUACACUGGCUCUGUAGCCCUCAAAAUUAAAGUCAAACAUGACUAACGGUUGGUUACCCCAAAAGGAGAAAAUGCAAUAUCAUGGAAAACGAGUCAAUCGCCUAACGAAAUUAUAUACUCCCUCCGUCCCACUUUGAUAGUCCUGUUUCUUUUUUCACACAGUUUAAGAAAAAGUAGUUAACUUUGUUGGAAAAGUAAAUUUAGAUUGCUAUUUUCCUAAAAUACCCUCACAUUAAAUAGAGUACAACUUUAUGGGAACUUGAAUUGAUGGUAAAAAAAGAAUCAACUCUCAUUAAAUGGGGUAGGUUUAUAGCAGCAACAACUUGUAUUGAAUAAGGGUAUUUUAGGAAAAUGAAAAUACAACUACAUUCUUCAAUUGGAAAGUGAACUAUAAUUUGGGACAGACAAAAAAGGAAAACAGGACUAUCAAAGUGGGACGGAGGGAGUAUGAUGAAUGAUCAGAAACAAAAAAGAAAAAAGAAGCACAUUUUAAGAACUAGGCAGCUUGAUUAUUAGACCAUUUCGAUCCUUUUUAUUUGUACCUUCAGUUUUGACUUAUUUUGACUUGGUAUAAUGGAACCUUAUAUGGAUUGUGGUUUUUUUUUAAAAAAAAAAUUUAUAUUUUUUGUAAAUAUAUUUUUAAUUAUUUUUUAUUUUAUAUAUAUCAAAUCAUUAAAAUAAAUUUUCUAUAAAAACUCGUAAAAAUAACCCUUCAAACAGGAGGCUUCGCUGGGGGCUGUUUUUGCACAGCAAAACCGGCAGCGGUUUACUAUCAUCCUUUCUCCCGCUAUCAUCUCUAGUCUAGAAGCCAGACUACUGGUGGGCUGCAUGAAGAAAGAUGCACAGCCACGUGACGACAUCAACUUACAUGCUAAUCUCCAACUUGUCCUACUCUCACCCUGCCUUGCCGUUGUUCUACUCUCUCCUUUAUAAUUACUUUGAGAAAAAAAGAAAUUCAUUCCUUUUCCCCCUAGACAAAAAAAAAAGAAAAGAGAAGAAUUUCGUUCUAAGUUCCAACGACCUUUUCAACUAUGCUUCAUUGGUCUGAUUUUAAUCAAACCCAAAAAGUUAACUCAAACGGUCAAAAUUGGUCAAGAACUAAUCGAAUGGAUCAAAAUCGACUUGCUCCGGCUACUUUUUUUUUUUUUUCUGUUGUUGUGUAAAUUAUUUAGCAUUUAAAUAAAUAAAAAAUCAAAUUUUUUACUCAGACGAUUUAACCAAUUGAAUCAAUUAAGAGCCAUAAACUCGUUCAACUCGCUUACUAGUCUCCAGUUCUUAAGAACCUUGCUUAAGGAAAAGAUUAUAGAGAAUAAAUUUUUUUUUUCACUAAACUUUUGCAAACAAAGAUUAGUCUAUUAUAGACCCAAUGCACCAUAGUAAUCGAGUGCAAGUUAGUUAGGGUCUUGAUUAGUCUUUGAGUUCACUUUAGGCCAUUGCCGGUCAAAGAAUGAAAGCUUACAACGUGAUCAUACCCUAAUCUGGAGGACGUGGAAGAAUAAAAUAUCCAGAAUUUUUCUUCUGUGCAAAAAAGGCAUCCGGCCUAGCUGCGUGGAUUAAAAUGAGACCCAAAGCCGCAGAAGAUUUUUUUUUUUAUAUAAAAAAAAAAAAUUGGAUAAGUGUGGGAUAACAAGUACCGUCUUCCUCCAGAGCAAGGAUUCUCCGGACACCAUCAUUUUGUUUUUGGGAAAAUCCAGGGACGCCAUCACAUCAUGCAACAUGCAUAUGGUUCAUGAAAAAAAAAAUGAUAAUUUGUUAAGUGAUGAUAUUUUGAGCACUUGUCAACUAAUAUCAAAGCCUAAAGAAACUUGUACUCAACUCUCUCUCUCAGUAACAAGACGGAGGAGGAGACAUAAUUACAUGACGAAGUACUACUACCAUUUUUCGCAAUAAGGAACCCCACAUUAGGGAGACAAACAUAAAUAGAAAAAUCCCUGGCCGCGAGGGAACUGGGUGAUUGAUCCUGGGUCACGUGACUCUCGUGAUGGUAUUGGCGUUUCAAACUUUCAAUUGCUAAAAUGUGAAAAGUGAAAACCACUCCGGCGCGUCAGGAUAGAAGGGGGAGAAAGCAAGUGGCAAAGGUCGAUGAUUGCAUGGUACGGACGCGCGUGGUCGGGGUGCGACUUUUAGACGCUAGUAUGCUACGCUUUCCCUUUGGAGAUGACACAACUCGAGGAUGUAUAUUAAACUAAGAGUUGUACGUAUCUUUUUUCUUUUCCUUUCUGCGACAGAUAAUCAUAGUGUAAGAAAAAUUAAUCUUUGACAGAAUACUUAUUUAAAGACUGUGUGCAUAUGCAAACUUUAAACUUAGAUCAUUUAAAGAAAUAAAGAGUUUGUAGCUAUUCAUGCACGUUUUGAGUGUAUUGACUAAUCAAAAAAUACUUUAUAUAGAAAAAAUUUCAAUAAAAAUAUUUUUUUUAACGUAAAUGGAAGGUGUUGAACCCGAAACUUCUCAUUUACAUUCUCUCUCCCAUACCACCCAAUAUAUCCUCCCUACUCCAUCCCCAAUAAAAAUACUUAACAACUGUUUAAUUAUAUGCUCCCUCCGUCCCACUUUGAUAGUCCUGUUUCUUUUUUCACACAAUUUAAGAAAAAGUAGUUAAUUUUAUUGCAAAAGUAAAUUUAGAUUGCUAUUUUCUUAAAAUACCCUUACAUUAAAUAUGGUACAACUUUAUGGGAACUUGAAUUGAAGGUAAAACAAGAACCAACUCUCAUUAAAUGGGGUAGAUUUAUAGUAAUAAUAACUUAUAUUGAAUAAGGGUAUUUUAGGAAAAUUAAAAUACAACUACAUUCUUCAAUUGGAAAUUGGACUACAAUUUGGGACAGAUGAAAAAGGAAAACAGGACUAUCAAAGUG